UUGGCCCUCAUCGCGGCGGCGGUGUCGGCCUCGCUCUCCGGUUCGCGGCGGCGGCGGCGGCGGCGGAAAUGUGUGGACGAACCCCNNNNNNNNNNNNNNNNNNNNNNNNNNNNNNNNNNNNNNNNNNNNNNNNNNNNNNNNNNNNNNNNNNNNNNNNNNNNNNNNNNNNNNNNNNNNNNNNNNNNAAAAAGUUUUCACACAAAUGAGCAAUCAUGUGUGAAGAUUCAUGGCUUUCAAGCCACAUGAUCUAUCUCAUGGCCAUAUUCAUGGCAUAGUUUGUUGAAAUGGUCUCAUAUUUUGCAUAAUGGUGCAUGUUGGAAUGACAAACAAUGUUGAUUAAGAAAGUUUUCAUCUUCCUUGUAUGAAAAAUUCAUCUUUCAUUUUUCAUGUGCCCAAAAUGAGUUUUUUUGUGAAGGACCUACUAUAUAUUUGUUGCAAAAUUGGUCCAAAUCAUUUUUCUAACAUACUAAGCCAAAUUUAAUGUACAAUUGACAAAAUGGUUGGGUGUCAAAAGAUUUUAUCCAUCUCUCGUGAAAAAGACAAAUCUAUGUCGAAUCACCUCGAAGCGGGUCAAAUUUGAACUGCGGUUGCCUUAUAUUUAAUCAUAGAAACACCAAAAGAUUUCCAAGAUUCAACCAUUAGGUACGAACGGUCAUGCCCGCCGUUUCGACCGCAUUUUGAAAGGCCAUGAAAAAUUCAAAAAAAACAAAAAAUGGGAAACCUUUGCAUUAUGUCAUCAUAUGUGAUAAAGUUACCAUGUAAAAUAAUAAACUUGUCAUACGACAAUUAUUUUUAAAAAGUGUUCACACAAAUGAGCUAUCAUGUGUGUAGAUUCAUGGCUUUCAAGCCACAUGAUCAAUCUCAUGGCCAUAUUCAUGGCAUAGUUUAUAUCAUGUGUGAAGAUUCAUGGCUUUCAAGCCACAUGAUCAAUCUCAUGGCCAUAUUCAUGGCAUAGUUUAUUGAAAUGGUCUCAUAUUUUGCAUAAUGGUGCAUGUUGGAAUGACAAACAAUGUUGAUUAAGGAAGUUUUCAUCUUCCUUAUAUGAAAAAUUCAUUUUUCAUUUUUCAAGUGCCCGAAAUGAGUUUUUUUGUGAAGGACCUACCAUAUAUUUGUUUCAAAAUUGGUCCAAAUAAUUUUUCUAACAUACUAGGCCAUAUUUAAUAUACAAUUGACAAAAUGGUUGGGUGUCAAAAGCUUUUAUCCAUCACUCGUGAAAAAUACAAAUCUAUGUCGAAUCAGGUGGAGGCGGGUUAAAAUUUAAAUGAAGCUUUUAUCCAUCUCUCGUGAAAAAGACAAAUCUAUGUCGAAUCACCUCGAAGCGGGUCAAAUUUGAACUGCGGUUGCCUUAUAGUUUGCUUUUUUUUCCAAAAAUCAUUUCUAGGUACACAAGUAUCUAUUUAAUCAUAGAAACACCAAAAGAUUUCCAAGAUUCAACCAUUAGGUAGGAACGAUCAUGCCCGCCGUUUCGACCGCAUUUUGAAAGGCCAUGAAAAAUUCAAAAAAAACAAAAAAUGGGAAACAUUUGCAUUAUGUCAUCAUAUGUGAUAAAGUUACCAUGUAAAAUUAAAAACUUGUAAUACGGCAAUUAUUUUUAAAAAGUGUUCACACAAAUGAGCUAUCAUGUGUGAAGAUUCAUGGCUUUCAAGCCAAAUGAUCAAUCUCAUGGCCAUAUUCAUGGCAUAGUUUGUUCAUGUGUGUAGAUUCAUGGCUUUCAAGCCACAUGAUCAAUCUCAUGGCAAUAUUCAUGGCAUAGUUUGUUUAAAUGGUAUUAUAUUUUGCAUAAUGGUGCAUGUUGGAAUGACAAACAAUGUUGAUUAAGGAAGUUUUCAUCUUCCUUGUAUGAAAAAUUCAUUUUUCAUUUUUCAAGUGCCUGAAAUGAGUUUUUUGUGAAGGACUUAUAUGAAAAAUUCAUUUUUCAUUUUUCAAGUGCCCGAAAUGAGUUUUUUUGUGAAGGACCUACCAUAUAUUUGUUUCAAAAUUGGUCCAAAUCAUUUUUCUAACAUACUAGGCCAUAUUUAAUGUACAAUUCACAAAAUGAUUGGGUAUCAAAAGCUUUUAUCCAUCUCUCGUGAAAAAGACAAAUCUAUGUCGAAUCAGCUGGAAGCGGGUCAAAUUUGAACUGCGGCUGCCUUAUAGUUUGCUCUUUAUUUUUUCCAAAAAUCAUUUCUAGGUACACAAGUAUAUAUUUAAUCAUAGAAACACCAAAAGGUUUCCAAGAUUCAACCACUAGGUAGGAACGAUCAUGCCCGCCGUUUCGACCGCAUUUUGAAAGGCCAUGAAAAAUUCAAAAAAAANNNNNNNNNNNNNNNNNNNNNNNNNNNNNNNNNNNNNNNNNNNNNNNNNNNNNNNNNNNNNNNNNNNNNNNNNNNNNNNNNNNNNNNNNNNNNNNNNNNNUAAGGUGCAUAAAAGGAUUAAUAUCACAUGCAAAUCAUAACUGACAUGAUAUUGCCAUGAACUUGUGCUUCUUGAUCUCCAUCACCAAAGCACCGACAUGAUCUCCAUCGUCACCGGCGCCACACCAUGAUCUCCAUCAUUGUGCUGCCAUCGAGGUUGUCGCGCUAUCUAUGUUGUUACUACUAAAGCUACUGCCUAGCGAUAUAGCAAGAGCAUCUACAAGCGCAAAAUAAUUAAGGACAACCCUAUGGCUCUUGCGGGUUGUCGUAGCAUCGAUGUGCAAGUCGGUAUUUAACUAUUACAACAUGAUCAUCUGAUACAUCCAAUAUAUCAUAUCAUGUCUUUGGCCAUAUCACAUCACAUGCAUAGCCUGCAAAAACAAAUUAGACGUCCUCUAAUUUGUUGUUGCAUGUUUUACGUGGCUGCUAAGGGUAUCUAGUAUGAUCGCAUCUUACUUAUGCAAAGCCACAACGAUGGUAUGCAAAUUGCUAUUUAACCUUCUCCAAGGACCGCCUCGGUCAAAUCCGAUUCGACUAAACUUGAAGAAUAGGCACCCGUCAGUCAUCUUUAUGCAACAAGUUGUAUGUUAGUCGAUGAAACCGGUCUCUCGUAAGCGUACGAGUAAUGUUGGUUCAGGCCGCUUCAAUCCAACAAUACCGNNNNNNNNNNNNNNNNNNNNNNNNNNNNNNNNNNNNNNNNNNNNNNNNNNNNNNNNNNGGCCGCUUCAAUCCAACAAUACCGCUGAAUCAAGAAAAGACUAAGGAGGGCAGCAAAUUGAACAUCAACGCCCACAAAAUCUUUUGUGUUCUACUCGACAUAUCAUCUACGCAUGAACCUAGCUCAUGAUGCCACUGUUGGUGAACGUUGCAUGGGAAACAAAAAAAUUCCUAUGCACACGAAGACCUAUCAUGGUGAUGAUCAUCUAUGAGAGGGAGAUCAGAUCUACAUACCCUUGUAGAUCGCUAAGUGGGAAGCGUUAAUAAACGCGAUUGAUGUAGUGGAACGUCUUCCGUGAUUCAAAUCACCGUCGUCCUGUUGGAGAACGUCGCAUGGGAAACAAAAAUUUUCCUACGCGCAUGAAGACCUAUCAUGGUGAUGUCCAUCUACGAGAGGGGAUGAGUGAUCUACGUACCCUUGUAGACCGUACAGCAGAAGCGUUAGAGAACGCGGUUGAUGUAGUGGAACGUCCUCACACCCUUGUAGAUCGCACAGCAGAAGCGUUAAGAAACGCGGUUGAUGUAGUGGAACGUCCUCACGUCCCUCGAUCUGCCCUGCGAACCGUCCCACGAUCCGUCCCGCAAUCCGUCCCACGAUCCGCUCCGAUCUAGUGCCGAACGGACGGCACCUCCGCGUUCAGCACACGUACANNNNNNNNNNNNNNNNNNNNNNNNNNNNNNNNNNNNNNNNNNNNNNNNNNNNNNNNNNNNNNNNNNNNNNNNNNNNNNNNNNNNNNNNNNNNNNNNNNNNAAUAGGAUAUUGUUCUAAGACAAUUUUAUCUAUCUCAUCUCUCUCCUCCAUAUGCAUAUCAUCUCCUCCAUAUGCAUAUCAUUUUCAUGCUCAAGCAGAUAUUGCUCUAAAGGAUCCGUAGGAGGUACGACAAUAGAGGCAAGAGCAAUGAUUUCAUCUCUACGAGACGACUCUCUUUCAUGGGUUUGUCUUCCAAACUUGGAGAAGUUAAAUUCAUGAGACACACCCUCGAAACUAAAUCCGCUCUUCCAAACUUGGAGAAGUUAAAUUCAUGAGACACACCCUCGAAACUUACUGUGACAGUCUGCUUAAUGCAAUCAAUGUGAGCAUUGACAGUGUUGAGAAAGGGUCUACCGAAUAUGAUGGGACAAAAACUAUCUUGUGCAGUACCAAGGACGAGGAAAUCAGCAGGAUACUUCGUCUUACCAGACAAGACUUCUACGUCUCUCACAAUUCCCACACGACAGAUAGUGUCUCUAUUAGCUAGCAUAAUAGUGACAUCAAUGGGUUCUAACUCAGCAGGUGCAAUCUCAUCUUUGAUAUCAUCAUAUAGAGAACGGGGUAUUGCACUAACACUAGCUCCCAUAUCACAUAAACCAUGGUAACAGUGAUCUCCUAUCAUAACAGAAACAACGGGCAGGCCAACUACAGGUCCGUGUUUGUAUUUCGCGUGAGGUUUAGCAAUUCUAGCGGAGUCCUCACAGAAUUUGAUAACAUGCCCAUCUAUGUCUUCGGCUAAGAGAUCUUUGAUAAUAGCAACACUAGGUUCAACUCUAAUCUCCUCAGGGGGUGCAAGUGGUCUAAUGUAACCCCUACGUAUCAUAGUUGGAGCUUUAGAAUAAUCCUUUAUCCUAGCAGGGUAUGGUGGUUUCUCAGUGUAAGCACAAGGAACAACAGGAUCACUAAAAGCUAUGAUUUUAUCCUCAACUAGAUUGGUUUUGGCUAUGUUGCUUUCUACAGGAGGAUGAUAUUUAAACCACUUCUCUUUGGGAAGAUCAACAUGAGCAGCAAAAGANNNNNNNNNNNNNNNNNNNNNNNNNNNNNNNNNNNNNNNNNNNNNNNNNNNNNNNNNNNNNNNNNNNNNNNNNNNNNNNNNNNNNNNNNNNNNNNNNNNNAAAAAAAGAAGUUGAUGGUGCGGGGUAGCAAAAGUCAAAUGCCGGUUGUAACAAAUAUCUACGUGAACGUGUAUAUAACUUUUUUAGUGAACGGUUGCAACAAAAAAUGAUGUCGAUUGCAGCAAAAAUUAACACGGUUGUAGCAAAAGUAAAAAACACCGAUUGUAACGAAAAAAUCGAUGAACUUGAGUUAUAACCAAACGUAUAUACAAUUUUUUUAUUGGACAAAUGUAGAAAAAAACGUUUGUAGCAAAUGAAUCGAGCGGAAUUCCGUAGGGACCAAUUUUGCCGUUGAUUGCAGCACCAUAGUGCCGUUAUUUUGUUUGCCUUUGCGUUUCCAAAUGAAACAAGUUAGCCCUCUUCCAAACUCCUUUAUCAUACUAUAUACGUACUGUGCAAUGCUAAAAGGAAGGAAGCCUGAUGGCUGGUAACUAGCCGCUAGUUGGUGGUUUGGGGUGUGCGCGGUGGUGCUGCAGAAUGCGCUGCUGGAGUUCUUUCAGAAUGUUCAAAAGUAAAAAACACCGAUUGUAACGAAAAAAUCGAUGAACUUGAGUUAUAACCAAACGUAUAUACAAUUUUUUUAUUGGACAAAUGUAGAAAAAAACGUUUGUAGCAAAUAUGACGAUGGUUGCAACAAUUUAGACAAAAAAAUGUUACAUGCCUAAUCAGCGGGUCGUGUGCGGUCAGCCUUAUUUUUUCUGAAGAAAGUGUACGAGGCAAAGAUGUAACGUUAGUUUUCAGAAUGUUCAGACUUCCGGUGCUCCUUUUUUUUUUCUGAAGAAAGUUACACGGGAAUCUCUUGUCAAUUUCGUUUGUUAUUCGUUGAGAUCGUAUCAUAUGUCAGUUUGGUGUGUGGUUGUGUACAGUACAGAGAAAUUAAAAGAAGACACUCAAAUUUAGUACUGCAUCUAAUUUGAUUUUGUAAGUCUUCCCUUGAGAUUUGGUUUUAGUAGUUGAAUUUUGGGNNNNNNNNNNNNNNNNNNNNNNNNNNNNNNNNNNNNNNNNNNNNNNNNNNNNNNNNNNNNNNNNNNNNNNNNNNNNNNNNNNNNNNNNNNNNNNNNNNNNUAUAUUGGUGACAACAUAAUAAUUUCAGAUCUGAAAUCAUGGCACUCAGGCCCUAGUGACAAGCAUUAAGCAUGGCAAAGUAGUAGAAACAUCAAUCUCAGAACAUAGUGGAUACUAGGGAUCAAUCCCCAUCAAAACUAACUCGAUUACAUGAUAGAUCUCAUCCUACUCAUCACCGCCCAGCGAGCCUACGAAUAGAUUACUCACGAACGACGAAAAGCUUCAUGGAAUUGGAGAGGGAAGAAGGUUGAUGAUGACGAUGGCGACGAUUUCCCCUCUCCGGAGCCCAAGACGGACUCCAGAUCUGCCCUCCAGAUGACGAACAGGAGGUGGCGGCGCCUCCGUAUCAAAAACGCGACGAAAAGUUCUCUUUUUAUUUUUUUGGGACAAAAGGCAACUUAUAGAGCUGGAGUUGGGGCGGCAGGUGCGUGUGGGCCCCCACAAGCCCGCCCACCGCCAUCAGGGGGUGGUGGUGGAGCAGGGGCUUGUGGCCCACUGGCCCACCCCCUGAGGUGGAACUUGGCGCAAAUAUUUUUGAUAUUUUCCAAAACUGCUCCCCGUAAAUUUUCAGGACGUUUGGAGAACUUCGAUUUCUGCACAAAAAUAACACCAAGGCAAUUCUGCUGAAAACAGCGUUAGUCCAGGUUAGUUCCAUUCGAAUCAUGCAAAAUAGAGUCCAAAACAAGGGCAAAAGAGUUUGGAAAAGUAGAUACGAUGGAGACGUAUCAGUAGACAUACCUACUAUGUGAGCUUCAUAGAUGACUUUAGCAAAUACACUUGGAUCUAUCUUCUCAAGAAAAGAUCUGAUGUGUUUCAAGUUUUCCAAAAAUUUCAAGCACUCNNNNNNNNNNNNNNNNNNNNNNNNNNNNNNNNNNNNNNNNNNNNNNNNNNNNNNNNNNNNNNNNNNNNNNNNNNNNNNNNNNNNNNNNNNNNNNNNNNNNUUCAUUUUCAUAGUUUUGUCAAAUUCUCAAAUAUGCAAAAAGAAUUUUUAAUAAACAUAGUUUUUAAUUGAAACUAUAUGAGAAUUUAUAGAGAAAAUUCAACCUAAAUUCAAAGUGACCUCACUUUGAAUUCAGGUUGAAUUUUCUCCAUAAUUUUGAAUAUAGUUUCAAUUUUCAAAUUACAGUGAGUUUAGGCCCGUAAGCCUCCUUUAGAGAGGAGCUCGAUGGAGAUGCUGCGACGGGGCUUAUAAACUACUAUUAGCCCCCCUCGCUGGGCGAGGUGGGACUAAACUUAUCGUGCAGCCAGCGGAGGGGCUUUAGUCCCGGGUGGAGCCACGACCCGGGACUAAAGGGUGUCUUUAGUCCCGGCUCGAGCCCCGACCCGGGACUAAAGGCCCGUGCUUCCCGCCUUUUGGUGUGCCGAAAAAGGGUCUUUAGUCCCGGGUCGUGGAUCCACCCGGGACUAAAGACCCUUUAGUCCCGGGUCGUGGCUCCACCCGGGACUAAAGAUCCACCUAUAUAAGCGGGAGUUAGAAAAUUUCCAACCCAAAUCGCAUUUCGUUCUCUCCUUCUUCCUCGUUCUCCUGCCCGGCGCAGCACACCGACGAACUCGACGACGCCGUCAGGCUGCCCGCCGUCCUCCUCGCCGCCGUCGCCGUCGUCCUCCUCGCCGCCGCCUUCCUCCUCGCCGCCGCCUGCCGUCCUCCUCGCCGUCGUCGACGCCUCCGGCCGGUAAGCCCCCGCCCCCUCCUCCCCAACACUCCGGCCGGUAGAAGAAAAGAAGAAAAAGGAGAAGAAAAGAAGAAAAAGGAGAAGAAAAGAAGAAAAAGGGAAGAAAAGAAGAAAAAGGAGAAGAAAAGAAGAAAAAGGAGAAGAAAAAGGAGAAGAAAAUAAGAAAAAGGGAAGCAAGGAAGAAAAAGGAGAAGAAAGGAAGAAAAAUGAGAAGAAAGGAAGAAAAAGGAGAAGAAAGGAAGAAAAAGGAGAAGAAAAGAAGAAAAAGGAGAAGAAAAAGGAGAAAAAGGAGAAGAAAAGAAGAAAAAGGAGAAGAAAAAANNNNNNNNNNNNNNNNNNNNNNNNNNNNNNNNNNNNNNNNNNNNNNNNNNNNNNNNNNNNNNNNNNNNNNNNNNNNNNNNNNNNNNNNNNNNNNNNNNNNGUACAAUUCACAAAAUGAUUGGGUAUCAAAAGCUUUUAUCCAUCUCUCGUGAAAAAGACAAAUCUAUGUCGAAUCAGCUCGAAGCGGGUCAAAUUUAAACUGCGGCUGCCUUAUAGUUUGCUCUUUAUUUUUUCCAAAAAUCAUUUCUAGGUACACAAGUAUAUAUUUAAUCAUAGAAACACCAAAAGGUUUCCAAGAUUCAACCACUAGGUAGGAACGAUCAUGCCCGCCGUUUCGACCGCAUUUUGAAAGGCCAUGAAAAAUUCAAAAAAAAUCAAAAAAAUGGGAAACAUUUGCAUUAUGUCAUCAUAUGUGAUAAAGUUACCAUGUAAAAUUAAAAACUUGUAAUACGGCAAUUAUUUUUAAAAAGUGUUCACACAAAUGAGCUAUCAUGUGUGAAGAUUCAUGGCUUUCAAGCCAAAUGAUCAAUCUCAUGGCCAUAUUCAUGGCAUAGUUUGUUGAAAUGGUCUCAUAUUNNNNNNNNNNCAUGUGUGUAGAUUCAUGGCUUUCAAGCCACAUGAUCAAUCUCAUGGCAAUAUUCAUGGCAUAGUUUGUUUAAAUGGUAUUAUAUUUUGCAUAAUGGUGCAUGUUGGAAUGACAAACAAUGUUGAUUAAGGAAGUUUUCAUCUUCCUUGUAUGAAAAAUUCAUUUUUCAUUUUUCAAGUGCGUGAAAUGAGUUUUUUGUGAAGGACCUACCAUAUAUUUGUUUCAAAAUUGGUCCAAAUCAUUUUUCUAACAUACUAGGCCAUAUUUAAUAUACAAUUGACAAAAUGGUUGGGUGUCAAAAGCUUUUAUCCAUCACUCGUGAAAAAUACAAAUCUAUGUCGAAUCAGGUGGAGGCGGGUCAAAUUUGAACUGCGGCUGCCUUAUAGUUUGCUCUUUAUUUUUUCCAAAAAUCAUUUCUAGAUACAAAAGUAUCUAUUUAAUCAUAGAAACACCAAAAGGUUUUCAAGAUUCAACUACUAGGUAGGAACGGUCAUGCCCGCCGUUUCGACCGCAUUUUGAAAGGCCAUGAAAAAUUCAAAAAAAAUCAAAAAAAUGGGAAACCUUUGCAUUAUGUCAUCAUAUGUGAUAAAGUUACCAUGUAAAAUAAUAAACUUGUAAUACGACAAUUAUUUUUAAAAAGUUUUCACACAAAUGAGCAAUCAUGUGUGAAGAUUCAUGGCUUUCAAGCCACAUGAUCUAUCUCAUGGCCAUAUUCAUGGCAUAGUUUGUUGAAAUGGUCUCAUAUUUUGCAUAAUGGUGCAUGUUGGAAUAACAAACAAUGUUGAUUAAGAAAGUUUUCAUCUUCCUUGUAUGAAAAAUUCAUCUUUCAUUUUUCAUGUGCCCAAAAUGAGUUUUUUUGUGAAGGACCUACUAUAUAUUUGUUGCAAAAUUGGUCCAAAUCAUUUUUCUAACAUACUAAGCCAAAUUUAAUGUACAAUUGACAAAAUGGUUGGGUGUCAAAAGAUUUUAUCCNNNNNNNNNNAUAUCAUGUGUGAAGAUUCAUGGCUUUCAAGCCACAUGAUCAAUCUCAUGGCCAUAUUCAUGGCAUAGUUUAUUGAAAUGGUCUCAUAUUUUGCAUAAUGGUGCAUGUUGGAAUGACAAANNNNNNNNNNGCCAUAUAUUUGUUUCAAAAUUGGUCCAAAUCAUUUUUCUAAGAUAUUAAGCCAUAUUUAAUGUACAAUUGACAAAAUGGUUGGGUGUCAAAAGAUUUUAUCCAUCUCUCGUGAAAAAGACAAAUCUAUGUCGAAUCACCUCGAAGCGGGUCAAAUUUGAACUGCGGUUGCCUUAUAGUUUGCUUUUUUUUCCAAAAAUCAUUUCUAGGUACACAAGUAUCUAUUUAAUCAUAGAAACACCAAAAGAUUUCCAAGAUUCAACCAUUAGGUAGGAACGGUCAUGCCCGUCGUUUCGACCGCAUUUUGAAAGGCCAUGAAAAAUUCAAAAAAAAUCAAANNNNNNNNNNNNNNNNNNNNNNNNNNNNNNNNNNNNNNNNNNNNNNNNNNNNNNNNNNNNNNNNNNNNNNNNNNNNNNNNNNNNNNNNNNNNNNNNNNNNGUGUACAAAACGGACAAUCUCUCUCGAAGUAUGAGGGUUUCGAACGAGAACUCAUCUCUUACAAAGGGAUUUCAUUUUUUGAACUUAUUUGAACUCCAUACUUUUUGUGUGUUCAAAAUGCACCAUUAAAAGGCACAUCACAAAAUUUCAACAAUUUCUGACUUCAUUUGGUAUUCUUCGUGCAUUUACUUAUUUUUUUGAGCUAGUUGACCUUGAAAUUGAAAAGCACUACAAAUGAACUCUUAAAAUGUUGAAAGUUGGCAUGCUAUAAUCAUUUCACCCACAUAGCAUGUGUUAAAAAUUUGAGAGGGCUAUGACAAAAACCGGAUGCACUUCGUGUACAAAACGGACAAUCUCUCUCGAAGUAUCACGGUUUCGAACGAGAACUCAUCUCUUACAAAGGGAUUUCAUUUUUUUGAACUUAUUUGAACUUCAUACUUUUUGUGUGUUCAAAAUGCAUCAUUCAAAGGCACAUCACAAAAUUUCAACAAUUUCUCACUUAAUUUGGUAUUUUUCGGGCAUUUACUUUUUUUUGAGCUAGUUGACCCUAAAAUUGAAAAGCACUACAAAUGAACUCUGAAAAUGUUGAAAGUUGGCANNNNNNNNNNNNNNNNNNNNNNNNNNNNNNNNNNNNNNNNNNNNNNNNNNNNNNNNNNNNNNNNNNNNNNNNNNNNNNNNNNNNNNNNNNNNNNNNNNNNCACGAAGUGCAUCCAGUUUUUGUCGUAGCCCUCUCAACUUUUUUAACACAUGCUAUGUGGGUGAAAUGAUGAUACCAUGGCAACUUUCAACAUUUUCAGAGUUCAUUUGUAGUGCUUUUCAAUUUCAGGCUCAACUAGCUCAAAAAAAAGUAAAUGCACGAAGAAUACCAAAUGAAGUCAGAAAUUGUUGAAAUUUUGUGAUGUGCCUUUGAAUGGUGCAUUUUGUACACACAAAAAGUAUGGAGUUCAAAUAAGUUCAAAAAAAUGAAAUCCCUUUGUAAGAGAUGAGUUCUCGUUCGAAACCGUGAUACUUCGAGAGAGAUUGUCCGUUUUGUACACGAAGUGCAUCCAGUUUUUGUCGUAGCCCUCUCAACUUUUUAACACAUGCUAUGUGAGUGAAAUGAUGAUAGCAUGCCAACUUUCAACAUUUUCAUAGUUCAUUUGUAGUGCUUUUCAAUUUCAGGGUCAACUAGCUCAAAAAAAAGUUUUUAAUUGAAAAUAACAAAAUAGUUAAUAGUUUGGAUAGUCAAAAUAAUUUCUUUUGAAAAUAGAAAAUUAGUUUUGAAUUAUUUAUUCAAUUUCAAACACUUUUCAUUAUCAUAAUUUUGUCAAAUUCUCAAAUAUGCAAAAAGAAUUUUAAUAAACAUAGUUUUUAAUUGAAAAUAACAAAAUAGUUAAUAGUUUGGAUAGUCAAAAUAAUUACUUUUGAAAAUAGAAAAUAGUUUUGAAUUAUUUAUUCAAUUUCAAACACUUUUCAUUAUCAUAGUUUUGUCAAAAUUCUCAAAUAUGCAAAAAUAAUUUUAAUAAACACAGUUUUUAAUUGAAAAUAGCAAAAUAGUUAAUAGUUUGGAUAGUCAAAAUAAUUACUUUUGAAAAUAGAAAAUAGUUUUGAAUUAUUUAUUCAAUUUCAAACACUUUUCAAUAUCAUAGUUUUGUCAAAUUCUCAAAUAUGCAAAAAGAAUUUUAAUAAACAUAGUUUUUAAUUGAAAAUAACAAAAUAGUUAAUAGUUUGGAUAGUCAAAAUAAUUACUUUUGAAAAUAGAAAAUAGUUUUGAAUUAUUUAUUCAAUUUCAAACACUUUUCAUUAUCAUAGUUUUGUCAAAUUCUCAAAUAUGCAAAAAGAAUUUUAAUAAACAUAGUUUUUAAUUGAAAAUAACAAAAUAGUUAAUAGUUUGGAUAGUCAAAAUAAUUAAUUUUGAAAAUAGAAAAUAGUUGUGAAUUAUUUAUUCAAUUUCAAACACUUUUCAUUUUCAUAGUUUUGUCAAAUUCUCAAAUAUGCAAAAAGAAUUUUUAAUAAACAUAGUUUUUAAUUGAAACUAUAUGAGAAUUUAUAGAGAAAAUUCAACCUAAAUUCAAAGUGACCUCACUUUGAAUUCAGGUUGAAUUUUCUCCAUAAUUUUGAAUAUAGUUUCAAUUUUCAAAUUACAGUGAGUUUAGGCCCGUAAGCCUCCUUUAGAGAGGAGCUCGAUGGAGAUGCUGCGACGGGGCUUAUAAACUACUAUUAGCCCCCCUCGCUGGGCGAGGUGGGACUAAACUUAUCGUGCAGCCAGCGGAGGGGCUUUAGUCCCGGGUGGAGCCACGACCCGGGACUAAAGGGUGUCUUUAGUCCCGGCUCGAGCCCCGACCCGGGACUAAAGGCCCGUGCUUCCCGCCUUUUGGUGUGCCGAAAAAGGGUCUUUAGUCCCNNNNNNNNNNNNNNNNNNNNNNNNNNNNNNNNNNNNNNNNNNNNNNNNNNNNNNNNNNNNNNNNNNNNNNNNNNNNNNNNNNNNNNNNNNNNNNNNNNNNGGGAGUAGCGAGGGGGGGCUCCCUCGCCAGGGGGGCUCUAGGGUUUGAGGGGAGGGGGCGCGGGGGGGCCUGGCCGGUUGGGCUUCUUGGCCCAGCUGGGCCAGGGGGUGGGGGUUGCUUUUCCCUUUUUUUUAUUUGUUUUGUUUUGUUUUAUUUUGUUUUCUUUUUUUUCCUUUUUUAUUAUUUCUUCCUUUCCUAUUUAUUUUACUAUCUGAUUUUUCUUUUUAAAUACUUUCUUUUAUUAUACUUUCUUUUACAAUUUAUUAUACAUACUUUUAAUUCUUUCUUUCAUAUACAUAUUCUUUUAAUAUUUGUAAUGAACUUAUAAAGUACUUUUCUUUUGUUUUCAAAUUUUGAAUCCGGAUAGACUUGAAUCAACGCGGGUCUGAGAUGGGAAUUCGAUGACGUGGCAUCGUUAGCGGUUGAUCACUGUAGCUUAAUUACAAUAAUUACUGUUGCAAAAGUCGAGGAUGUCACAUGUACCUACAAAUGAUUUUUGGAAAAAAUAAAGAGCAAACUAUAAGGCAGCCGCAGUUCAAAUUUGACCCGCUUCCAGCUGAUUCGACAUAGAUUUGUCUUUUUCACGAGAGAUGGAUAAAAUCUUUUGACACCCAACCAUUUUGUCAAUUGUAUAUUAAAUAUGGCCUAGUAUGUUAGAAAAAUGAUUUGGACCAAUUUUGAAACAAAUAUAUGGUAGGUCCUUCACAAAAAACUCAUUUCACGCACUUGAAAAAUGAAAAAUGAAUUUUUCAUACAAGGAAGAUGAAAACUUCCUUAAUCAACAUUGUUUGUCAUUCCAACAUGCACCAUUAUGCAAAAUAUAAUACCAUUUAAACAAACUAUGCCAUGAAUAUUGCCAUGAGAUUGAUCAUGUGGCUUGAAAGCCAUGAAUCUACACACAUGAUAGCUCAUUUGUGUGAACACUUUUUAAAAAUAAUUGUCGUAUGACAAGUUUAUUAUUUUACAUGGUAACUUUAUCACAUAUGAUGACAUAAUGCAAAGGUUUCCCAUUUUUUUGAUUUUUUUUUGAAUUUUUCAUGGCCUUUCAAAAUGCGGUCGAAACGGCGGGCAUGACCGUUCGUACCUAAUGGUUGAAUCUUGGAAAUCUUUUGGUGUUUCUAUGAUUAAAUAUAAGGCAACCGCAGUUCAAAUUUGACCCGCUUCGAGCUGAUUCGACAUAGAUUUGUCUUUUUCACGAGAGAUGGAUAAAAUCUUUUGACACCCAACCAUUUUGUCAAUUGUACAUUAAAUUUGGCUUAGUAUGUUAGAAAAAUGAUUUGGACCAAUUUUGCAACAAAUAUAUAGUAGGUCCUUCACAAAAAAACUCAUUUUGGGCACAUGAAAAAUGAAAGAUGAAUUUUUCAUACAAGGAAGAUGAAAACUUUCUUAAUCAACAUUGUUUGUUAUUCCAACAUGCACCAUUAUGCAAAAUAUGAGACCAUUUCAACAAACUAUGCCAUGAAUAUGGCCAUGAGAUAGAUCAUGUGGCUUGAAAGCCAUGAAUCUUCACACAUGAUUGCUCAUUUGUGUGAAAACUUUUUAAAAAUAAUUGUCGUAUUACAAGUUUAUUAUUUUACAUGGUAACUUUAUCACAUAUGAUGACAUAAUGCAAAGGUUUCCCAUUUUUUUGUGAUUUUUUUUGAAUUUUUCAUGGCCUUUCAAAAUGCGGUCGAAACGGCGGGCAUGACNNNNNNNNNNNNNNNNNNNNNNNNNNNNNNNNNNNNNNNNNNNNNNNNNNNNNNNNNNNNNNNNNNNNNNNNNNNNNNNNNNNNNNNNNNNNNNNNNNNNAUUAUCGGAAGGUUUUCGGAGUUACCGGGAAUGUACCGGGAAUGACGAAUGGGUUCCGGGAGUUCACCGGGGGGGAACCCACCCCGGGGAAGCCCAUAGGCAUUGGGGGUGGCGCACCAGCCCUUAGUGGGCUGGUGGGACAGCCCAAAAGAGCCCUAUGCGCCAUAGGAAGAAAAAUCAAAGAGAAAAAAAAGAGGAGGUGGGAAAAGGGGGAAGGACUCCUCCUUCCAAACCUAGUUGGACUCGGUUUGGAAGGGGAGGGCUGCCCCCCUUGGCUCGGCCGAAGCCCUUAGGGGUCCUUGGACCCCAAGGCAAGGCUCCCCCUCUUCCCCCUAUAUAUACGGAGGUUUUAGGGCUGAUUUGACACAACUUUGCCACGGCAGCCCGACCACAUAUCUCCACAGUUUUACCUCUAGAUCGCGUUUCUGCGGAGCUCGGGCGGAGCCCUGCUGAGACGAGAUCAUCACCAACCUCUAGAGCGCCGUCACGCUGCCGGAGAACUCUUCUACCUCUCCGUAUCUCUUGCUGGAUCAAGAAGGCCGAGAUCAUCGUCGAGCUGUACGUGUGCUGAACGCGGAGGUGCCGUCCGUUCGGCACUAGAUCGUGGGACUGAUCGCGGGACGGUUCGCGGGGCGGAUCGAGGGAUGUGAGGACAUUCCACUACAUCAACCGCGUUCACUAACACUUCUGCUGUACGGUCUACAAGGGUACGUAGAUCACACAUCCCCUCUCGUAGAUGGACAUCACCAUGAUAGGUCUUCGUGCGCGUAGGAAAUUUUUUGUUUCCCAUGCGACGUUCCCCAACAGUGGCAUCAUGAGCCAGGUUCAUGUGUAGAUGUCUUCUCGAGUAGAACACAAAAGUUUUUGUGGGCGGUGAUGUGCGUUUUGCUGCCCUCCUUAGUCUUUUCUUGAUUCCGCGGUAUAGUUGGAUCGAAGCGGCUCGGACCGACAUUACUCGUACGCUUACUUGACGAGCACUCGGGUUAAGCUUGCAUGCNNNNNNNNNNNNNNNNNNNNNNNNNNNNNNNNNNNNNNNNNNNNNNNNNNNNNNNNNNNNNNNNNNNNNNNNNNNNNNNNNNNNNNNNNNNNNNNNNNNNUCUCCCACUUUCACUAGAGUCAAUAAUCUAGUUCACAUCACCAUGUGAUUCCAACGAAUCCAACACCCAUAUUGUUAUGGGGUCUGAUCACGUCUUGCUCUUGAGAGAGGUUUUUAGUCAACGGUUCUGAAACUUUCAGAUCCGUGUGUUCUUUACAAAUCUUUAUGUCAUCUUAUAGAUGCUGCUACUAUGUGCUAUUCGGAAAUACUCCAAAUAUCUACUCUACUAUACGAAUCCGUUUCACUACUCAUAGUUAUUCGGAUUAGUGUCAAAGCUUGCAUCGACGUAACCCUUUACGACGAACUCUUUAACCACCUCCAUAAUCGAGAAAAAUUCCUUAGUCCAUUUGUUACUAAGGAUAAAUUUUGACCGCUGCUGGUGAUUCAAUCAUGGAUCACUCUCUGUACCUCUCAACAGAUUUUGAGUCAAGGCACACAUCAGGUGCGGUACACAGCAUGGCAUACUUUAGAUUCUACGGCUAAGGCAUAGAAGACGACCUUCGUCUAUUCUCUUUAUUCUGCCGUGGUCGGGUUUUGAGUCUUACUCAAAUUCACACCUCACAACGCAACCAAGAACUCCUUCUUUGCUGAUCUAUUUUUGAACUCUUUCAAAAACUUGUUAAGGCAUGCAUCUUGUUGAAACUUCUAUUAAGCGCUUUCGAUCUAUCUCCAUAGAUCUUUGAUGCUCAACGUUCAAGUAGCGUAAUCCAGGUACUCCUUUGAAAACUUCUUUCAAACAACCUUGUAUGCUUUACAGAAAUUCUACAUUACUUCUGAUCCACAAUAUGUCAACCACAUAUUCCUAUCAGAAAUUCUACAGUGCUCCCACUCACUUCUUUGGAAAUACAAGUUUCUCAUAAACCUUGUACAAACCCAAAAUCUUUGAUCAUCUCAUCAAAGUGUAUAUUCCAACUCCGAGAUGCUUGCACCAGUCCAUUGAAGGAUCACUGGAGCUUGCAUACUUGCUAGUAUCUUUAGGAUCGACAAAACCUUCUGGUUGUAUCACAUACAAUGUUUGCUCAAGGAAACCGUCGAGAAAACAAUGUUUUGGCAUCCUACAUGCAAUAUUUCAUAAAUAAUGCAUCAACAACUAACAUAAUUCUAACAGACUUUUAGCAUCGCUACGAGUGAGAAAGUCUCAUCAUAGUCAACUGUUUGAUCUUAUCGAAAACAUCUUUGCGACAAGUCGAGCUUUUCUUAAUAGUGACUUAUCACCAUCAUCGUCUGUCUUCUUUUAAAGAUCCAUUUUUACUCAAUAGUCCUAUGACCAUCAAGUAGUUCUACCAAAGUCUACACUUUGUUUUCACACAUGGACCCUCUCUCGGAUUUCAUGGCUUCUAGCCAUUUGUCGGAAUCUGGGCCCACCAUCGCUUUCUCCAUAACUCGUAGGUUCACUCUUGCUCAACAACAUGACCUCCAAGACAGGGUUACCGUACUACUCUGCAGCAGUACGCGACCUUGUCGACCUACGAGGUUUGUAGUAACUUGAUUCAAAGCUCAAUGAUCAUCAUCAUCAGCUUCCACUUCAAUUGGUGUAGGCACCACAUGAACAACUUCUUGCGCCCUGCUACACACUGGUUGAAGUGAUGGUUCGAUAACCUCAUAAAGUUCUACUACCCUCCCACUCAAUUCUUUCGAGAGAAACCUUUCCUCGAGAAAGGAUCCGUUUCUAGAAACAAACACUUUGCUUUCGGAUCUGAGAUAGGAGAUGUACCCAACUGUUUUGGAUAUCCUAUGAAGAUGCAUUUAUCCGCUUUGGGUUCGAGCUUAUCAGACUAAAACCUUUUUCACAUAAGUUUCGAAGCCCCAAACUUUCAAGAAACGACAGUUUAGAUUUCUCUAAACCUCAGUCUAUACUGUGUCAUCUCAACGGAAAUACGCGGUGCCCUAUUUAAAGUGAAUGUGGUUGUCUCUAAUGCAUAACCCAUAAACGAUAGUGGUAAUUCGAUAAGAUACAUCACAUCAUGCACCAUACUAAAUAGUGCGUGGUAUGACGUUCAGACACAUCAUCACACCAUGAUGUUCCAGGUGGCAUGAACUGUGAAACAAUUUCCACAUUGUCUUAACUGUGUACCAAAAACUCGUAACUCAGAUAUUCAUUUCUAUGAUCAUAUCGUAGACAGUUCAUCCUCUUGUUACGACGAACUUCACUCUGAAACAGAAUUGAACUUUUCAAUAUUUCAGACUUGUGAUUCAUUAAGUAAAUACUCCUGUAUCUACUCAAGUCGUCAGUGAAGUAAGAACAUAAUGAUAUCCACUGCGUGCCUCAGCACUCACUGGACUGCAUACAUCAAAAUGUAUCACUUCCAACAAGUUACUAUCUUGUUUCAUCUCAAUGAAAACAAGGCCUUGCUCAUGUGGUAUGAUUUGCAUGUCACUAGUGAUUCGAAAUCAGGUGAGUAAAGAUCCAUCAGCAUGGAGCCUCUUCAUGCAAUUCAUACUAACAUGACUCAAGCGGCAGUGCCACAAGUAAGUGGUACUAUCAUCAUUUAACUCGUAUCUUUUGGCACCAAUGUGUAACACUACAAUCGAGAUUCAAUAAACCAUUGAAGGUGAUUAUUCAAGCAAAUAGAGUAACCAUUAUUCUCUUCGAAUGAAUAAUCGUAUUGCAAUAAACACGAUCCAAUCAUGUUCAUGCCUAACGCAAGCACCAAAUAACAAUUAUUUAGGUUCAACACCAAUCCCGAUGGUAGAGGGAGCGUGCGACGUUUGAUCAUGUCAACCUUGGAAACACUUCCAACACGUAUCGUCACCUCGCCUUUAGCUAGUCUCCGUUUAUGUCGUAGCUUUCAUUUCGCGUUACUAAUCACUUAGCAACCGAACCGGUAUCCAAUACCCUCAUGCUACUAGGAGUACUAGUAAAGUACACAUCAACAUUAUGUAUAUCAAAUAUACUUCUUUCGACUUUUGCCAGCCUUCUUAUCUACCAAGUAUCUAGAGUUGCUCCGCCUCAGUGACUGUUCCCCUUAUUACAGAAGCACUUAGUCUCGGGUUUGGGUUUAAUCUUGGGUCUCUUCAUUAGCGCAGCAACUGUUUUGCCGUUUCACGAAGUAUCCCUUCUAGCCCUCGCCUUUCUUGAAACUUAGUGGUUUUCCAAACCAUCAACUAUUGAUGCUCCUUCUUGAUUUCUACUUUCGCAGUGUCAAACGUCGCGAAUCGCUCAAGGAUCAUUGUAUCUAUCCUUGAUAUGUCAUAGUUCAUCACGAAGCUCUCAAAGCUUGGUGGCAGUGACUUUUGGAGAACCAUCACUAUCUCAUCUGGAAGAUUAGCUCCCACUUGAUUCAAGUGAUUGUCGUACUCAGACAAUCUGAGCACAUGCUCAACGAUUGAGCUUUUCUCCUUUACUUUGUGGUCAAAGAAUCUUGUUGGAGGUCUAGUACCUCUUAACAAGGGCACAAGCAUGAAAUCACAAUUGCAUCUCUUCGGAACAUCACUCAUGUUCCGUGACGUUUUACAACGUUUUCGGCGCCUUGCUUCUAAGCCAUCAAGUAUCUUGCACUGAACUAUCGUGUAGUCAUCAGUAAUGUGUAUGUCGGAUGUUCAUAGCAUCCACAGACGACGCUCGAGGUGCAGCACACCGAGUGGUGCAUUAAGGACAUAAGCCUUCUGCGUAGCAACGAGGACAAUCCUCGGUUUUACAGACUCAGUCUGCAAAGGUUGCUACUAUCAAUUUUCAACUAAAUUUUCUCUAGGAACAUAUAAAAACAGUAGAGCUAUAGCGCAAGUUACAUCGUAAUUCGCAAAGACCAUUAGACUAUGUUCAUGACAAUUAGUUCAAUUAAUCGUAUUACUUAAGAACUCCCACUCAAAAAGUACAUCUCUCUAGUCAUUUGAGUGGUACAUGAUCCAAAUCCGCUAUCUCAAGUCCGAUCAUCACGUGAGUCGAGAAUAGUUUCAGUGGUAAGCAUCCCUAUGCUAAUCAUAUCAACUAUACGAUUCAUGCUCGACCUUUCGGUCUCAUGUGUUCCGAGGCCAUGUCUGCACAUGCUAGGCUCGUCAAGCUUAACCCGAGUGUUCCGCGUGUGCACUGUUUUGCACCCGUUGUAUGUGAACGUUGAGUCUAUCACACCCGAUCAUCACGUGGUGUCUCGAAACGAAGAACUGUCGCAACGGUGCACAGUCGGGGAGAACACAAUUUCGUCUUGAAAUUUUAGUGAGAGAUCACCUCAUAAUGCUACCGUCGUUCUAAGCAAAAUAAGGUGCAUAAAAGGAUUAACAUCACAUGCAAUUCAUAAGUGACAUGAUAUGGCCAUCAUCACGUGCUUCUUGAUCUCCAUCACCAAAGCACCGGCACGAUCUUCUUGUCACCGGCGCCACACCAUGAUCAUCCAUCAACGUGUUGCCAUCGUGGUUGUCGUGCUACUUAUGCUAUCACUACUAAAGCUACAGCCUAGCAAAAUAGUAAACGCAUCUGCAAGCACAUAUGUUAGUAUAAAGACAACCCUAUGGCUCCUGCCGGUUGCCGUACCAUCGACGUGCAAGUCGAUAUUUCUAUUACAACAUGAUCAUCUCAUACAUCCAAUAUAUCACAUCACAUCGUUGGCCACAUCAUAUCACAAUCAUACCCUGCAAAAACAAGUUAGACGUCCUCUAAUUUUGUUGUUGCAUGUUUUACGUGGUGACCAAGGGUAUCUAGUAGGAUCGCAUCUUACUUACGCAAGCACCACAACGGAGAUAUAUGAGUUGCUAUUUAACCUCAUCCAAGGACCUCCUCGGUCAAAUCCGAUUCAACUAAAGUUGGAGAAACCGACACUUGCCAGUCAUCUUUGAGCAAAGGGGGUUACUCGUAACGAUGAAACCAGUCUCUCGUAAGCGUACGAGUAAUGUCGGUCCAAGCCGCUUCAAUCCAACAAUACCGCGGAAUCAAGAAAAGACUAAGGAGGGCAGCAAAACGCACAUCACCGCCCACAAAACCUUUUGUGUUCUACUCGAGAAGACAUCUACGCAUGAACCUAGCUCAUGAUGCCACUGUUGGGGAACGUCGCAUGGGAAACAAAAUUUUUCCUACGCGCACGAAGACCUAUCAUGGUGAUGUCCAUCUACGAGAGGGGAUGAGUGAUCUACGUACCCUUGUAGAUCGUACAGCAGAAGCGUUAGUGAACGCGGUUGAUGUAGUGGAACGUCCUCACGUCCCUCGAUCCGCCCCGCGAACAAUCCCGCGAUCAGUCCCACGAUCUAGUACCGAACGGACGGCACCUCCGCGUUCAGCACACGUACAGCUCGACGAUGAUCUCGGCCUUCUUGAUCCAGCAAGAGAGACGGAGAGGUAGAAGAGUUCUCCGGCAGCGUGACGGCGCUCCGGAGGUUGGUGAUGACCUUGUCUCAGCAGGGCUCCGCCCGAGCUCCGCAGAAACGCGAUCUAGAGGAAAAACCGUGGAGGUAUGUGGUCGGGCUGCCGUGGAAAAGUCGUCUCAAAUCAGCCCUAAAACCUCCGUAUAUAUAGGUGGGAGGGAGGGGAGGAGGCAGCCUCAAAACCUAAAGGUUUGGCCGAAAUUGGAGGUGGAGGAGUCCUACUCCAAUCCUACUUGGAGUAGGAUUCCACCUUCCCACUUGGAAACUCUUUCCACCUUGUGUUUUUUCCUUCUCAAACCUUAUGGGCCUUAGUGGGAACUUAUUCCAGCCCACUAGGGGCUGGUUUAUCUCUUCCCAUAGCCCAUGAGACCCCUUGGGGCGUGACACCCCUCCCGAUGGUCCCCGACACCCCUCCCGGCACUCCCAGUACACUACCGAUGAUCCCGAAACUUUUCCGGUAAUGCACGAAAACCUUCCGGUAACCAAAUGAGGUCAUCCUAUAUAUCAAUCUUCGUUUCCGGACUAUUCCGGAAACCCUCGUGACGUCCGUGAUCUCAUCCGGGACUCCGAACAACAUUCGGUAACCAACCAUAUAACUCAAAUACGCAUAAAACAACGUCGAACCUUAAGUGUGCAGACCCUGCGGGUUCGAGAACUAUGUAGACAUGACCCGAGAGACUCCUCGGUCAAUAUCCAACAGCGGGACCUGGAUGCCCAUAUUGGAUCCUACAUAUUCUACGAAGAUCUUUAUCGUUUGAACCUCAGUGCCAAGGAUUCGUAUAAUCCCGUAUGUCAUUCCCUUUGUCCUUCGGUAUGUUACUUGCCCGAGAUUCGAUCGUCAGUAUCCGCAUACCUAUUUCAAUCUCGUUUACCGGCAAGNNNNNNNNNNNNNNNNNNNNNNNNNNNNNNNNNNNNNNNNNNNNNNNNNNNNNNNNNNNNNNNNNNNNNNNNNNNNNNNNNNNNNNNNNNNNNNNNNNNNGACACCCAACCAUUUUGUCAAUUGUACAUUAAAUAUGGCUUAAUAUCUUAGAAAAAUGAUUUGGACCAAUUUUGAAACAAAUAUAUGGCAGGUCCUUCACAAAAAAACUCAUUUCGGGCACUUGAAAAAUGAAAAAUGAUUUUUUCAUACAAGGGAGAUGAAAACUUCCUUAAUCAACAUUGUUUGUCAUUCCAACAUGCACCAUUAUGCAAAAUAUGAGACCAUUUCAAUAAACUAUGCCAUGAAUAUGGCCAUGAGAUUGAUCAUGUGGCUUGAAAGCCAUGAAUCUUCACACAUGAUAUAUAGCUCAUUUGUGUGAACACUUUUUAAAAAUAAUUGUCGUAUGACAAGUUUAUUAUUUUACAUGGUAACUUUAUCACAUAUGAUGACAUAAUGCAAAGGUUUCCCAUUUUUUGUUUUUUUUGAAUUUUUCAUGGCCUUUCAAAAUGCGGUCGAAACGGCGGGCAUGACCGUUCGUACCUAAUGGUUGAAUCUUGGAAACUCUUUUCCGGUGUUUCUAUSRUWWAAUAUAAGGCAACCGCAGUUCAAUUGUACCCGCCUCGAGCGUGAUUCGACAUAGAUUUGUCUUUUUCACGAGAGAUGGAUAAAAUCUUUUGACACCCAACCAUUUUGUCAAUUGUACAUUAAAUUGGCUUAGUAUGUUAGAAAAAUGAUUUNNNNNNNNNNNNNNNNNNNNNNNNNNNNNNNNNNNNNNNNNNNNNNNNNNNNNNNNNNNNNNNNNNNNNNNNNNNNNNNNNNNNNNNNNNNNNNNNNNNNUAUAGGAUCACGUGGUCAUGUGGAAACCAGUCGGUUACUUCAAAAGAAGGUAUCGGAUCGGAAUGUCCGCAAGAGUGAGCCUUGCUAGUGGAGUGGAUGUACAACCCAGCCACCAGGUUCAAGUCCCAUCGGGCGCGUAAUUAGGGUUCUUAUUAUUUUAAAAAACUCGCUAUGGGGUCCCUUACAGUUUACCUUCAAAAAAAAAUCGUUCGGCCGGUCGCGUGCGGCCCACGCGUUGUGGCUUGUCAGUGCAUGCUAACAUUUUUUGUCCAGAUUUGCUACAACCGCAAUAAAAUUUGCUUACAAGCGUCUUUUUAUUUUUKKUUACAUUUUGUUCAUUAAAAAAGCUACAUUCACGUUUGGUUGUAACUCGAGUUAGUUGAAUUUUUUUGCUAUAACCGUGUUAAUUUUKKCUACAAUCGGCAUCAUUUUUUGUCUUCAACCGUUCACUAAAAAAAGUUAGCGUACACGUUCGUUAGAGUUGCAACCCGAGUUCACUAGAUUGUUUUGUCUACAACCCUUACUUUUGUUUUGUCUAUCACGCAUCAUCAACUUCGUUUUUUUACUUACGAUCACGUAGAUAUUUUUUUGUCUACAAUUAUUUUUUUGUUUGCAGCCGUUGACGAAAAUUAUUGCAUCGUGCCAAAAUUUAACUGUAUUAAAAAAAAUWGUUGCAUGGAUAGAUUUAAUGGUACGCCCCAUGGAUAUGACGGUCGCGCCUACGCGUAAUACUGCCUUCCCGAUCAUGCGAACGGGCGCCUGAGCGAUCUCUAGCGAGCUUUGCUAUACUUACAAGGUGUUACAGGGAUGAGGGGUUACAUCUUGUGGGAGUUUUUAAUUGGUCAUUAGUAGAGGCACGUGCCCAUCCCAUUGAAUGAUUGAAAUACUGUGUGUGUAUGUCUACCAUUUUUUAUCACUAGCGGCCUAGCCAUGUCCUUUCUUCUUCUUUUCUUCCCGMUCUACCCCCUAACUCUCUUUGGCGAAUAAAUGGCGUUGUUGAUGACUCAACAACAGCGGUUCUGAGCGAUAGCGGAUAUCGGCAACAUGAACUCGAAUUGUUCACGAGUUGGAGACGCGUCGCCAUCCCGGCGCUGGCACUGAUCCAUUUAUCAUCAUCUAAAUUUUAUAUCGUUGAUCUAUGUGGUUCUGUAGAACUUACGCGGACAUCAGCUACAGGAUGUGCAAUAAGAAUUCCAGCGUUGGGAACGUCACACUGUCCCCCUAGUAAAUGUAGUUCUAUGAAGUGGGUUUUCUGUUGUUAGCGUGCAACAGCCAUCGGUGACGACGUAUUUGAACAAUAUUCCAUGUUACACUAUUGUGCCUUUUGAACAGAACAAAUUCAAUUAUUGAAAGAACAUUAUGUACUUUAUUUAAAAGAAACUAUGUUUUUGAUCCCUUAAGUUUUCAAAAAGUAUAGACUUGGUUCCUCAAGAUUUUUUGGUAUACAUUUGGUCCCUCAAGCUUAAAACCGGAUAAGUUUGGUCGUAAACCAGAUUUUGAGCCCGUUGACCGGGUUUGACCGCCACAAAACCGCCUGAUGAACAAUAAUUUUAAAAAAAUGUCCAACAUGCUUACAUGCGCAAGGUGCGGCCAAAAUUUUAUGGUAUUUCCACACUCGAGGACCUCCUGGCAAAAAACAAAAUAAUCUAUGUUCGAUGAACCGUAAAUUCAAAAAAUAUUUGAAAAAAUUCAAAUAAUCUGAAAUUAUUUGAGGUCUAAUGUACUUAUAUGCUCAGUGCGACCAAAGUUGUCGUCUUCGACAUUCGAGGAGCCCGUAGGACUAAAAAACUAAAUUUUGCUACAACAAAAAUAGACCUAAAUUUGUUUUUUGCUAGAGCCCGUCCGAUAUUAUUUCAUGACUAAACUUUCGGUCGCACGUUGCGCAUGUAAGCAUAUUCGGACCUAAUUUUUUUCAUUUUAUAAAUUGUUUGAAUUUUUUUGGAUUACUAUUCACCAGGAAGAGUUUUUUUAACCAACCGACUCCUCGAGUGUCGAAAGAGCACGGAAUUUUGGUCGACCUUGCGCAUGUAAGCAUAUUAGAUCCCAAAAAAAUUCAGUUUUUUUUAUAUUUWRUUUUAUUUUUUUAAGUACUGUUCAUCAGGUGGUUUCGUGACGGUCAAACCCGGUCAACGGGCUCAAAAUCUGGUUUAGGACCAAACUUAUCCGAUUUUGAGACUUGAGGGACCAGAUGUAUACCAAAAUUUUCUGAGGGACCAAGUGUAUACUUUUUGAAAACUGGACCAAAAACAUACUUUUCUCUUUAUUUAAUUUGAGGUGUUAUGGACGAAAGAAACUUCUAUAUAAAUAAAUUUGUUCACCAUAUUUAGCUCUGCUUAAGCUGAAAACCUUCCUAUAUACACUGCACAUCCGUCUCCUCCUUUGCCCACAAUAUGUACGAAUUGCACGAAAUGAUUAGUCAGCGAUUGCUACUAGUAGUACAUUAUAUUCCAUGGAUAAUCCAUGGGCUUCCUUGAGCACAGUAAUACUUAAGUGCAUUCCAACAAAUAAUGAUUACAAGCCAGUCAUGUAAAGUAAUUCGAUGUACAAAUACAUGUGUAAUUCCAUAAUGAUGAUCUUUCGAGUAUUAACGAUUUCGACCAAUUUGAAUAUAGUUGCAAGACACAUGAUUCCAACAACCACCUCGGCCAUUGANNNNNNNNNNNNNNNNNNNNNNNNNNNNNNNNNNNNNNNNNNNNNNNNNNNNNNNNNNNNNNNNNNNNNNNNNNNNNNNNNNNNNNNNNNNNNNNNNNNNCUGUUUUCGGGUGAGGCACAGACGUGCCUCUCGCAAAGGCAAAACUGUGCCUUUCGCGGAAGCAAAACCAUGCCUCUCGCAAAAAAAAAACAUUUUUUUUCCUUUUGGAAGAGGCACGGGGUUGCCUCUCGCAAAGGCAAACCCGUGCCUUUCGCAGAAGCAAAACCGUGCAUCUCGAAAAAAAACAGAAAAUGCGAUUUUUUUCCUUUCCGAAAGGCACAGGCGUGCCUCUCGCGAAGGCAAAACCGUGUCUUUCGUGAAAGCAAAACCGUGCCUCUCGCAAAAAAAGAAAAUGCGUCUUUUUCCCUUUCCGAGAGGCACGGGCAUGCCUCUCGCGAAGGCAAACCCGUGCCUCUCGCAAAAAAAAAACAAAAACGARKUUUUUCACGUAAAAAAAAGAAAACGCGUUUUUUACGCAAAAAAAAAAACUAUUUUACGUCCAAAAGUUACGAAAGACCGGUUCAAAAACCAUAAAACCAAAAAACAAAAAAAAAUACAAGAAAAACCAACUCAAAAAAGGCGAAAACGCGUAGCGAAAAAGUAAAUAAAUAAAAAAUCCGAAAGGAACGCUCAGAGCGUGACACGUGGCAACGGCUGAAAACGCGUCAAGUGACGGCGCGCGGGAGCGAUCGCUGGAAGGCUCGCGAGGGAGCGCUCGCUAACUAGUCUUAAUAAUCCAUUUUCUUAUAGUAUUAUUUUGGGCCACCGACAUCGAAUUGGCCCUCCUKGKUUUUUUUUUUGAGAAAAGACACCCACGGGAGCAUCGCAUAUGUCAUAUUUAUCCAGAAAGCAACAACACAAACAAAGGACAACGAAACAAAAAACGAGAUGUGAGAAAUAAAAUUGCAUUAAGACCACAUUGGUCCUCUUCUACGUGUGCUUAAUCGUCUUUGUCGCGGCUCGGCCAGUCUGCAAUGGGAGCUCCAUAUCCGCGCCCCCUCCGGGNNNNNNNNNNNNNNNNNNNNNNNNNNNNNNNNNNNNNNNNNNNNNNNNNNNNNNNNNNNNNNNNNNNNNNNNNNNNNNNNNNNNNNNNNNNNNNNNNNNNUCUUAGCAGAAUGUUGCAUAGCUGUUGUAAUUGUGUUGUUCUGUUGUGUACCAAAUAUAGGAAAUUAUGGGGUGGGGGAUUUCUGGGGAAUUGAGGGGAUUUGGUGGAGGGGAGGGUAUCAUCAAAUCCCCACCAAUCCCAAGCCCUUGGGGUGGAAAACAUGUUGGGUCUAGUCCCACAUCGAUUGUGGGAGGAGACAUAACACGACUUAUAAGGGUGAGGGUGUCCCCUCCUAAUAGGCUAGUUCUUUGUSGGGGGGGGGGGGAGGGCCCAAGUCCUGUCAUAAGUCGGUGUUGCUCUUCGGUUGGGCCUGUUGACGCAUGUGGGUCGGAACGCUGGUGUUAGCGAACCCGAGAUUGCGUAACAAGUGGUAUCAGAGCCCAGGUGCCCGGAAUAAAUCUCGGUGGACUCACGGGUGGUCGGUCAUGGUUGGUGGGCUGGAGACGCUGGUAUUAGCGGGUCCAUGGGUGACCGAUGUGUGAGGAGGAGUUUGUUGGGUCUAGUCCCACAUCGAUUUUGGGAGAAGACAUAACACGACUUAUAAGGGUGAGGGUGUCCCCUCCUAAUAGGCUAGUCUUUUGGGGGGAGGAGGGCCCAAGGCCUGCCAUAAGUCGGUGUUGCUCUCCGGUUGGGCCUGUUGACGCAUGUGGGUCGGAACGCUGGUGUUAACGGACCCGGGAUUGCGUAACAAAACACGAGUGCCAAAUGAGGCCUAAAUGUGAUUGUGAUGACACUAGGGGCAAGUUUCGACUCACUCGGGGAGGGGGAAGAAGGGUUUAAGAAUAAGAUACGGGAAGAACUGUCUGAAUGUUAAGAGAACGAAAUGCAUGCAUGAAAUCAAUGGCGCAGCUAGACAAGAUUCUUAGGGGGGGGACAAACAUAAAAUAUGGAUAUUUAAGGGGGUCAAAUGCUAAAAGUUUCCUAAUCUAAUCAGUCUUAUUUUUUUUUCUUCUUGCUUUUAGCCAAGGUUGGGGGCCACGUCACCUGCAGCGCUGCACAUAGCUGCAUGAAAUUGUGUAUGGCUGAUCGGUAAGGAUAAAUCACGAGUGGACAUGGUGCCACACGAGCAUGGUAUCCACCACUCAUUUCUUCGUGAUUCGUGUUGUAUUUACAUUGCCAAAAUGUAUAUGGGUCGUAUUCUAUGUAUAAUAGAUGAGUAUGGCCCACAAAUCUGCACAAGUGCAGUUAAAGCUCAUUGAUGACCACACCGAUCCCACACUACUGAUUAGAGGAGCUAUUCUCUUAGGCUGGUCACAAUGGAGAGUAACAUAAGGUAGGAACCUACACGCUUUCCUAGACUAUGUUCCUACCUCCACAAUGGGGAGUAACAUGUAUGUAGUGUCAUGCAACAAUGCAUUUAUUAGGCUAUAGACUCAUUGUUUCUUGGAGUGUGUGAUGUUCCGGUAACUUAGCUAGUUACCACAAGCACCUCUCUCUUCACUAAAUACGUGCCACAUAGCAAAGUUGUAUUGAAGUGUGUGAUGUUACUGCUAAGUUCCUCCCCAUUGUGACCAGUCCUUAGUUAUUUGCAGCGUACAUCAACGCCAACCCGCACCAUUGCAUGCAUUUUCUCCCCAUUCAUUGUUUAUUCUGCUCCUCUCGCACUCAUCUUGCUUCUCUAGUUCUCCCUCUUCGUUCAUGGCAUUGCUAGCUAGGAUUCAUNNNNNNNNNNNNNNNNNNNNNNNNNNNNNNNNNNNNNNNNNNNNNNNNNNNNNNNNNNNNNNNNNNNNNNNNNNNNNNNNNNNNNNNNNNNNNNNNNNNNUACAUGUAAGGCUGCAACGACAUAGGGAUGUAAUUGUUGCUCGCAAGGGGAAAAAGCUAGCAAGUUUUUUUAUACAAAAAAGGAAGUAAUUGUACUUUUUUUUAGACAGUCUCACAAAGAUUUAUUUAAUUGAGACCAAUGUUUAUAGGAAUAAAUGCAAGAUCACCGGGAUUCCCUAAUCACACAUGGCGGCUAAUCCCUAGUCUAGUAACAUGCUUCGCUAAAUUGUGAGUCUCGAAAUUCGAUCUCCUAAAUUCAUGAGCAUAAGUACAAGAAGUAAAUGAGUUUUUAUGAUCUAUGAUCUCAUGUAAUAUAGCUCCAUAGCUUGGCGGGUUCUUUUGCUUGAUAUCAUCCACCACCACCUUGCAGUCUCAGGCCACAUAUAUGUUUUGCACAUUGGGAUCAUUCGCAAGGGCUAAGGCCUCACGCACCGCUAGUGCUUCAAGAGUUGUUGGAUCACUUAUACGUUUGAAGACAAUGGUCGACGCCCCUUGGAAUGUUCCAUUGUGAUCACGACAUAUGGCGGUAGCAACCGCUCUUCUCUGAUUCGGUGAAACAGCAACAUCAACGUUUACCUUGAACACUCGCGCCGACGGAUNNNNNNNNNNNNNNNNNNNNNNNNNNNNNNNNNNNNNNNNNNNNNNNNNNNNNNNNNNNNNNNNNNNNNNNNNNNNNNNNNNNNNNNNNNNNNNNNNNNNCAUUAUGACAUCAUCGCGAUGUCAGGCUGGCAUCAGCAGUUGACUGGUCAACUGACCAGCGGGUCCCGAACGUCAUAGGCACAAGUUUUUAUUAAGAUUAAAUAUUAAUUAAUCAGAUUAAUUUAGUGGGGGACCCACGUGGCAUUCUCUAAUUAUUCUAAUUGAUUAAUUUAACUAAUAUAUUUAUUUAACUAAUUCAUUAACUCAUUAAUUAAUUAUUAUAUCUAUUUAUUUAAUAAAAACAUUAUUUUUAUUUUUAUUUUAACUAUCGCGUGGGGUCUCCCUGUCAUAGACAGCGGGUGCUUUGGCCCCACCGGUAAGUGGCCUAAGGCUAUUUACUCAUUUUAUUAAUCACAAAUACAUAACCAUACAAAUGUUGUAUUCCUCUAAAUAUCCAUAUACGCAAAUACAUACAUCGCAUCUCAUACAUACAUACAUACANNNNNNNNNNNNNNNNNNNNNNNNNNNNNNNNNNNNNNNNNNNNNNNNNNNNNNNNNNNNNNNNNNNNNNNNNNNNNNNNNNNNNNNNNNNNNNNNNNNNNNNNNNNNNNNNNNNNNNNNNNNNNNNNNNNNNNNNNNNNNNNNNNNNNNNNNNNNNNNNNNNNNNNNNNNNNNNNNNNNNNNNNNNNNNNNNNNNNNNNNNNNNNNNNNNNNNNNNNNNNNNNNNNNNNNNNNNNNNNNNNNNNNNNNNNNNNNNNNNNNNNNNNNNNNNNNNNNNNNNNNNNNNNNNNNNNNNNNNNNNNNNNNNNNNNNNNNNNNACAUACAUACAUACAUACGCAUCUAAUACAUUUUUUUUUAUUUUCUCUCAAAACUCUCAUCUCCCUCUCUGUCAACAGACAACAGAGAAACAACUCUGUGCUAACUCAACAUAGAAGAACCAAACGUUCAAUCCUUCCUACCGGAGUCUACCGUCGACGGAUCGGGGUCCCGUUUGCCGGAACGGAACCGGGGCGGCGAGGAGAACGACAUGGUGGGAGGAGCCCGAGGAGGGGCUCACCGACGUUGACGGGAGGGGCCGGUGAAGCCAGAGUUCGCGGGAAGGGGCGGAGGAGACGACAUGGAGGCGGACGAGGCGGUGACGGUGACGGUGACGGCGCGGUUCCGGUGGUGAUGCCGGUGAGGACGGUCGCCGAAGAAGUCGUGCCGGCGAGGUCUUGCCGAGAGGGGCCCCGAUGAGGAGGGCCCCCGGGAUGAAGCCGCCGACGGGGAGGGGCUCGGCCGGCGGGGCUCGUGGGGUCGGUCUCCNNNNNNNNNNNNNNNNNNNNNNNNNNNNNNNNNNNNNNNNNNNNNNNNNNNNNNNNNNNUGCAAAGGUUUCCCAUUUCUUUGAUUUUUUUUGAAUUUUUCAUGGCCUUUCAAAAUGCGGUCGAAACGACGGGCAUGACCGUUCCUACCUAAUGGUUGAAUCUUGGAAAUCUUUUGGUGUUUCUAUGAUUAAAUAGAUACUUGUGUACCUAGAAAUGAUUUUUGGAAAAAAAAGCAAACUAUAAGGCAACCGCAGUUCAAAUUUGACCCGCUUCGAGGUGAUUCGACAUAGAUUUGUCUUUUUCACGAGAGAUGGAUAAAAUCUUUUGACACCCAACCAUUUUGUCAAUUGUACAUUAAAUAUGGCUUAAUAUCUUAGAAAAAUGAUUUGGACCAAUUUUGAAACAAAUAUAUGGCAGGUCCUUCACAAAAAAACUCAUUUCGGGCACUUGAAAAAUGAAAAAUGAUUUUUUCAUACAAGGGAGAUGAAAACUUCCUUAAUCAACAUUGUUUGUCAUUCCAACAUGCACCAUUAUGCAAAAUAUGAGACCAUUUCAAUAAACUAUGCCAUGAAUAUGGCCAUGAGAUUGAUCAUGUGGCUUGAAAGCCAUGAAUCUUCACACAUGAUAUAUAGCUCAUUUGUGUGAACACUUUUUAAAAAUAAUUGUCGUAUGACAAGUUUAUUAUUUUACAUGGUAACUUUAUCACAUAUGAUGACAUAAUGCAAAGGUUUCCCAUUUUUUGUUUUUUUUGAAUUUUUCAUGGCCUUUCAAAAUGCGGUCGAAACGGCGGGCAUGACCGUUCGUACCUAAUGGUUGAAUCUUGGAAAUCUUUUGGUGUUUCUAUGAUUAAAUAUAAGGCAACCGCAGUUCAAAUUUGACCCGCUUCGAGCUGAUUCGACAUAGAUUUGUCUUUUUCACGAGAGAUGGAUAAAAUCUUUUGACACCCAACCAUUUUGUCAAUUGUACAUUAAAUUUGGCUUAGUAUGUUAGAAAAAUGAUUUGGACCAAUUUUGCAACAAAUAUAUAGUAGGUCCUUCACAAAAAAACUCAUUUUGGGCACAUGAAAAAUGAAAGAUGAAUUUUUCAUACAAGGAAGAUGAAAACUUUCUUAAUCAACAUUGUUUGUUAUUCCAACAUGCACCAUUAUGCAAAAUAUGAGACCAUUUCAACAAACUAUGCCAUGAAUAUGGCCAUGAGAUAGAUCAUGUGGCUUGAAAGCCAUGAAUCUUCACACAUGAUUGCUCAUUUGUGUGAAAACUUUUUAAAAAUAAUUGUCGUAUUACAAGUUUAUUAUUUUACAUGGUAACUUUAUCACAUAUGAUGACAUAAUGCAAAGGUUUCCCAUUUUUUUGAUUUUUUUUGAAUUUUUCAUGGCCUUUCAAAAUGCGGUCGAAACGGCGGGCAUGACCGUUCCUACCUAGUAGUUGAAUCUUGAAAACCUUUUGGUGUUUCUAUGAUUAAAUAGAUACUUUUGUAUCUAGAAAUGAUUUUUGGAAAAAAUAAAGAGCAAACUAUAAGGCAGCCGCAGUUCAAAUUUGACCCGCCUCCACCUGAUUCGACAUAGAUUUGUAUUUUUCACGAGUGAUGGAUAAAAGCUUUUGACACCCAACCAUUUUGUCAAUUGUAUAUUAAAUAUGGCCUAGUAUGUUAGAAAAAUUAUUUGGACCAAUUUUGAAACAAAUAUAUGGUAGGUCCUUCACAAAAAAACUCAUUUCGGGCACUUGAAAAAUGAAAAAUGAAUUUUUCAUAUAAGGAAGAUGAAAACUUCCUUAAUCAACAUUGUUUGUCAUUCCAACAUGCACCAUUAUGCAAAAUAUGAGACCAUUUCAACAAACUAUGCCAUGAAUAUGGCCAUGAGAUUGAUCAUUUGGCUUGAAAGCCAUGAAUCUUCACACAUGAUAGCUCAUUUGUGUGAACACUUUUUAAAAAUAAUUGCCGUAUUACAAGUUUUUAAUUUUACAUGGUAACUUUAUCACAUAUGAUGACAUAAUGCAAAUGUUUCCCAUUUUUUGUUUUUUUUGAAUUUUUCAUGGCCUUUCAAAAUGCGGUCGAAACGGCGGGCAUGAUCGUUCCUACCUAGUGGUUGAAUCUUGGAAACCUUUUGGUGUUUCUAUGAUUAAAUAUAUACUUGUGUACCUAGAAAUGAUUUUUGGAAAAAAUAAAGAGCAAACUAUAAGGCAGCCGCAGUUUAAAUUUGACCCGCUUCGAGCUGAUUCGACAUAGAUUUGUCUUUUUCACGAGAGAUGGAUAAAAGCUUUUGAUACCCAAUCAUUUUGUGAAUUGUACAUUAAAUAUGGCCUAGUAUGUUAGAAAAAUGAUUUGGACCAAUUUUGNNNNNNNNNNNNNNNNNNNNNNNNNNNNNNNNNNNNNNNNNNNNNNNNNNNNNNNNNNNNNNNNNNNNNNNNNNNNNNNNNNNNNNNNNNNNNNNNNNNNAGUCCCACGAUCUAGUGCCGAACGGACGGCACCUCCGCGUCCAGCACACGUACAGCUCGACGAUGAUCUCGGCCUUCUUGAUCCAGCAAGAGAGACGGAGAGGUAGAAGAGUUCUCCGGCAGCGUGUCGGCGCUCCGGAGGUUGGUGAUGAUCUCGUCUCAGCAGGGCUCCGCCCGAGCUCCGCAGAAACGCGAUCUAGAAGAAAACCCGUGGAGGUAUGUGGUCGGGCUGCCGUGGAGAAAUCGUCUCAAAUCAGCCCGAAAACCUCUGUAUAUAUAGGUGGGAGAGGGGGGACCUUGCCUUGGGGCUCAAGGAGCCCCAAGGGGGUCGGCCGAGCCAAAGGGGGGAAGGACUCCCCCCCCAAACCGAGUCCUACUUGGUUUGGUGGGUGGAGUCCUUCUUUCCUUUCCCACCUCCUCCUUUUUUUUCUUUUCUCUUUGAUUUUUCUUCCAAUGCGCAUAGGGCCCUUUUGGGCUGUCCCACUAGCCCACUAAGGGCUGGUGCGCCACCCUCAAAGCCUAUGGGCUUCCCCGGGGUGGGUUGCCCCCCCGGUGAACUCCCGGAACCCAUUCGUCAUUCCCGGUACAUUCCCGGUAACUCCGAAAACCUUCCGGUAAUAAAAUGAGGUCAUCCUAUAUAUCAAUCUUCAUUUCUGGAUCAUUCCGGAAACCCUCGUNNNNNNNNNNNNNNNNNNNNNNNNNNNNNNNNNNNNNNNNNNNNNNNNNNNNNNNNNNNNNNNNNNNNNNNNNNNNNNNNNNNNNNNNNNNNNNNNNNNNNNNNNNNNNNNNNNNNNNNNNNNNNNNNNNNNNNNNNNNNNNNNNNNNNNNNNNNNNNNNNNNNNNNNNNNNNNNNNNNNNNNNNNNNNNNNNNNNNNNNNNNNNNNNNNNNNNNNNNNNNNNNNNNNNNNNNNNNNNNNNNNNNNNNNNNNNNNNNNNNNNNNNNNNNNNNNNNNNNNNNNNNNNNNNNNNNNNNNNNNNNNNNNNNNNNNNNNNNNNNNNNNNNNNNNNNNNNNNNNNNNNNNNNNNNNNNNNNNNNNNNNNNNNNNNNNNNNNNNNNNNNNNNNNNNNNNNNNNUCCUCGGUCAAUAUCCAAUAGCGGGACUUGGAUGCCCAUAUUGGAUCCUACAUAUUCUACGAAGAUCUUAUCGUUUUAACCUCAGUGCCAAGGAUUCAUACAAUCCCGUAUGUCAUUCCCUUUGUCCUUCGGUAUGUUACUUGCCCGAGAUCCGAUCGUCACUAUCCGCUUACCUAUUUCAAUCUCGUUUACCGGCAAGUCUCUUUACUCGUUCCGUAAUACAAGAUCCCGCAACUUACACUAAGUUACAUUGCUUGCAAGGCUUGUGUGUGAUGUUGUAUUACCGUGUGGGCCCCGGGAUACCUCUCCGUCACACGGAGUGACAAAUCCUAGUCUUGAUCCAUACUAACUCAACGAACACCUUCGGAGAUACUUGUAGAGCAUCUUUAUAGUCACCCAGUUACGUUGCGACGUUUGAUACACACAAAGUAUUCCUCCAGUGUUAGUGAGUUAUAUGAUCUCANNNNNNNNNNNNNNNNNNNNNNNNNNNNNNNNNNNNNNNNNNNNNNNNNNNNNNNNNNNNNNNNNNNNNNNNNNNNNNNNNNNNNNNNNNNNNNNNNNNNAUCUCUCUCGAAGUAUCACGGUUUCGAACGAGAACUCAUCUCUUACAAAGGGAUUUCAUUUUUUUGAACUUAUUUGAACUCCAUACUUUUUGUGUGUACAAAAUGCACCAUUCAAAGGCACAUCACAAAAUUUCAACAAUUUCUGACUUCAUUUGGUAUUCUUCGUGCAUUUACUUUUUUUUGAGCUAGUUGAGCCUGAAAUUGAAAAGCACUACAAAUGAACUCUGAAAAUGUUGAAAGUUGCCAUGGUAUCAUCAUUUCACCCACAUAGCAUGUGUUAAAAAAGUUGAGAGGGCUANNNNNNNNNNNNNNNNNNNNNNNNNNNNNNNNNNNNNNNNNNNNNNNNNNNNNNNNNNNNNNNNNNNNNNNNNNNNNNNNNNNNNNNNNNNNNNNNNNNNNNNNNNNNNNNNNNNNNNNNNNNNNNNNNNNNNNNNNNNNNNNNNNNNNNNNNNNNNNNNNNNNNNNNNNNNNNNNNNNNNNNNNNNNNNNNNNNNNNNNNNNNNNNNNNNNNNNNNNNNNNNNNNNNNNNNNNNNNNNNNNNNNNNNNNNNNNNNNNNNNNNNNNNNNNNNNNNNNNNNNNNNNNNNNNNNNNNNNNNNNNNNNNNNNNNNNNNNNNNNNNNNNNNNNNNNNNNNNNNNNNNNNNNNNNNNNNNNNNNNNNNNNNNNNNNNNNNNNNNNNNNNNNNAUGAGGGUUUCGAACGAGGACUCAUCUCUUACAAAGGGGUUUCAUUUUUUUGAACUUAUUUGAACUCCAUAAUUUUUGUGUGUUGAAAAUGCACCAUUCAAAGGCACAUCACAAAAUUUCAACAAUUUAUGACUUCAUUUGGUAUUCUUCGUGCAUUUACUUUUUUUUUUUGAGCUAGUUGACCCUGAAAUUGAAAAGCACUACAAAUGAACUCUGAAAAUGUUGAAAGUUGGCAUGCUAUCAUCAUUUCACCCACAUAGCAUGUGUUAAANNNNNNNNNNNNNNNNNNNNNNNNNNNNNNNNNNNNNNNNNNNNNNNNNNNNNNNNNNNNNNNNNNNNNNNNNNNNNNNNNNNNNNNNNNNNNNNNNNNNUAACCCGYWAAMCCGUAAAACUARUACUACGUAGUAUAUAUAUAUAUAUAUAUAUAUAUAUAUAUAUAUAUGCAGUAUGUAUUUUAAGACUUUUGCUAGCACGGAAAUAAUUAUGUGUGUAAUAUUUUUGUUCAUAUGAAAAUAGGUGGAAUUCGUUGAUAUUAUUCUGGUGAUAUUUUGUAUUCGGAAGGAUAUCCUUAUUAAACCAGAGGUAUGAAUGACAUAUUGUAAUUCAUCUUCUAUUUAUUUUAUAGAUGUAGUGUCAAGAUAAAUGGUACAAUAUAAAUUAUUAUGCGUAGAUGUACAAUCGUGUGUGAGUAUUUGUUAAAUUGUUAUAUGUAAAAAAGAUAAGUAAUGGAUGUUGUUAUUACAAUGUAAAUAUAAGAAUAUGAUUUUUAAUGGACUAACGAUGUAAAUAUGGCUGCUCGUUAGGUACUAUGGAAAAUUUGUUAGUGUUUUAUGGGCACAUCAUACGUGAGGGUCCUUCUGGUGUGGAUGUGUCUAGGUGCGGGAUGACUACGGUUGUAGUGAAAGACAUGGUUAAUGUAGAGUAUGCGGCAGUUAGAAGGUGCAUCCGAACGAUGUUUGGUUCAGCGAUGAAUGAAAAAAAAAUGACCAUGGAGGCUUUCGUGGUUGAGGGAGGAAAUCGUUGGGUUCUGCGGCGGGUUACUGAUGAAAGAGCAUGGGCGUCGUACAUGGGUUUUGCAAGCAAUCCCACUAACUCCAUGUAUGGACAACCCAUGGUUUAUGUGGAGUUCAUUUCUGCCAGUGAUGUCGCCGAGUGCAGUAGCGGUGCCGGUGAGGUUGAGUUGGCCAUAACUGUAGCCCCCGACGCCGUCCCAUCGGAACCAAGGGGUGGCCAACAUAUGGCCAUAACUGUAGCCCCCGACGCCGGCCCAUCGGAACCAACAGGUGGCCAACAAGUGUAUGACACGGGAUAUUGGUCUGCGGUCGUUGACAUGAGCAAACAUGUCGAGGGAUUGCCGGAGGCGCUAGAUGAUGACGAUGAUGGUCAUUCUUAUGCCUCUUUGGAAUCAGAUGAUGAUGAAGUUGUUCCUCCUGAGAAGGCGGUCGCUGCAGCAAUUAACCCAAAGUUUUUACAGGUUACGAGCAUCACCAAUGAAUUUCACUCUGUUGCUGGCCUAGACGCGGAGAGUCUGGCCGUUGGACAGAUUUUCCCAGAUAAGAAAUCUGCUAAACUAGCAAUACAUAGCUAUGCAAUUUCUAUACACAUGCAACAUAGAGUGAAGCAGUCUGAUAAAAAGGAGUUGAAGCUCAUAUGCAUCCAUCGCGAAGCGGGUUGCCGCGGAAGAGUUAUUGCUCGCUAGAAGCCUGGGGUAUUUCAGCCAUGGCAUGUCACAAAAAUAGAGCAACAUGGUUGUGAGCAAACCGGCACUCUUUCAGAGCACCGCAAUGUGACUGCAGAAUAUGUGUCACACGUGAUGCAAACCAUUGUGUAGCAAAGUCUUAAUAUUAGUAUUAGGGCUUUGUGUGCAACUGCAUCUGAUCUGAUUGGUUUCCCUGUCAGCUAUAGCAAGGCUCGUCAUGCAAAGGAAAAGAUAUUUCAGAGGUUGUAUGGAACCUAUGAGGAGGCGUACUCUUUUGCCCCUAGAAUGUUGCAUCAGAUUUCAGUUGCUAACAGGGGGACUCAAGUUUUCCGGAAAGAACGUCCAAAUCCAUUGAACCCGGACGAGCAAAUCCUGGACCGCUUAUUCUGGGCAUUCGCCCAGACUAUACAAGCAUUCAAGCAUUGUGGUCCGAUUGUAUCAAUUGAUAGUACAUUUCUCAUUGGAAAGUAAAAGGGCACACUCUUAGUGGCGAUGGCAGCUGAUGCAAACAAUCAACUUCUUCCUAUUGCCUAUGCACUAGUGGAGAGCGAAAACAAACAUAGUUGGCUAUGGUUCCUGUGUUGCCUCAAGAUGGGUGUCAUCAAAGAUCGGGAAGGGGUUUGCAUCAUCUCUGAUCGCAACACCAGACUAUUAAGCGCGCUCGAGAUAAUUAAGGCUUCACAAGAUCCAGAUUGGGGGUGGCCCGAUCUGGAGACAAGGUGGUGCAUGAGGCAUUUGGCAGCUAAUUUUUAUUCGAAAUUCAAAAACAAAGAUUGGUUCAAGCUAUUCAAGAGGAUGUGCAUGCAGAAAACUGCAGCAAAAAUAAAUGCUAUCUGGGCAGGUAUCAAUGGUCAGAUCGAGCGCGCAGCCCUCCCGGCGAGAGAAGGCCGGAGGGGUCGUCAAACAGUAAUAAAUUUGAGCGAGUGGAUCAGUGAGAAUUGUCCCAAUUUAUACAAGUGUGCGCAGUCUCAGACACAGGAACACGAGGGACAGUACAGCCGUGGUCUUCGUGAACACAGACCCCCUGAACGAUUAUCACCCUCCGGUCCUCGGGCAAGGCCAGUUGGUCGUCGUCGCGUAGGGUGAUUCGUCUAUGUAUGUGUGCGAACUAUUGCAUCUCUCUAUGUCAGUUUCAAACUUUCAGAUGUACGUACAAGACAUCUACGUAGUUUCAUGAAAUAAAAGUUCUCGAUAUAUUUCGACGCAGUUUUCCAAUUUAAAGUUGCUUCUAUAAAAUAAGAUACAUAAAAUAAGAUUCAUAAAAUAACAUACAUAAAAUAAGAUACAUUAAGAUGUAGUUUUUCAUAAAAAACUACAUAAAGUCGUCGUCAUCCUUCGACGAUGCAGAGCUCUCGCCCUUUGACGAAGCGCUACUCUUGGCCUUCGUCGAUGAUGCGCUCUUGGCCUUCGUCGAUGAUGCGCUCUUGGCCUUGGUACUCGGCAUGAAGAUAUCGUCUUCGUCCUCACUAUCGUCAAUCCAUAAAAAGGGAUGUUUUACUCCACCUCCACCGCGUAUGUGUUGGCCUUUCUUCUUCCAUCUUUCAUUCAACCACAAAAGUUCUUUCCGAAUCUCCUCAUAUGUCCUUGCAGGCCACCCCUUACUAGCUAAUGCGUGGGCAACCUCAUUCAGUAGCGUGUCAGUAGUGAUGAGUUCGUCCCAUGAAACUAUUCUAUUAUCUAUCUUGAAAUUGCUAGCUAAACGCAGAAGACACUCGGACAUACCACUGUGAAAACUACGACCAAAAGGAUAAUGAGACAUUUUCAGGACACUCCUUACCCACCUUGGUCUGGAAAGUGUUUUAUAGGUGCAGCAGAGCGAGACGAAUAACUAAUGGCGGGAAAACGAGGAGGGAAAGCGAGGGCGGGAAAGCGAGGCAGGAACAAAAUGGCGGCAAAGCUAUACGCGGGAAAAAAUGGCGGGAAAGCGAGGCGGGAAAUAAAUGGCGGGAUAAAAUGAACAUACACGUAGCUGAAAUUAAGAUACCCAUUGCGGAAAUUAAGAUAGACAUUCCUGAAAAUAAGAUACAAUUUGCCGAAAUUAAGAUACAACUUGCAGAAAUUAAGAUACAACUAACACAAAUUAACAUACAAUAAAAUAAAUCUACUGAGUCCAACGUGGAUAUUUUCCUUUUCCAUCACCAGCUUCUUCUGCUGCCUUGGCGGCACGAGCCCUUUCUCUCUUUCUCUCCCUCUCAGCUUCACGGGCAUGUUCCCGCUGUCUGUAAACCUCCUCCAGCCGAAGUUUCUCUUCUUGAUUUUUCCUUAUCAUCUCAUCAAGAAAAGCCCCGUGCUCCACACAGUAAUCUUCCCACUCUUUCUUCUGCUCUGCUUUCUCCUCUGCUCAGCCUUCUCACGACGCUCUUCCAAGUCCAAGCUAGCCCAUGCACGGCGACCUCUUUCACGAAUCUCGGUCACCGCCCAGUCCAGCAUUUCCGUGUCAAUCCAACGAUAGUACAUGCAGAGAGCAGGAGGAGACUAAAGGAUGAAUCAGAUUCAAGUAAACAAUAAUAUCAAAUAACAAUAAUCUGGAUGACUUGAGCAUACCGGAGGCCUGACGUACGCAGAAAUAGAUUCGGGUGGAUCAGAUUCAUAAUUGGCGCACAUGAAAAACUUCACGCCCAACCAAUCUGAAAAAUCCGUCACCUCCUUCACCUUGCAGACAUCUCCGCACCAACAUCGAACUGCUUCCACCCCCCGAGGCAAGCUUGCACUCUGCAUUUUCCUAGGCCUAAUGCUCUGAUCCGAACAAGGCAAACUCAUACUGACUAUGGAGGUGCAGGUGCUUUGAAGUCUGGCUGAUGGCGAAGAGAGUUUCACUCCCUGCCUCCUUUUAUAGGCUCUGCCGGAUGUCUACGCGGGAAAAAACGGUGCGAAAACGAGAAACUUUAGCGGGAAACUUAGGCGGGAAAAUAACGCGGGAAACUUAGGCGGGAAAAAAUUGCACUGCUCGUCCGUCGUUAUCGCGUGCAUGUGGCGGGAACAAAUACAACAAACAGCCUCAGUUAGUGCAAUCAGCCUUUAGGCCCUACUUGGAAUGCCGUUCUAUUUUUACAAGUGCAAUACUUUACAAAGAUGUGUAUUAUUUUUACAAGUGUACUCCCUCCGUUCCUAAAUAUAAGUCUUUUUAGAUAUAUUACUAGAUGACUACAUACAAAGCAAAAUGACAGAAUCUACAUUCUAAAAUGAGUCCAUAUACAUCCAUAUGUAGUCUUCUAAUACAAACUCUUAAAAGACUUAUAUUUAGGAAAAUUUAGCGGGAAGUUAGCGCCGUUUGCCAGACAGCAGCCUCGUAGUCAGCGAAAUCAGCGUCGCUGUCACGAGCAGCGCGGAGAUUCGGCCGGCCGCCUGGGGUGGUGGCGGCACGGCCCAGGAUCUGUCCGUUACGACCCGGUGUGGCGGGAACGGGGUGCGCAGCCGGCCGCCUCAGCUGGUGGCGGCAGGCCCCAGCCGCCUCGGGCGGUGGCGGCAGGUCCCACAACCGCCUCGGGCGGUGGCGGCAGGUGCCACGUGCCGCCUGGCGCGCCUGCCGCCACCCGGGGGAGGGGGUCCUUUCCCUUUUUAGCGUUCGCAGGUGGUCUUUUCUGGCAUUGACGUUCGAGAGGGGGUCCUUUUGGACAAAAAUUCAGUUUUGCUUGGCUGUCGUAGAUUUGAACUGAAUGGUGAUGUUUCUCAUAUGCUGUUUUAGCAAUGGAACCUUGUUGUUGGAAACUAACUGUAAGAUUCAGCUUGACGUCUUACCUCGUUAGAGGCGACGGGUCCGUGUUAUAUAGGCAGGGGCCAACCCUGACAUGCAUACAACUUGGAGAGGAAGAUUACAAAAAGAUAAGUACUAGGAGAAGGUAGUUGAACCAAUCUAUAUCUAUACCUAAUAAUAAAGAGGUUAUUGCUUCCGUCGGAAAAUCCACCGCGAUAUUUUUAUAAAAAAGCCCGUGUAAUUUUUGUUAUUCAACCCGCGCUCCAUCAUUUAUCUGCAACGCAAAAGGAAAAACGAUUCGAUGCAAAAAUUAUACCCGUACGCAUCGCCUCUUUCCGUCGACCCUGGGCCACCCUGGCCUCUGCCCAGGCCGCCGCCACACCACUCGCUGCCGCGGCCGACCUCAACCGCCACCGCUGCCGAUCUCAACCCACCCGCCUCCGCGGCUGUACCUCUCCCCGCUUACUGCCCCCGUUGCGGCGCUCGAGCGCUUCGCGUCGACCCUGGUCCACCCUAGCGUGUGCCCAGGCCGUUGCCAUACCACUCGCCGCCGCGGCCGACCUCAACCACCACUGUUGUCGAUCUCAACCCACCCGCCUCCACGGUCGUACCUCUCCCGCUUGCUGCCCCCGUUUCGGCGCUCGAGCACAGCUUCUGGAUCAAAUCAACGCGACAACUAUAGUGACUUGGGAUGAUGCGUCUGCUCGAUGGAGAACGGCGGCGGCGCGACAGAGCGAAGUACUUGCAGGUGGAGGCGGGCCUCCAUGGCUCACACGGGGAACUCCGAGGUUAUGGCGCGGCAACGACGACUUCUUAUGGCCAGAUAGAGGCGCCUAACCCUUGCUCCACUCAUCGUAUCCCCUCCUCCGGCAGGAACUCAUCAUCUGGUGAGAUCCCCUCCCAUGCCUCCAACCGUGUGCCAAGCACCGGCAAGAAAUUUUGUUUUGUGGGGAUUUGUUUGCUGAUGAAUGAAUGUAUUGAAUGUAAGAUUGUAUUGUUGUAGAGACAGAGAAUGGAACGUCACCUUCAGUUUGUCAUCCCAUCCCACAUUCUCUACCCCAUGAGUGAAAUAAGAUAAUAGUCCAUUGAUCAAUUCACGUAGCCUCUUUGUUUUGCUUUGCUUGUCCCGCUCGAUUUCUCGUCAUGGUGGAAUUAGCAAUGGAUGGGUUGAUUCUCAACAAAAUAGGAUAGGACUGACUACAUUAGUUAGUUAGCUUAUUAUUUUAAUAAAUCAAAAUGAUUAUAAAAAGAUUAAAAGCGUGUGGUAUUUUCUUUCUCGUUGCAACGCACGGGCCCUUUUGCUAGUAGAAUCUAAACUACUCUAGAUAUCCUAGCUGCAUACGGCGGCAGAGCCGAUCCUCUCCUUGUGCAUCACGUCAGGAAGUUGGUUUAACAUCAUUCCUUAAUCACAACUGUAGUAAGUUGAGAUUAUGUUUAAACUCUUCAAAAUUUCGUGCAGGCAAUGUCUUAGUAAAGCCAUCUGCAACUUGAUCUCGGAAAUGCACAAAACGAAUAUCCAGUUUUCUCGCUGCAGCCCUUUCUCUGACAAAAUGGAAAUCUAUCUCGAUGUGCUUAGUUCGGGCGUGAAACACUGGAUUUGCUGUCAAAUAUGUAGCACCAAGAUUAUCACACCACAGACAUGGAGUUUGAAAACUUCUCACCCCAAGUUCUCUCACAAGAGAUUGAACCCAGAUAAUUUCUGCCGUUGCAUUUGCCAAACUUUAUAUUCUGCUUAUGUGCUUGAUAUAGAGAUUGUAGCAUGUUUCUUUGCGCACCAUGAUAUAAGAUUAGAUCCAAAAAAUAUGGCAAACCCACCACUGGAGCGUCUAUCAUCAACAUGUCUUGCCCAAUCAGAAUCUGUGAAUGCACUAACAAGUGUUGAUUUUGACUUAGUGAAAACCAAACCAACAUUCAAUGUGUGCUUCACAUAUCUCACUAUGCGCUUUGCAGCAGUCCAAUGAGCAAUAGUAGGUGCAUGGAGAAACUGUCAUACUUUAUUAACAACAAAAGAAAUAUCUGGCCUUGUGAGAGUCAAGUACUCGAGAGCACCUAGUAGACUUCUGUACUUUGUACCCUCUUCUUGGCUCAAUGGUUUUCCUUCUAUGAGAGACAAUUUUUCUGUGCUAGAGAGGGGGGUUAGUGAUGGUUUGCAUCCUUGUAACCCAGCUCUUCUUGCAUAUUUUUCUUGAGAAAGAUGAAGUCCAUCCUCAUGUUUCCUUACUUCAAUCCCUAGGAAGAAGUGCAAGUCUCCCAAAUCCUUGAGGGCAAACUCUGCAUUCAAAUCCUUUAAUAGUCCUGUAAUUGCCUCAUCAGAUGAGCUUGUGGCAAUGAUGUCAUCAACAUAAAUAAGCACAAAGAUAGAAGUAUGGGACUUAUUGUAAAUGAACAAUGAGGUGUCAGAUUUGGAAGGAACAAAACCAAGUGCUUGCAACUUUUGACUGAGACGUGAGUACCAUGCUCUGGGGGCUUGCUUCAAUCCAUACAGAGCUUUAUCAAGUUUGCAAAUGUAAGAUGGUUUAUUUUUAUCUUCAAACCCAGGAGGUUGUUUCAUGUAUACCUCUUCCUCCAGAACGCCAUGUAGAAACACAUUCUGUACAUCUAGAUGUCUUAGGCGCCAUCCCCUGAAAACAACAAUGGACAAAACCAAGCGAAUUGUUGCAGCUUUUACAACAGGACUGAAAGUGUACUCAUAGUCAAUGCCAUAACGUUGUUUAAAGCCUUUUGCAACAAGUCUAGCUUUGUAUCUAUCUAUGGUUCCAUUAAUUUUUCUCUUAGUUCUGUAGACCCAUUUGCGGUCAAUAAAUUUUUUACCUCGUUGUGGGGGAACUAGAUGCCAUGUUCGGUUUCUUUUGAGUGCCAUAUAUUCUUCAUAAAUAGCACUUUUCCACUUUGCAUCACCAAGGGCCUCAUCAAGGGAAUUUGGUUCACCUGUAGAGCAAGCUAAUCCAAACUUGAGCACAUUUUUGUAAUUAACAGGUUGAAUUUGUAGCCGUAGGAAUGAUCGCCAUAGAGGAUCCAGGUGAAUCCUCAGGUGCAGGAGACAGCGAUCCCGAGAGGGAUUCGACACCUGUUGUAUUGGCUAGAUCUUCUGCGACGGUGUGUGGGGCAGCGUCUGACCCAGUCUGCGCAGGAGAUCCCAGCCCAUCAUGUGCCAAUGAUGAGGCGGCCCCAUGCAGAUCAUCAUCGGAUUCAAUGCAUGGCUGGUGUCGCGUGUAGACACACAGAUCACCCAAAAGACUGGCGCGCGUAGGUGGCGGCGGCCCUGUCAUUUGCUGCCUGGUGUUAGGCGCUGAUUGGAGCAGGCCACACCCAGGUGAAGGCACUGACACGCCCUGCACGUCUGUGUGCGCAGAUCUCAUGGACGAUCUCCUCGGCCGCGGUGCCACUAAUCCCGAGGGGGAUUGGUUCCCCGCUUGGGGACACAUAAAAUUUCGCCCGUUUUCCCUAGUUUCUUCAGAAUUUUCUGUAUCAUCACAAGACGCAAAUGCACAGUUAUGAGGGUUAGUCAACAAUUGAUCAUUCAAGUUAUUUCCCCGUUGAUCAAAACUGGUAAGAUGAGGGGUUAAGAGAAGGAUCUCUUGGCGAAGAAGGGCACCAGCAUUGGGGUGUAAAUCGGUGAAUGGAAAUUUUGUUCCAUCAAAGACCACAUCAUGAGAGAUAUAGACUCGGCCGGUGGACACAUCUAGGCAUUUAACACCCUUAUGUUGUGCACUAUAACCAAGGAACACACAUUGCUUCAAUCUAAACAUAAGCUUGCGUUGUUGUAAGGCCUAAGAUUCGACCAACAAGCGCACCCAAACACACGUAGGGAGUUGUAGUCUAGUUUGAUGUGUAGGAGGCGUUCCAUGGGAGUUUCAUUGUGGAUAACACGGCUAGGGAACAUGUUGAUAAUAUGAACAGCAGGAAGGAAAGCGUCAUCCCAAAAUUUGAGGGGCAUGGAGGCACCAGCGAUAAGAGCAAGGCCGGCCUCAACAAUGUGUCUAUGUUUGCGCUCAACUGAGCGAAUUUGCUCAUGUGCAUGAGGACAAGACACAUGAUGGGAGAUGCCAAGUUUUUGGAAGAAUAGGUUUAAUUUUUCAUAUUCACCCCCAAUCAGAUUGGAGAGCAAUGAUUUCUGUGUCGAACUUGCGUUCAACGAGUGCUUGAAAUUUUUGGAAAACUUGAAACACAUCAGAUCUUUUCUUGAGAAGAUAGAUCCAAGUGUAUUUGCUAAAGUCAUCUAUGAAGCUCACAUAGUAGGUAUGUCUACUGAUACGUCUCCAUCGUAUCUACUUUUCCAAACUCUUUUGCCCUUGUUUUGGACUCUAUUUUGCAUGAUUCGAAUGGAACUAACCUGGACUAACGCUGUUUUCAGCAGAAUUGCCUUGGUGUUAUUUUUGUGCAGAAAUCAAAGUUCUCCAAACGUCCUGAAAAUUUACGGAGAUCAUUUUUGGAAAAUAUGAAAAAUACCUGCACGAAGAUCCACCUGAGGGGGUGGGCCAGUGGGCCACAAGCCCUACCUCCGCCACCCCCUGGUGGUGGUGGGCAAGCUUGUGGGGCCCACACGGCUCUGCCGCCCCCAAUCUCAGCUCUAUAAGUUCACUUUCGUCCCAGAAAAAAUAAAAAGAGAAGAUUUCAUCGCGUUUGCGAUACGGAGCCGCCGCCACCACCUGUUCUUCAUCUGGAGGGCAGAUCUGGAGUCCGUCUUGGGCUCCGGAGAGGGGAAAUCGUCGCCAUCGUCAUCAUCAACCUUCUUCCCUCUCCAAUUCCAUGAAGCUUUUCGUCGUUCGUGAGUAAUCUAUUCGUAGGCUCGCUGGACGGUGAUGAGUAGGAUGAGAUCUAUCAUGUAAUCGAGUUAGUUUUGAUGGGGAUUGAUCCCUAGUAUCCACUAUGUUCUGAGAUUGAUGUUGCUACUACUUUGCCAUGCUUAAUGCUUGUCACUAGGGCCCGAGUGCCAUGAUUUCAGAUCUGAAAUUAUUAUGUUGUCACCAAUAUAUGUGUGUUUUAGAUCCGAUCUUGCAAGUUGUAGUUACCUACUAUGUGUUAUGAUCCGGCAACCCCGGAGUGACAAUAACCAGAACCACUCCCGGUGUUGACCAUAGUUUGAGGAGUUUAUGUGUUCACCAAGUGCUAAUGCGUUGGUCCGGUUCUUUAUUAAAAAGAGAACCUUAAUAUCCCAUAGUUUCCUUUUGGACCCCGCUGCCACGGGAGGGAUGGACAAUAGAUGUCAUGCAAGUUCUUUUCCCUAAGCACGUAUGACGACACACGGAAUGCAUGCCUACAUCACAUUGACGAACGGGAGCUAGCCACAUAUCUCUCCGUGUUAUAACUGUUGCAUGAUGAAUAUCAUCCAAACAAAUCACCGACCCAUUGCCUACGAGUUUGUCCUACUGCUGCCGUUACUUGUGUUGCUCUGCUGCUAUUACUUGUCUUGCUCUGCUGCUGUUACUACUGUCGCUUGCUACUGUUGCUACUUGCUACUGCUGUCACUACUGCUGUUUCUUGCCACUGCUAUUGCUCAUUACACUGCUGCUACCUGCUACAAUCUUGAUUCGCUGGUCGUUGACGGGAACUGACAAUUUCCGUCAACGAGGCAACUUGGCGCCAUUGAUACGACACUUAGGAAUAGUGUGCCGUCAACAGAUCGUUUCUGACACCGUUGUUAUCAUACUACUUUGCUGUUAUUACUUUGCUUGCAGAUAUUAAUCUUUCAGGCGCGGUUGAAUCUGACGCAUUCAGCUGCUAAUACUUGAGAGUAUUCUCUCACCUCCUGUUUGGCGAUCAACAACUUUGGGUCGAAUACUCUACCCUCGAAAACUGCUACGAUCCCAUGCGCUGGUGGGCCGUCAACAACAUUCUUCUAGUUUCGAUUGCCGGAGAGUGCUAGCAGCAUUCUUCUGGUGCCGUUGCAAGGGAAGGUCUGCUGUUACGGAGUCAUCUACCAACAGAGCUGGGGGCCCGGACCCCAUACAUCAGAAAAAAUGAGUUGUAAAGGCUUGGUAGAAAUACUUGUGGAAAUAGGAUACGGUAACUGAUGACUCUUAGCACACUGACAUGAAUCACAAAUAGUUUCAACAUGACGCUCAACCAUAAAUGGGAGCUUAUUUUUCCUAAGCACUCGUUCAACUAAAGAAAAAGAUGCAUGCCCUAGACGAUCGUGCCACAGAGUUGAAGUAAGCUUGGUGACACCAUAUGCUCGCUUAUUGGAUGUUCUAAGCUGUGGAAGCAAUGGAUAGAGCCCUCGAACACAUCUACCUCGGUAUUGAACCCUCUUCGUUGCCGGAUACUAAAUCAAAAAGAAGAAGGGGUGAAACUUAAGGAAUACAUGAUUGUCAAGGGCAAUUCGUUGAACAGAAAUGAGAUUAAUGGAACCACUAGGGACAUGCAAAAUUUUGUGAAGAUGGAUUUUUCGAUGUGGGGUUUUAAUAACUGAAUGACCAAUGUGUUGGAUCCUCAUACCUGUUCCAUUGACAAUGUGGAUCUAGUCUUGGACACGAUUCUUCUCUCUCACGGUGACUUCCUCAAGUUCACUCAUGAUGUGGUUGGAUGCACCACUGUCGAUGUACCGGUUGGUGUCGACGCCAUACGAUCCUUCAGCAGCUCCUGCAACUUUUUCAUCCUGUGAGGAGUCACUUUCAUCCUCAUCAAACCUGUACCAACAAUCCUUUGUGGAGUGGCCGUGUUUCCCACAGAUUUGGCAUCUCAUGGCAUCGGGACGAGAGGUUUUGGAGCUGCAGCGGCCCCUGUUGUUGGAGGAGGGGGGGGGGGCGCUGCCCCCGGAGUGUUGGGAGUUGGUGUUGUUGGUGUUCCCCGCAGGCUUGCUCUUGUUUCGUGGUGGGCCACGGUAGCGAGACCCUCGAGGGCCGCCACGAGAGGCGAUGUUUUGCAGAUGAUUUGAAGCCGGCAGCGUUGUGGAGCAACGCCACCCUCUGAUCAAAAUUGCUCACCUGAGCAAAGAGAGCUUCGAGGGUGACUGGUUCGGUGCGGGCGUCGAGGGCCGACACCAGGGGCUGGUACUCCAUAUCCAACCCUGCAAGGAUGUAGGAGAUGACUUCAUCGUCAUCCAGGGGCUUGCCGGCGGCUGCCAACUCGUCAGCAAGCGAGCGCAUGUGGGCGAAGUAAGUGCCCGCAGAUUGGGUCCCCUUGUGCGCAUCGGAGAGAGCAAUGCGGAUGUUGUUCACCCGCGAUCUGGACUGCGAUGAGAACAUGCUGGCAAGUGCAGUCCAGAGCUCGUUGGCCUUGCGGAUGGAGGUGACCUCAACAAGGACAUCUCCAGAUAGGUUGUUCAAGAGAUGUGCUAGUACCUGUUGAUGCUCCCUAACCCAACCUUGAUAUAGAGGGUUCGGGACAUAAUCCUCUUUUCCAUCUUUGUCUUUGGUGAUGAUGCUCUUCGGUGGCUCCGGUGUGGAUCCAUCGGCAUAGCCGAAGACCCCCCAUGCCGAUGAGCUGUGGCGUGAUCUGCGCUCGCCACAUGACAUAGUUUGUCCUGGUGAGCUUCUCCGCGACUUGCUUGUUGAUGACGGACAUAGAUGCGGCGGAGGAAGACGACAUGGUGGAGCAACGGAGAUGGCGAGAGAAAGGCUAGAUGUGAUGGAGGAAGGAGGCUCUGAUUACCAUGCAAGAUUCAGCUUAACGUCUUACCUCGUUAGAGGCGACGGGUCCGUGUUAUAUAGGCAGGGGCCAACCGUGAUAUGCAUUCAACUUGGAGAGGAAGAUUACAAAGAGAUAAGUACUAGGAGAAGGUAGUUCAAACAAUAGAAUACAAACUACUCUAGACAUCCUAGCUGCAUACGGCGGCAGAGCCGAUCCUCUCCUUGUGCAUCACGUCAGGAAGUUGGUUUAACACUGACUUUUGUUUCACUCUGAGUAAUGCAGCCAACUAAACUGACUUGUUUUAGCAAUGGUGAUGGAUCAUAUGUUGUCUUGAACUUGCCGACUGGGGAGACACUAAACUAGUAGUCGAGGUUGUUGUUUGGUUGUGACGUUGUUGAAGCUAUUCGAGGUUGGGAUCAAGUUGCAAAAGAUUCAUGGUUUAGUGACAAGAACUUGCUGGUAAUUAACAUGUUCUCCGCUGCUUCUGAUUAGGACUGUACUUCCUCCAUUCUUAAAUACUCCCUCCGCGUUAAAAUAAGUGUCUCAACUUUGUAGUAGCUCUAAUAUAAAAUUGUAUUAAGCUUGAGACACUUAUUUUGAGACGGGAGGAGUAUGUCUUCCUAGAAAUUUCAGUAAAGACUGCGUAUGGACGGAUACAUAUAGACAUAUUUUAUAGCAUAAAUUCACUUAUAUUGUUCUAUAUGUAGUCCAUAAUGAAAUUUGUAAAAAAAAUCGUAUUUAGAAACGGAGGAAGUAUAUAUAUAUAGAAUAUUCGAAGCGCAGCUAGUGAUGUUUAGAUUGGUAGAUAAAUUUCAAGGGACUCGUGUGCGGGUGCUUUGGCAAGAGUUUAUCACCCCCCCCCCCCCCCCGGUAUGAUCAGGUGAUGGAGGUCACUGUGCCGGGAGGAUGAAAGCAUUUUGUCAGAAAGAUGUAGAUCAACUAGGUUUUGCUUGGCUGUUAUAGAUUUGUAUUGUUUUAGCAAUGGGAUAUUGUUGUUAGUUAAGGCCUAACAGCGGGCAAAAGUGCAACAUUAUUACACCGACAUUUUGAACAUAUUCAAGUCGCAAGCCUCCUCCUCCCGCGACACACGUCAUGGGAGAAACCCUAACGCCGCUACUGUGAAGACUCCCUCCUCCUCCCCUUCUCCCCUCCCCUGUAGUCGCCUGUGGGCUUACCCAGGCGAAGCCCGGUCGGGGCAUCUUUCCCUUUUCGCUUGGUAGCGUGUGGCACAGCCGACGGAGACGCGACGCAAGCAGGGGCGCGACAGUGCGGCAUCCAAUCUGGGUGCGGGGCAGGGGCGUAGCCAGGAUUACCAACCAUUGGGUUUAGCUCUACUAAAGAGUGGGUUCAGUUCUUUGCUUAGUCUUAAGCUAGUGUAAAUCUAUAAGGGACAUGUCAAAUUUUAUUGGGUUCACUUGAACCCAAUGCUAACAAGCUGGCUCCGCCCGUGGUGCGGGGCGGCGACACCUGGCCAAGUUCUCACGCGGGUGGCUCUGUGGUGGCGGGGGUGGCUACGAUGUUGCCGGUGGCUUCAUUUGGGUUCGCCCAGAUCUGGCGGCGGCUAUACCGCAGGUGGCACAGGCUCAGCGGCGGCCUGGGUGGCUCGACGUGGGCAGGAGCUCGGCGGGCGGCGGUUCUGGUCGCUGCCGCACGGCCCGCACCUCGUCGUCUGGUUGUGUGGAUGCUGGAGGUGGAUGGCGACCACCGGUGGAGGGACUCAUCUUGUCGAGCCGCGACGCCGGUCCGAGGGCGGCUCCAAUUCAUUCCCUGCUGCGCUUGAACAUGCCACGACAUAGGGCUGGACCUUUCCGAGAGAUGGCCACCGCUGAGGGAUGGAUUCGACACCGGGAGAAUCAUGAAACCAUCCUUGCCUCCCGUUAGGUGGCACACCGGGUUCGGGGAGCUCGUCCUUGCACGGUCGGGAUAGGACGGGGCGGUGGCGGCCAAGUGCGGUCGGCCCUAGGGUGGGCGUGAGACUUGGGGGCAGUGCCAUCCAGGGGUGGGGAAGGAGAUGCCUUCCCGUCCGUUUCUUUGCCGGUCAUGGCUGCAAGCUUCGGUUGGGGAUGGUGUCGUGACCAUGGGUAUCGGGGCGGCGGCCCUGGAGGCGGGAGGCAUGGGCUCAUGGGCGGAGCUCACAGCUCGGGUGUGAGCUGGUUGUCAUGGUCAUGCGGCGGUGUGGUGGUGAGGGUGCGGCAUCCGGAGUUGUGGGUGCGGCGGGCCUGGCUUGUUGUACCUCACCUCAGUGGCUUUGAGGAUUUUCCUCGGUGAAAACCUGCUUUGGCUCUGCCAAGCCAAUGAUGGCGUCGUCUAUGGGCAUCGUCUCCUUCUUGAAGGCGUUGUCGCGGCUGCCCUACAUGCCCCGGUUGCUCUGAGGAAAACCUUGAUCUCGGGAUCGGGCGGUGGCGAUACUCCUGUGUCAUGCCCUUCAUGAAGGCACCUCCUUGGAGUGUUUGGCUCGUCGUGCACAGCUUCCUCUCUUCGUGGUGAUUCUCUCACGGUUAAGGCCUCCGGAGACUCCAAGUGGUGCUCCCUCUGCCUACAUGUAGUUGCUUGGAGUGGAUGUGAUGGUCUAGCUGUUCUUAUACACCCUUAUAUCUGGUCUUGAGUGUGUUUUGUGGGUAUGAGUUGUUUGUGUUGGUUUGCAUGGUGAUCGUUGCUUCAUAUAUACAUAAAGCGGAGGGCGAGCCUUGUUCGGUAUGGGAUACUCUUGUUUGAGAGUUGUACAUAGAACGGACUUUGUUUAAUUCUGAGUAAUGCAGCAGUGGCCAUGCAUGCUAAUCACAAGAGGCGUACUACAGGAAUCUGUUUACCUGGGCUAUCACACUCAGCAUAUUUGCUUAGUUGAGAAGACAUUGACCUUUGACUUGUCACAAAUUGGCCACGAAUUGGUCGCCUGGGGAACAACGGGGGAGCUUUCUAGGAAGCAGCAGUAGGCACAAGCGACAUGCAAAUGCAAGGCCAAAGACUUGACUGAAACAUCUCAAAGAGAGGAAGGCCACACAAGCAUCUCCGAAGCAUUUCCACAAAUUCACAGCCGGCCAGGCUCUGCAUCUUCUGCCUCUACAACGCCGGAUCUGCUGCAGCUGCUGCUCCCGUUCCUGCUCUGCGUCCACCACGGUUGCGAGAUUGGAUUUUCGGUCUGUCAUUCUCCGGUUAAAAAACAGGUCGUCUCAAGCCCUGCAUCCCUCUUGCUCACACCAUUCUCUUCUCCACUGAUUCCACGGUGUUCUUUCGAUCCUUUCAAUGGCCGAGGUGGUUGUUGGAAUCAUGUGUCUUGCAACUAUAUUCAAAUUGGUCGAAAUCGUUAAUACUCGAAAGAUCAUCAUUAUGGAAUUACACAUGUAUUUGUACAUCGAAUUACUUUACAUGACUGGCUUGUAAUCAUUAUUUGUUGGAAUGCACUUAAGUAUUACUGUGCUCAAGGAAGCCCAUGGAUUAUCCAUGGAAUAUAAUGUACUACUAGUAGCAAUCGCUGACUAAUCAUUUCGUGCAAUUCGUACAUAUUGUGGGCAAAGGAGGAGACGGAUGUGCAGUGUAUAUAGGAAGGUUUUCAGCUUAAGCAGAGCUAAAUAUGGUGAACAAAUUUAUUUAUAUAGAAGUUUCUUUCGUCCAUAACACCUCAAAUUAAAUAAAGAGAAAAGUAUGUUUUUGGUCCAGUUUUCAAAAAGUAUACACUUGGUCCCUCAGAAAAUUUUGGUAUACAUCUGGUCCCUCAAGUCUCAAAAUCGGAUAAGUUUGGUCCUAAACCAGAUUUUGAGCCCGUUGACCGGGUUUGACCGUCACGAAACCACCUGAUGAACAGUACUUAAAAAAAUAAAAAUAAAAUAUAAAAAAAACUGAAUUUUUUUGGGAUCUAAUAUGCUUACAUGCGCAAGGUCGACCAAAAUUCCGUGCUCUUUCGACACUCGAGGAGCGGUUGGUUAAAAAAAUCUUCCUGGUGAAUAGUAAUCCAAAAAAAUUCAAAACAAUUUUAUAAAAAUGAAAAAAAAAUUGGGUCCAAUAUGCUUACAUGCGCAACGUGCGACCGAAAGUUUGUCAUGAAAUAAUAUCGGACGGGCUCUAGCAAAAAAAACAAAUUUUGGCUAUUUUUUGUGAGCAAAAAUUUGUUUUUUUGCCACGGGCUCCUCGAAUGUCGAAAGACGACCAACUUUUGGUCGCACUGAGCAUAUAAGUACAUUAGACCUCAAAUAAUUUCAGAUUAUUUUGAAUUUUUUCAAAUAUUUUUUGAAUUUACGGUUCAUCGAACAUAGAUAUUUUUGUUUUUUUGCCAGGAGGUCCUCGAGUGUGGAAAUACCAUAAAAUUUUGGCCGCACCUUGCGCAUGUAAGCAUGUUGGACAAUUUUUUUUAAAAUUAUUGUUCAUCAGGCGGUUUUGUGGCGGUCAAACCCGGUCAACGGGCUCAAAAUCUGGUUUACGACCAAACUUAUCCGGUUUUAAGCUUGAGGGACCAAAUGUAUACCAAAAAAUCUUGAGGAACCAAGUCUAUACUUUUUGAAAACUUAAGGGAUCAAAAACAUAGUUUUCUUUUAAAUAAAGUACAUAAUGUUCUUUCAAUAAUUGAAUUUGUUCUGUUCAAAAGGCACAAUAGUGUAACAUGGAAUAUUGUUCAAAUACGUCGUCACCGAUGGCUGUUGCACGCUAACAACAGAAAACCCACUUCAUAGAACUACAUUUACUAGGGGGACAGUGUGACGUUCCCAACGCUGGAAUUCUUAUUGCACAUCCUGUAGCUGAUGUCCGCGUAAGUUCUACAGAACCACAUAGAUCAACGAUAUAAAAUUUAGAUGAUGAUAAAUGGAUCAGUGCCAGCGCCGGGAUGGCGACGCGUCUCCAACUCGUGAACAAUUCGAGUUCAUGUUGCCGAUAUCCGCUAUCGCUCAGAACCGCUGUUGUUGAGUCAUCAACAACGCCAUUUAUUCGCCAAAGAGAUUAGGGGGUGAUCGGGAAGAAAAGAAGAAGAAAGGACAUGGCUAGGCCGCUAGUGAUAAAAAAUGGUAGACAUACACACACAGUAUUUCAAUCAUUCAAUGGGAUGGGCACGUGCCUCUACUAAUGACCAAUUAAAAACUCCCACAAGAUGUAACCCCUCAUCCCUGUAACACCUUGUAAGUAUAGCAAAGCUCGCUAGAGAUCGCUCAGGCGCCCGUUCGCAUGAUCGGGAAGGCAGUAUUACGCGUAGGCGCGACCGUCAUAUCCAUGGGGCGUACCAUUAAAUCUAUCCAUGCAACAUUUUUUUUUAAUACAGUAAAUUUUGGCACGAUGCAAUAAUUUUCGUCAACGGCUGCAACAAAAAAAUAAUUGUAGCAAAAAAAUAUCUACGUGAUCGUAGUAAAAAAACGAAGUUGAUGAUGCGUGAUAGCAAAACAAAAUAAGGGUUGUAGCAAAACAAUCUAGUGAACUCGGGUUGCAACUCUAACGAACGUGUACGCAACUUUUUUUAGUGAACGGUUGAAGCAAAAAAUGAUGCCGAUUGUAGCAAAAAUUAACACGGUUAUAGCAAAAAAAUUCAACUAACUCGAGUUACAACCAAACGUGAAUGUAGCUUUUUUAAUGAACAAAAUGUAACAAAAAAUAAAAAGCGCUUGUAGCAAAUUUUAUUGCGGUUGUAGCAAAUCUGGACAAAAAAUGUUGCAUGCACUGACAAGCCACAACGCGUGGGCCGCACGCGACCGGCCGAACGAUUUUUUUUUUGAAGGAAAACUGUAAGGGGACCCCAUAGCGAGUUUUUUUAAAAUAAUAAGAACCCUAAUUCGCGCCCAUGGGGACUUGAACCUGGGUGGCUGGGUUGUACAUCCACUCCACUAGCAAGGCUCACUUCUUGGCCGGGAACAUUUACCGAUCCGGAAUACCUUUCUUUUUUGAAGGAAACCGACUGGUUUCCCACAUGACCACGUGAUCCUAUAAGAAAAACUGCUAAUAUCUUUUGUCACAUGCAUUUAUUUAGAAUUGACUAAUAAAUAUGUAUGUGCGUUACAACGCAAGAGUAAGUAUUUAUUUAUCCGAGCCAUUGUCUUCAUUUCGAUUCACCUACCACCACACUUAGAUACCAACAGUCGGUGUCUUUCAACACUAAGGAGAAUAUUUCAAUAAAUUAAGUCUAUUAAAAAACCUAUAUGUGUCACUGUUACAUGCAGCAGAUGAAAUACAAAAUAAGAUCCUAUGUAUCAGUUGCAACAUUAAUGUUCAUGACUAUCACAAGAAUUGUUUGAAUAUAUUUAAAAUAAAUUCUUCAUGUACUUAUAAUGUUUAUGAAUUUAAUAAGUGUAUGUAUAUGCUAUAAAAAUUAUUUGUGUAUUCAUUAUGGAAAAUAAUUGUGUCGUCCGUUGGUAAGUACGCGGGUGGAUUUGGUGAAAGGAAAUACAUAUGUAGCGUCUUCAAUCAUGUGACAUUUAAAAAAGAGAUGCUGGUGGAAGUACAACAUGCCUACGGAUGGUAGUUGAUUCAUUGUAAUUAUUUCCUUGCCAAGCAACACAGAGCAAUGCGUGUGGCAUGUUCAUUUGUAUUACAAAUUGACGUCGGUACAAAGAGAUGACGAAUCAUGCACCAUUUAUUUAGAUUGCAUCCUAAAUAUAUUAUUUUUAAAAUAUUAUACGCAUUUUUCUAAUCAAAUUUCAUAUAUAAUAUGUUAAAAUUAAAGUUAUGGUUUAAAAUAUAUGAUUAUUUUAAAAAAUCUAUUCUAGAUGGACUGCAGGUUGUUUAACACAAAUAUUAGGGGUUAUAUGUAAAAAUUCAAAAAAAAGUUUGUUGUGACUUAAAGUCAGACUGGGGGUUCAUUAGUAUAAAAUUCAGGGGGCUUUUUAAAAAGAAAAAACAAUUCGUCUGACUUAAACCAUACUACAAGUUGAUUUCCUAAAGCUAUAGGGGCUUUUCUAAAAAAUGGCCGACAACGGACAACCAGGAGCAUUAGCUGUUUUAGUAUUAAGAGAUAGAGAUAGAGAUCUUUUUAAAAUGUUAUAACUUCUGAACAGAGUAUCAAAACAUAGAACACUUUUCAUCAUUGGAUUUGUUAUGUCGAGUUCUUCAAAACUAGAUCCCAUAUGAUAGGUUUCGUCGAAAUUCUUUUCAUGAGUAACUUUGGGUGCGAUGGAGGAAAAAUUGGUGCUAUAGGGAUGCAUUGGUUGGGUCGGGCAACUUGCGGUUCUUGGCUACUCAACAUCAGAUUCAAAAGAGUUACCGUGACCACUAGUGGGGACAGGGCCUAUAGUCCCGGCCCGUAAGGGGCUUUAGUCCCGGUUCAACAAACGGGACCAAAGGGGCGGGACUAAAGGCCUAACCUUUAGUCCCGGCCCUGUUCCAAGCCGGGACCAAAGGUGCUCCACGUGGGCGCCUCGGAGCGCCCUCAGGGGCAGGCCCUUUAGUCCCGGGUCUUUACACGGACCGGGACUAAAGAGUUUCAGAUUUUGUUUAUUUUUGGGUUUUAGGGUUUUAGGGUUUAGGUGUUCGGAAGAUUAACAUGAUGCCUCGUUUAGUGUUCGGGAAUUAGUUUUCAUAUAAUUCUAAAUAGAAAUAAUUAUGCAUAUAUAUAUAUAUAUAAGAUUAACUUAUCUUACAAGCGAGCAUAUAUAUACAAUUAUAUGGAGAUCUGAAUUAUCGGGACUAGAGCCCGUCUAUUCGAUUACAUGGACCAACAUCAGUAAUGGCCCCUAGCUACACUAAAUCGUCCUUUGUCAUCUAUAACUUCCGUCCUGAGAAAGGUCGCAAGCUCCUCUGCAACAACAAUCGCGCGUUGCUCUGGUAGGGACUUCUCCCUCAUGACCGUGUACUAUAUAAGAAGAGGAGAUGAAUAUGAAUAUCAAUCAGGAUAACAAAGAAUGACGGGUAAAAAUAGAGGUGUGAAUGUUCAUUGCUUACGUCGAAUUUGUGAUCCUUGUGCUCAGAGGUAAACGUGCGAAUGGUCUCGCAAACAUAGUAUCCGCAUAGAUGCGUCCCCCGUGGCUGUUGGUCGCACUUUACGAGAAUAGAAUAUACACUACUAGGAAAAGGGCUAUAGAUGAUAUAGAUACUAAUGGCGCACCACACAAGCAGUGCGCCACUAUUAUAUAGUAAUGGCGCACCAUGUGAGGUGUGUCAUUAGUGUGGUGGAUACUAAUGGCGCACCACACUCUCGGUGCGCCACUACUAUAUAUAUAUUUUUUUUUGCAAAACUACUAAUGGCGCACCAGCACCUGGUGCGCCAUUAGUAACCUGGUUACUAAUGACGCAUAUGUUAGUAGUGCGCCACUACUAUAAAAAAAAUUGGUUUUUUUUUGCAAACUACUAAUGACGCACCAAAGCUAGUGCGCCAUUAGUAACCAGUGUUACUAAUGGCGCAUCUAUUGGUGGUGCGCCACUACUAUUUUUUUUACAGAACUACUAAUGGCGCACCAGAGGAGGUGCGUCAUUAGUAACCAGGGUUACUAAUGGCGCAUAUGUAGGUGGUGCGCCAUUAGUAACCUGGGACCAGCUAGAUAUUUUGGACAGCCACCUACCACACUCACUUUCCCCACUUUCAUUCUCUCCACCUCCUCCUCCAAGCUUGUCUCGGGUGCCUCCUCCUCCUCACCUCAUUUGCAUCAUAGAUUCACCCAAAUGAAGUGGUUAAAUUACCUUUUUUGAUAGGUAAGUAAGGGGAAAGCUUUUAUAUUGUAGAUCUACUUUUUUCUCCCUGCAACAACGUGCACAUGCACUUUUUAUGGCCUAGCUAGAUCUACGUAUGUUUGUUGUGUUGCAUAUGUUUGUGGUGUUGCAUAUAUGUUUGUGUUUGCAGGUACCGGUAUUUGAAAUGCGAUAGUUGCCAAUUUUUUCCGGAAUGUUGAUUCAUUUCCGUUUCGGCGAGAAUUUGGCACUAUGCAUUCUUUUUUGUCCUAUUUUUAGGCAAAGUCAUGCCAAUUUUUUUUGGUUCUAAAAUAUCAUUUUGCUCUACCCCGCAGGCGACCAUAGUCCGCACGAUGACCGAAGGCAUCGUGAAUAGGUUUUUGAGCUCCGCGAAGGCCGAGAUGCUUCAAAAGAACGAGACGGAGAUAAGAUGUCUGUGUCGAAGAUGCAAGCUGAAGAGCCUUAUGGACCCGGAUUCCGUAAAGGUGCGGGACCACCUGCUCUUGCGUGGUUUCAUGGAUGGCUAUCGGUGGCAAGGUGAUGAAGAUGAUUAUGAAGUCGUCCAUGGGGGGCGGGAAAGAAAUGAGGAAGGGCAUGAGCAAGACAACCGCGGCGAGGGCGGGCGAGAAGACGAAGAAUCUCCAGGACACAGUCAUCAUGUAGAAGAUGCCGGACAUGAUGAUGAGGAAGAUGCCGGAGCAGACGAAGGGCAUGAUCAUGAAGAUGAAGAUGCCAGAGCAGACGACGAUGGACCAUCCAUGGCCUGGGUGCAGGACCCUCAUAUUCAAGAGCUGCUUCUCAAGCAGACGGAUAACGCAAGAGCUGCCGCCCGAGAGAAAGCCAAGCUGGAUCAACUGGAGAUAGACGCGGUUACUCCAUUGUAUGAAGGAUGCAGGCCCGAGGAUACCCGCCUGAAAGUAAUGCUCAUGGCUCUGGAGAUGAAGGUAAAACACAAAAUGACCGACGCAUGCUUCGACGAGAACAUGUCAUUCUGGCACGAACGUCUUCCCAAGGGGAACAAGUGCCCGACCAGUUUCGAGGAGGCGAAGAAAAUCGUGUGUCCUCUGGAUUUACCGCACGUGAAAUACCAUGUGUGCAUGAACAAUUGCAUCAUUUAUCAGGACAAGCACGCGGAGUCUACCAUAUGUCCGGUGUGCGGCGUCAGUCGAUACAAGAAGAGGAAGAAAGCUCCUCAAAAAGUGGUGUGGUACUUUCCGAUCACUCCUCGUCUGCAACGGUAUUUCGCGGACCCUAAGGUAGCAAAGCUCAUGCGUUGGCACGCGGAUAGGGAGGAGAAAAAGCGAGAAGAUGACGGAAAUGAUCCGGAGAUAAAUAAAAAAGACAAGAUGCUGAGUCACCCUAAGGAUGCGAGCCAGUGGCAAGCGUUGAACUACGAAUACCCAGAAUUUGGGGACGAUCCAAGGAACAUCGUGCUGGGCGCGAGCACCGAUGGAGUCACUCCGUUUGGCAGCCAGAGAAGCACACAUAGCACCUGGCCUGUGUUUGUGUGGAUGUACAACCUUCCCCCUGGUUGUGCAUGAAGAGGAAGUACAUUCACAUGAGUAUGCUAAUUGAAGGGCCGAAACAACCAGGGAACAACAUCAAUCUAUAUCUGGGGCUGCUGAAAGAGGAGCUAGACACGCUGUGGAAAACGCCAGCCAAUACGUGGGACGCCGCAGAGAAAGAAUAUUUCCCUAUGAGACCCGCACUGCUCACGACGGUGCACGACUAUCUCGGUUACGGAUAUGUCGCGGGGCAGGUGGUCCACGGAUUUUCUAGAUGCGUCAGGUGCAUGGAUGACACAUUGUAUCGCCAGCUAGAUAGAGAUCCCGGGUCUUCAAAAAUCGUGUUCAUGGGACAUCGAAGGUGGCUUCGCGACGAUGACACAUGGAGAAAACGCAAGGAUCUGUUCGAUGGUGAAACCGAACCCCGAAGACGGCCCCUUAUGAGGAGCGGCCAGGAAAUAUACGAGUUGUUGAAAAAUUGGAAAGAGUGCCCACCGCCAGGAAAGGCGCCACAGCCGGGAAAGAAGCGAAAGGCGCCAGAGCCGCUGCUGAAGGUAUGGAAAACGAGGUCUGUUUUCUGGGACUUGCCGUACUGGAAGAUCCUCCGUGUGCCUCACAGCCUUGAUGUCAUGCAUAUCACGAAGAACGUGUGCGAGAGUCUGCUUGGUACCCUGCUCAACAUGCCAGAGAGGACCAAAGAUGGACCGAAAGCAAGGGCAGACUUGAAAUCAAUGGGCAUCAGGGAGGAGCUUCACGCUAAUAAUGAUGAUGAUGAUGAUGAUGAUGAGGCGAAGCAGGACAAGGAAAGUCGUCGCAAAGGCAAAAAGUACAAGAAGACCGGAAAUGACUUCCCUCCCGCGUGCUUCACUCUAAGUCAGGAGGAGAUCGAUCAGUUUUUCACCUGCCUCGUAGGAGUAAAACUUCCUUACGGUUACGCGGGGAAGAUAAGCAGAUACCUAGACUCAGCGAAGCAGAAGUUUAGCGGGAUGAAGUCUCACGACUGUCACGUGCUGAUGACGCGGAUACUUCCAGUUGCAAUCCGUGGGAUCAUGGACGCGCACGUCCGUGAAACGCUAUUUGGCCUAUGCAACUUUUUUGACGUCAUCUCUCGGAAGUCGGUUGGCGUGAGGCAACUUAGAAGGCUACAGGAAGAGAUCGUGGUGAUACUAUGCGAGCUUGAGAUGUACUUCCCGCCCGCAUUCUUCGACGUUAUGGUGCAUCUGCUGGUCCAUAUCGUGGAGGAUAUCAUCCAACUCGGGCCGACGUUCCUGCACAGCAUGAUGCCGUUCGAAAGGAUGAAUGGUGUCAUCAAAGGAUACGUUCGCAACAUGUCACGUCCAGAGGGAAGCAUAGCCAGGGGCUUUCUGACCGAAGAGUGCAUCUCCUACUGCACGAAUUAUCUAGGCAUCGAGAACCCCGUUGGUCUGCCCGUCAACAGGCACCUCGGCAGGCUCGCAGGAUGGGGUCACCGUGAGGGUCGCCGCGAAAUGCAUGUCGACUUCGAGGGUCGACUCGCUGACUUUGAAAGAGCAAACCUAGUCGCGCUACAACAAAUAGACGUGGUCGAUCCUUGGGACGUAGAGCACAAAACCUUUAUUGAAAAGACGUACAAUGACCGAGGCCAACAGAGGACGGACGGAGAUAUAAUCAAAGAGCACAACUCAUGUUUCACGCGUUGGUUCAAGCAGAAGCUUUUGUCGUACCCUUUACAUGAGGAUUCUUCCGCGGAAGAACAACUCAUAUUCGCCUUGUCACAGGGCGCCGAGCACAACCUGAUGACGUAUGAGGCGUACGAUACCAACAGCUACACAUUCUACACCGAGGGAAAGGACAUGAAGAGCGAUGGUUAUCAGAACUCCGGGGUAACGAUGGAAUCCUACACCGGUAACGACAAGGACAGAUACUACGGAAGGAUCGAGGAGAUUUGGGAGUUGAGCUACGCUGGAGAGAAGGUCCCGAUGUUCCGUGUCAGAUGGGCCAAGAGCGUCAUAAAAGAAGACCGGUAUUUCACCACCAUGGUUAUACCCGAAGCCAAAUCCAAGACCGCGGGCGCAAACAUCACCGCGAAAAAUGAGCCAUGGUUACUAGCUUCCCAAGUGGACCAAUGCUUCUUCAUUACCGACCCGCCAAAGCCCAGUCGUGUUGUCAUGAGGAGAGGCAAAAGGAAGAUCAUCGGAAUGGAUGGAGUCGCCAAUGAGCAAGACUUCGACAAGUACGGCGACCCGAAGAUGGAACAUGACGACGAUGAUGAAGUACCAGCAUACACCACAAGAAGAAGCAGGACCACCCUACCUAAAGGACGUCCGUUCAAGAGAAGAACUCCAUUUACGAAAAAUAAGGGCAAGAAGAUUGUGAACAAAUAGCUAGCUAAGAUCGAUUGUAUUUAAAUUUGAUGAUAUUUUUUCAUAUUCAAUAUGAAAAAAUAUUGAAUAUUCAUGAGGACACUCGAUCUCGAUCCCCUCCAUUUCGAUCGCUAUCACCCCUCGCAAGAUCCCCCUCGCCACCGAGCACCCCCCGCACCCUCCCCCGCUCCACCGCCGUCGCCGUCGGCAUACUUACCACUAGAACACCUAUUCACAAGAUACUAGGCACUUCUCAAAAAAAUACUAGGCACUUCUCAAACCAAGGUGCAACCAGCACAAGAAAACAAUGCAAAAAAAAUACUAGGCACUAGAUGUUGUUGUGAGGCACUAGAUAUUCAUAGGCAUCUAAUUGCAAACAUAAAAAAAAUACUAGACAUCUACUUGAAAACAUAAAAAAAAUACUAGGCACUUCUCAAACCAACGUGCAACCAGCACAAGAAAACAAUGCAUAGAAAAAAAGGAAAAAAAAGAGGGGGGAACACGAUUCGAACCCGCAACCUCCUGCUAGGAGGCAAAACCCACGGACCACUGCGCUGCUACUUCGGAGGUUAACAACAUAGACAAGGCGCACCUCAUAUACAUGCGCCAUUACUACAUAAAAAACAUUCUAAUGGUGCACCGCUCGGGGUGCGCCAUUCCUAAGCCGGGUCGCGCCCUCCUCUCUUCUCCCGCGGCCUCCCCCUACCCCUUUCCACCAAACAGCAGCUCCCCCACCUUCGUCCACGCAGCCCACGGAGCUCUGGCGCGCUAGGGUUUGCUCCGCCUCUGCCUCCGCCGCCGCCGCCGCCUCCGCCUCCGGCACCUAGCCGCCGGCCGUCCCGUCACCGCCUCUGCCUCCGUCACCACCGCCGCCUCCGCCUCCGACACCUAGCCGCCGGCCGUCCCGUCACCGCCUCUGCCCGCCUUGCCGCCCUUUCUCGUCGCCGGACGCCCAUCUUCCCAGAUCCUCGGCACCUGCCUCUCCAUCGCGCCCUCGGCCUGCACGGCGCUCGGCGCGAGCUGCGCCACCGCCCCAGGCCAUGACCCCGCUGCCCUGCCCCGCCGCGUGGCGCCCCUGCAAGUCGGCGGCAGCCACCGACCGCCCAGUCUGCACCCCGACACUUGGCUUAGUCUGAUUUGAGGUACCAUUUUACAAUUCCCCAAUUUUUUUGGUUUAGGGUUAGGCGGUUAGCUUCAUUGCUCGCUGAUUUGUUGUGUUGUGCAUACUCGACUACAGUACAUGAACAUGAACUGGUUAAUUUAGCACAUCAUUUUUGUUCGAUUCUGUCAUUGAUUGAUAAAUGGUAAAUUCAUAUUCAUGAGGUUAUCAGGGUUUCUUGCUUUCGUUGCAGUCCUGCUAAGUCUGUAAUUAAAUAGUCCAAACAAAGUGGCAGGUGAUGCUGCAAGGUUAUAUUUUUUCUGCUGGUUUAGCUUAUAUUGGUUGGCAUGGAUGAGUGUUAAGUCACUAAAUAUUGUUUAUGUUUUGAUCUUUAGUUGGCUAUAUAUAAGUUUCACCUGCUGGCUCAAGUUUACUUUAAUGAUGCAAGUUAAAUAUAUAGCUACAAGCUAAUUUAAACAGCAAACAGUGGCCCAUACUAGUGUCAGCUCCUGUGGUAUCGCACGCUUGCACACUUUCGUGACCUCUUUUUCUCUACUUUUGAAAUGUUAGUUUGCUCAUGUGUAUUAAUCAAGGUGACAAACAGCAUGCUGGAGUAAACUUGUAAGGCACAUACUCUUUUGAUACUUAGGUGCACGUGAACUUGCAAGAGAUGCUCGAGCUACAAGACCCGAUGACCUCAUGAAUUCUGUUGUUGGAGGGCUAGCAAGUGGAGCUGUUCUUGGCCGAAUACAAGGUUGGUCAUUAUACUCCACGGUCAUAUGUUGACUUAUAUUUCUUUUCAUACUUAACAUCUUUCAGUGACUCGCAUUUGCAGUUUUUCUCAAGUCAAAUUUGACUGUAGUGCUCAAUUCCUCCUUGUCCUUAUGAAUUUGAUCUCUACAGUACACCAAGCAAGCUUAUAUAUCUGAAAAACUUAAGUUUAUGAUAUCACACAUACUAGCAGAUGAAGAUGCAUAUUAUAUUACAUUACGCACUGAAGCUCAGGGAAAUGUGCGAUUAUAGUCAGUCAUGUGCGUUCUGGUGGAGCUUGUGCAAAUGCUUAGAAGGUUGGUUCUGUGCCAACUAGCUGCAUCAGAGAUCAGACACGACCGAAAUAAUUUUUUACCACAUGACCUCGUAUAACGGGACUCUCUUGUUUUCACACAAGCACGUGUUUUUUUCAAGUAUAUAAAUGCAUCCAUGUACCAAACAUCACAGGGUGAAUUUAAACGACACCUUAGGGUUAUCUUGUUCUCUAUAACCACAUGUUGUGUGUCAAGGCAACUAUUGAGAAAGUCUGUUUUCUGUAUUUUGUGAGAUGGCAGAUUGCUUAUGAUAGAUACUUUCAAGGUGGGAUCCUCCCUUCCAUUCAAAGUUUAGUUUACUUCGUAAGUAAUGUUUAGUUUACUUCGUAAGCUUGCAAAAACGUCUACAUUGUAAUCCGUAACUCUUAACUUAGUCUCUCCUAGUACUUAUCAAUUUUACAUGUGUUGUCAUACUUAACGCAUGCCUAAUUUUAACACUAAAUCAACUUCAUUAAUUUUCAGGUACAGUACUUGGAUCAGCGGAAGAGGAGCAUCAACACCACGGGCAGAGGAGCAGCAGCCGCUAGUUCUUCAGGUACAAUGGGGGGACAACAGAUAUUGCUAUCUGAAAAAUGAGUUAGCCAGUCAUCUAAGUUGAGCUGAUUUUGAUUUCCGUAUGUUAUGGGGGGACAACAGAUAUUGCUAUAUGUUCAUUCUUGAGGGUACAAACUUGCUAAAAUAUUGAUGAUUUUUUGUUGGGUGACCUAUUUUUGUCCAUAUGAAAGCAGAGGACCAUAUGGUUUGUGUCCUUUUCAUCCAUAUGAAAGUAGAGGCACAUUGUGGUGCUAGUUUGCUGGGUUUUGUUUCUGACCAUCGUGUCGUGAUGAUUUUGCAGGUACCCCGAGAGGCCCUUGAGUUUGCCGGAAUGUCGAUUAAUUUCCGUUCCGGCAAUUUCGGGUACUCCAUAUGUCCUAUUUUCAGCAAAGGUCAUGCUGAAAUUUUCCGUGAAUUUUAGCAUGACUUUGCUAAAAAUAGGACAUAUGGGGUACUUGCGACUAAUGCAUGGGCCGGGGUAUCUUAGUACUUAAUUAAGUAGGAUCAACUGCCCCUUUAUUCUUGCUGCAUUAAACCAUAGGUGGCAAUAGAGCCAAGUGAUUAGGCCCAACUUAGAAUUCUCCUUCCCUUUUCUUGAUAGGGUAUAUUAUUAGAAGAUACCCAUAUAUAUCAGUCAACCUAGCGUGCCUCGGCAUCGAUAAACCCUAAAUGAUGAAAACUUAACUUAGCAUUUAGGGUGCCUCAGCAUCGACAAACCCUAAAUUAUAAAACCUUGGCUUUUAGGGUGCCUCGGUGUCGAUAAAAACCUAAAUGAUGAAAUCUUAGACUUUUAGGGUGCCUCGGCGUCGACAAACCCUAAAUGAUAAAAUCUUAGCUUUUAGGAUGCCUCGGUGUCGACAAACCCUAAAUGAUGAGACCAUGAUCUUGUUCCUUGACAAUAACCAACUUUUUGACCAAACUUUUUUCCUAUUUAGAGCGAAACAUGGCCCACAAUGAUGAGGCCGGCGGUUCGGGCAAGCCAUUCUGGGAGCUGUCCCAGGAGAUGGUGGAAGAACCUCACCGCUAUGAGGACGCCGCGGAAGACACCGAUCCCGAGUACACAACCCCUAGUGGCGUCAGGGAUGACACCACUGAUGGUGUCGCCGAGGAUGCCACCAUUGAUGAUGGCAGCGCACGCGCAGAUGGCAGCCAAUCGAAGAGGCAACGGAAGGACCGGCGCCCGAACGUGCUCAGCACCGUAAAGGAGGAAUUUACUGAAGUGAACUCCGACGGGUAUCCAACGGCGCCCAAAGAAAUAGUCAAGGGGUACGCGGUUCAGCUCGGGUGCAUUCUCCGGAGCACUGUCUCGAUCAACACCGAGAACCUAAGGCAUAAGGACCGAGGGAAUUUGCGCAACCUCCUCUUCACGAAGCUGCACGAACGAUACAAGUUCCCCGGUGACGUCGCAAACACACGCCUCUCAAGGAAUAAAGUGAACAGUGUCGCCCUCACGAAGAUGAGCAAGGCCCUGUCUACUUGGAGAAGCGUGGUGAAUAGAAUGAUUGACAAAGGUGAUAGUUAUGAGAAGAUCAAGGCGAAAAAUCCAUCGAUCAGCGAAGAUGACUACAAGGAGUUCAAGAUCAAGUGCGAGAGCAAGGCAACCGCGGAAUCAAGUCAGUGGGGGAAAGAAAUGCGGGAGUUGAACUUAGGGGUCCACCAACUCGGUCCCGGCGGUUACGGAGUGGCGGAACCUAUAUGGGACAAGGAGGACGCGGAGCGUGCCGAGCAAGGCUACCACCCUGCUUCGAGAAAUACGGUGACAAGCAGACCAGGAACUAUGUCAGGGCUCGGUACAAGGUGGACCCAGUAACAAAGGAGCUUACCACGGAUGCGAAGACCAGGGCGCUUGAGCGUGUUCUAGUAAGGAAUACACCCCACGUAAUUAGCUCCAUAUGGUUGCAUUCUAAUUAAUGAAGCCAAAUAUCUAAAUGGUUCAUUCCUUCCGCAGGACACUGAAAGCAGUAGCGCGGGGUCGUCUCAGAGCUCCCAUUGGGACACCAAUUUAAAUAGGGCGUUUAACAUAAUGAAAAACAAGGAUAAGUCCAGUAAGCCGUCGUCAGCUGGUCGUGUGGCCGGCAAAGGCUUGUCCACGAAAUGGUCGUCAUACUAUAACGCUGGUGGGCGAAAGGAGAGAAAUACCAACUUGGUAAGCCAGUCGCGCGAGGUUGAAGAACUCAAGGCAAAAGUGGCGCGGAUUUCGGAGAUAGUCCAAGAGCUAGUGCAACACCAAGUGGGAGGGGUGAUCACCGCCAUUGUGCCUACCUUGAUUGAGGGGCUGCAGGCGUGGGUUGCGGGCAGCCAACAGGGGCCGCCCCCGAUUCCCAGCUUCACGGCCAGCAACUCGCACAACGCGCAGGCGAUGCCAUUGGUGUCUCCGGCGCCGGCCGGCACCUCGGCAGCAAGCGGCCCCUCCGUCACUUGCACGCCCGCCGUAGGCGGUGCCUCGACAUUAGCCAAGCUCGACGCCAUCACGGUAACUAAGCCUCUCUCGGCCGAUGACUUCAUCUCCUUGCCUUUGACUGGGCAUCCCCUGACGCCCUACAUGUUUUCGCAGGGCGCCGGCGCCGACGUUCCAUGCACUCUCCUGCACUUCAUGGGCGCGAGUUGAUCGAUGUUGCCAAGGGCAGAAUCGUUCAACCGGGCAACCCCAUAUUCCACGGUAAACCAAUGCCACCCACCACGUAUAGGGUUCAACUGGUUCGGGUGCUGCCAGGCUGCGACGACUUGUUACCUCCGUUCCACCCCGCUGGGGCCGACAUAGAUGAUGUGAUGACCCUCAGCGCCUGCUUAAGCUGGCCCUUGCUUUGGCCGAAGAGCCAGAUUCGUUUGGGGGCGGGGGACACCACCCCACAGACAACACCGCCAGUCGUGCCGGCGCCAAGCCAUGGCAAGACCGCCGCAACGCUACCGGACAUGCAUAUGGCACAGGAUCCGGACAUGCAUAUGACACAGGUUCCGGACGACGACGAUGACGACGAUGGUACAUUUACCAAGGUCGAUAAGUACUUUGCCGAACAUGGGUACGGUGAGGAAUUCUUGGGGCCUCCUUCUCAAGAACCCAACCCUGCAAAAGACGACCGCGAUCUAGCUGGUACCGCGGAGAAACCCAAUUGCAACAGGCGUUGUCUGGCGUUUAGUUUUGAGGAGACGCCUCCAGCUGCCGCCUUCACCGAGCCUCAGAUAGCCGAGGUGUGAAAUAUUAUCAGCCCCAACACACUCAAGAAGGUGGUCUCUGAGCAGAUGAACUGGAUCCCAUUACAUCAGCAGAAGAAGGGACGGAAAAGAAAGACUAACAAGGGUGCGAUCCAGCCGGCACUGAGUACGAUCCGUGCUCUGGACGGGCCACCUUCACCUAAGGAUAUCUCGAGGAGGGUGCAUGUGGCGGGUAGGCCGAUGCUACCGACUAAUCUGCUCAAUGCUGCAACCGGUGCUAUGUGGAGUCUGCAUGACAGUGUUCUCUAUUUGGAGAAGCGGCGUCUCUCCGAGAAUAAUGUGGCAUACCCAGUUUUCGUGGCCAAGGUGCCAGAGGGCAAGGGCUUUGUCGAUAGCGCCAUUGGGGGUAUGAUCGUCCUGCGGUUUGCUGACAUCUUUGCUAUGUUUAACCUUCAUCCGCUGCACUACACCUUCGUUCGGCUAUUUUCGCUGAGUAUGGAGAUGCGGAUCAUUAGAGACAAGACCCCGGACCUAGUGAUAGUCGACCCCUUCUAUAUGCGUGCCAAGAUCUUGGGCAACGCUGGGGACCGGCAAGUCGCGAGUUCAUACCUCGAAGGCGUCAUUCUGGCAAACUCAGAAAAGGAUAACUUCCUCGUGCCUUACUUUCCCUGGUAAGUUAUCCCCUCAUCGCCACGUAACAUAUGAUUUCUUAGAUUUUGAUCGUCCUUUGUUGUUCUAACAUUCCGUGUUUUGUGCAGUGACACACGUUGCACACUCAUCCUCUUAAGCCUGAAAUAUUCCACGGCCACGUAUUUCGACUCGGACCGUCAGUCAAAAAAAGACUACACAAAUAUCAAGAAAGUUCUUGAUGAAGCUCUUCCUGGAUACGCCAUAUCUGGAGGCACCUUCAGCAGGACAAGUCUCAGGCACGGCAAGCACGUGUUCACCCACAAUACAACGUUCGCGUGCGUCAAGCAGCCGCCUGGCAGUCAGAAGGAUGCCUACUACGCCCUCCAUCACAUGCGGGCGAUCAUACGGGACAGUAAUCACCUUCGGCUACCAAAUAAUCUCAAAGAUUGGGCCGCACGCUUGUCGGCAAUCCAGGAUGCGGACAUCAGACAAGAAUUCUUUCGCAUCCAGUCGGAGUUUGCGGAAAUCAUCCAUCAAGAUGUCCUUCGUACCUCGGGGCAGUUCUACCUCAGAUCUCCGCUGUCCAAUAGUGAGAUAGAUACAAUGCUACAAAUGGAGGCUGACAACGACCGCAAUUUCAUGACCAUCACGAAAGACGGCAGCUUCAUCCACGUUCCCGUGAAUCGCUACUAAUUCAUGUUGGAAUAUUAAACUUUAAUGAACUGGUAUGUCUCUUUGGUUUGGACAGUCGUUCAACUUAUAUAUAAUCGAUGCUAUUUAUUAGUAGGACCAUGAAUCGUGUUGUUAUAGUUGUAAUAUUAAACUUUAAUGAACUUGUAUGUCUCUGUGAAUUGCUACUAAUGUUUUGUUUGGAUAGUGCAUAGAGAUGUCGUCGUAUGUCGUGUACAAGGGUAAGGUUCCCGGAGUCUACGACGACUGGGAGGAGUGUUGGAGACAGGUUCAUCGAUUCAGCGGUAACAGUUACAAAGGGUACACCACAAGGGCGGAGGCGGAAGUUAGAUACGCGCGCUAUCUAGCGGGAGAGAGGAGGGAGCGUUGGAGGAACCGGAUGAAGACCAGUUUCAUUGCGAUUAUGCUCAUCGUGAUGACCGCAGCUCUCUUCUAUAUGUGAUGGUAGUUUAGAUGGUCGAUAUAUCGACUUGUAAUGUGAAGACAAACUCGCUACUCGCGGUCUCGAGACUUGUAAUGUUCUAACUUUGUUCGGUAUUUUAAAUUCGGAGACUAAUAUGAUGAAUUGUAUUCGGAGACUAAUCUUCUAUUGUAUUCGAUAAAUCUGUUGUUUAUAUGUUGUGCUAUCUAUAUUCUGUGCAAUAAUAUAUUUUGUAAUCUGUGCAAAUAUCAGAAAAAAUAAAAUAAAUACUAAUAUUCAUACUAGUGGCGCAUCACUCAGCACACUAGUGCGCCAUUAGUAAGCCAGAGCAUAUGGGUACAUAUGGCCGUGGGAGGCAUACUAAUGGCGCACCAUAAGCUAUACUAAUGGCGCACCAGGAUAUAUACUAAUGGCGCACCGGGAUCUAUAUUAAUGGCGCACCAGGAUAUAUACUAAUGGCGCACUACCUGGUGCGCCAUUAGUAUACCAGAUACUAAUGGCGCACCAUGAGCAAUACUAAUGGCGCACUACCUGGUGCGCCAUUAGUAUACCAGAUACUAAUGGCGCACUUGUAGUGCGCCAUUGUAAAAAAAUCUAAUGGCGUGAUGCUAGUGGCGCACCUAUAGUGCGCCAUUAGUAGCAAAAAAUGGUGCGCCAUUAGCAAGCCUUUUCCUAGUAGUGAUAUAUAAUCAAAAUAAUAAUCUAGCAUCAUAAAUGUAUUGAAAAUAGAAGUAUAUCAUACUACUACUUACCUGAGCCGCUCUAAAGGUCAGCUUCUCAGGCUCGAUACCGGGAGUCACGCACUUGAACCGCUUCCAAACCCUGUCCGACAAGGAUAAUGAUUUGCUAAGUUUUUCAUUAAUUGAUAUAUCAGAAAAUCAUCGAAAGAGACCGAUAGAGGGCAAGAAUGAUUGAAAUUACCCUUGAAGCAUGUCCUGCAGGCUUUGGAACUGUUCCAAGGGUCUCGAUAAUGGGUCGAAGGCAUCAAUUCUUCCCUUAUCAAUUUGAAUGUCCAACAGAAUCCAAUGGAAGCUGCACAUGUAUAUAUAUAUAUGUGUGUGUGUGUGUGUGUGUGUCAGUAACUUAUCAAUUACACUUAUAAGUGAAUGGACACAACAGAGUAAAGACCCUCACCUGAAGUUGUAUGGAAACAGUAUGUGGUCAUAGAAAUUUUGAUCUGUUAGAAACCUUAGAAGGUUUUCCUCCGUCUCCUUGGGUUUAUCAGUUAGCGUCGCUAUAUGUAUUUUAUCUGGGUCAAUAAACCCAAUAUUUAGGAUGUUCUUACUUUUACAAUCCAGAAUCUUCAUUCUGCAUAAUAGAGUACAAGUUAUAUAUAGACAAUGAAUUGAAAUAACUAAACAAGUUAUAUGUAGACAACGAAUUGAAAAACUUACACACAAUAGCAACUCAUAAGCGAUUUGUCGAGGGCGUCGCCAUUGUACAUCUGGAAGAGUUCAUCAAAGUCGAUAUGGAUUUCUUCGGGGCGGCCAUAGUACUCCCGUGGGACACUCACCACGAUCAUCGUUCUCCCAUUCUUUGAUUCACUUAAGUACCAUGUAUGCAAGUAACGCAUAUUUGUUGGGGGAUCAUCUUUGCUGACCAAAGGUGCUCCCAUGACAAACUGUGGCUUAGGGGCUACCACAGCCUUGGGUAACCUGUCGUCUUGGGAAGCCAGAAUGUCUUUAACCGGGAUACCCCAUUCAUUCGCCCACUUCUUUUAUACUUCCAAAUCUUGCCCCUGCACCAGAGGGGGGACAUUCUCGGGUAACACCCUGAGGGGUGGGAUCGACUGUUUGGCCUGUUGUCCAAGCUGAGGAACGUCUAAUCUUUUUUUGCUUGUAGUUGAACUUGAUUUGUUCCCACUUGCACUUGCACGUGAUCUGCUCUUUUUCACUUCCUUCUGCAAUGUGCGUGUAUCUGUUGGAAAUAUGCCCUAGAGGCAAUAAUAAAUUAGUUAUUAUUAUAUUUCUUAGUUCAUGAUAAUCGUUUAUUAUUCAUGCUAUAAUUGUAUUGAUUGGAAACACAAUACUUGUGUGGAUACAUAGACAAAACACUGUCCCUAGUAAGCCUCUAGUUGACUAGCUCGUUGAUCAAAGAUGGUUAAGGUUUCCUGGCCAUAGGCAAGUGUUGUCACUUGAUAACGGGAUCACAUCAUUAGGAGAAUCAUGUGAUGGACUAGACCCAAACUAAUAGACGUAGCAUGUUGAUCGUGUCAUUUUGUUGCUACUGUUUUCUGCGUGUCAAGUAUUUGUUCCUAUGACCAUGAGAUCAUAUAACUCACGGACACCGGAGGGAUGCUUUGUGUGUAUCAAACGUCGCAACGUAACUGGGUGACUAUAAAGAUGCUCUACAGGUAUCUCCGAAGGUGUUCGUUGAGUUAGUAUGGAUCGAGACUGGGAUUUGUCACUCCGUGUGACGGAGAGGUAUCUCGGGGCCCACUCGGUAAUACAACAUCACACACAAGCCUUGCAAGCAAUGUGACUUAGUGUAAGUUACGGGAUCUUGUAUUACGGAACGAGUAAAGAGACUUGCCGGUAAACGAGAUUGAAAUAGGUAUGCGGAUACUGACGAUCGAAUCUCGGGCAAGUAACAUACCGAAGGACAAAGGGAAUGACAUACGGGAUUAUACGAAUCCUUGGCACUGAGGUUCAAACGAUAAAGAUCUUCGUAGAAUAUGUAGGAUCCAAUAUGGGCAUCCAGGUCCCGCUGUUGGAUAUUGACCGAGGAGUCUCUCGGGUCAUGUCUACAUAGUUCUCGAACCCGCAGGGUCUGCACACUUAAGGUUCGACGUUGUUUUAUGCGUAUUUGAGUUAUAUGGUUGGUUACCGAAUGUUGUUCGGAGUCCCGGAUGAGAUCACGGACGUCACGAGGGUUUCCGGAAUAGUCCGGAAACGAAGAUUGAUAUAUAGGAUGACCUCAUUUGGUUACCGGAAGGUUUUCGUGCAUUACCGGAAAAGUUUCGGGAUCAUCGGUAGUGUACUGGGAGUGCCGGGAGGGGUGUCGGGGACCAUCGGGAGGGGUGUCACGCCCCAAGGGGUCUCAUGGGCUAUGGGAAGAGAUAAACCAGCCCCUAGUGGGCUGGAAUAAGUUCCCACUAAGGCCCAUAAGGUUUGAGAAGGAAAAAACACAAGGUGGAAAGAGUUUCCAAGUGGGAAGGUGGAAUCCUACUCCAAGUAGGAUUGGAGUAGGACUCCUCCACCUCCAAUUUCGGCCAAACCUUUAGGUUUUGAGGCUGCCUCCUCCCCUCCCUCCCACCUAUAUAUACGGAGGUUUUAGGGCUGAUUUGAGACGACUUUUCCACGGCAGCCCGACCACAUACCUCCACGGUUUUUCCUCUAGAUCGCGUUUCUGCGGAGCUCGGGCGGAGCCCUGCUGAGACAAGGUCAUCACCAACCUCCGGAGCGCCGUCACGCUGCCGGAGAACUCUUCUACCUCUCCGUCUCUCUUGCUGGAUCAAGAAGGCCGAGAUCAUCGUCGAGCUGUACGUGUGCUGAACGCGGAGGUGCCGUCCGUUCGGUACUAGAUCGUGGGACUGAUCGCGGGAUUGUUCGCGGGGCGGAUCGAGGGACGUGAGGACGUUCCACUACAUCAACCGCGUUCACUAACGCUUCUGCUGUACGAUCUACAAGGGUACGUAGAUCACUCAUCCCCUCUCGUAGAUGGACAUCACCAUGAUAGGUCUUCGUGCGCGUAGGAAAAAUUUUGUUUCCCAUGCGACGUUCCCCAACAGUGGCAUCAUGAGCUAGGUUCAUGCGUAGAUGUCUUCUCGAGUAGAACACAAAAGGUUUUGUGGGCGGUGAUGUGCGUUUUGCUGCCCUCCUUAGUCUUUUCUUGAUUCCGCGGUAUUGUUGGAUUGAAGCGGCUUGGACCGACAUUACUCGUACGCUUACGAGAGACUGGUUUCAUCGUUACGAGUAACCCCCUUUGCUCAAAGAUGACUGGCAAGUGUCGGUUUCUCCAACUUUAGUUGAAUCGGAUUUGACCGAGGAGGUCCUUGGAUGAGGUUAAAUAGCAACUCAUAUAUCUCCGUUGUGGUGUUUGCGUAAGUAAGAUGCGAUCCUACUAGAUACCCUUGGUCACCACGUAAAACAUGCAACAACAAAAUUAGAGGACGUCUAACUUGUUUUUGCAGGGUAUGAUUGUGAUGUGAUAUGGCCAACGAUGUGAUGUGAUAUAUUGGAUGUAUGAGAUGAUCAUGUUGUAAUAGAAAUAUCGACUUGCACGUCGAUGGUACGGCAACCGGCAGGAGCCAUAGGGUUGUCUUUAUACUAAUGUUUGUGCUUGCGGAUGCAUUUACUAUUUUGCUAGGAUGUAGCUUUAGUAGUAAUAGCAUAAGUAGCACGACAACCCCGAUGGCAAUAUGUUGAUGGAUGAUCAUGGUGUGGCGCCGGUGACAAGAAGAUCGUGCCGGUGCUUUGGUGAUGGAGAUCAAGAAGCACGUGAUGAUGGCCAUAUCAUGUCACUUAUGAAUUGCAUGUGAUGUUAAUCCUUUUAUGCACCUUAUUUUGCUUAGAACGACGGUAGCAUUACGAGGUGAUCUCUCACUAAAAUUUCAAGACGAAAUUGUGUUCUCCCCUACUGUGCACCGUUGCUACAGUUCGUCGUUUCGAGACACCACGUGAUGAUCGGGUGUGAUAGACUCAACGUUCACAUACAACGGGUGCAAAACAGUUGCGCACGCGGAACACUCGGGUUAAGCUUGACGAGCCUAGCAUGUGCAGACAUGGCCUCGGAACACAUGAGACCGAAAGGUCGAUCAUGAAUCAUAUAGUUGAUAUGAUUAGCAUAGGGAUGCUUACCACUGAAACUAUACUCAACUCACGUGAUGAUCGGACUUAGGAUAGUGUAAGUGGAUCAUGAACCACUCAAAUGACUAGAGAGAUGUACUUUUUGAGUGGGAGUUUAGCAUAUAAUUUGAUUAAGUUGAACUCUAAUUAUAUUGAACAUAGUCUAAGUCCACUUUGAAUAUAUUUGUAUUGUAGAUCAUGGCUCACACGACAGUCAUCCUGAAUUUUAAUACGUUCCUAGAGAAAGCUAAGUUGAAAGAUGAUGGAAGCAACUUUGUAGACUGGGCUCGUAAUCUUAAGCUAAUCUUACAAGCUGGGAAGAAGGAUUAUGUCCUUAAUGCUGCGCUAGGAGAUGAACCACCCGCUACGGCUGAUCAGGAUGUUAAGAACGCUUGGUUAGCACGUAAGGAGGACUACUCAAUAGUUCAAUGUGCAGUCUUGUAUGGCUUAGAACCGGGACUUCAACGUCGCUUUGAGCGUCAUGGAGCAUUUGAGAUGUUCCAGGAGUUGGAGUUUAUCUUUCAGAAGAAAACCCGGAUCGAGAGGUAUGAGACCUCCGAUAAAUUCUAUGCUUGCAAGAUGGAGGAAAACUCGUCUGUCAGUGAACAUGUGCUCAAAAUGUCUGGGUACUCAAACCGUCUAGCUGAGCUGGGGAUUGAACUCCCGCAAGAAGCUAUCACUGACAGAAUCCUUCAAUCACUGCCGCCAAGCUAUAAAGGCUUUGUGUUGAACUACAACAUGCAAGGGAUGAACAAGUCUCCCGGCGAGUUGUUUGCGAUGCUGAAAGUCGCAGAGUCUGAACUCCGUAAAGAGCAUCAAGUGUUGAUGGUGAGCAAGACCACUAGUUUCAAGAGAAACGACAAAGGCAAGAAGGGCAAUUCGAAGAAGAGCGGCAAGCCUGUUGCCAAUCCGCCGAAGAAACCCAAGGCUGGACCUAAGCCUGAAACAGAGUGCUUCUAUUGCAAGGGUAUGGGUCACUGGAAGCGCAAUUGCCCCAAGUAUCUGGCAGAUAAGAAGGCGGGCAAAGAAAAAUCAGGUAUAUUUGAUAUACAUGUUAUUGAUGUGUACUUAACCGGCUCUCGUAGUAGUGCCUGGGUAUUCGAUACCGGUUCUGUUGCUCACAUAUGCAACUCGAAGCAGGAACUGCGGAAUAGACGAAGGCUGGCGAAAGACGAAGUGACGAUGCGCGUAGGAAAUGGUUCCAAGGUUGAUGCAAUCGCCGUCGGCACAGUGUCACUUCAGCUACCAUCGGGAUUAGUGAUGAACUUAAAUCAUUGUUAUUUAGUGCCUGCGUUGAGCAUGAACAUUAUAUCUGGAUCUUGUUUAUUGCGAGACGGUUACUCUUUUAAGUCUGAGAAUAAUGGUUGUUCUAUUUCUAUGAGUAACAUCUUUUAUGGUCAUGCACCGAAUGUGAGAGGAUUGUUCAUAUUGAAUCUUGAUAGCGAUAUGCAUAUACAUAACAUUAAGACCAAAAGAGUUAGAGUAAACAAUGAUAGCGCCAUAUUUUUGUGGCACUGCCGCUUGGGUCAUAUUGGUGUAAAGCGCAUGAAGAAACUCCAUGCUGAUGGACUUUUGGAGUCACUUGACUUUGAUUCACUUGACACGUGCGAACCAUGCCUCAUGGGCAAGAUGACUAAGACUCCGUUCUCCAGAACAAUGGAGCGUGCAAGUGACUUGUUGGAAAUCAUACAUACCGAUGUGUGUGGUCCAAUGAGCGUAGAGGCACGCGGCGGAUAUCGUUAUUUUCUCACCUUCACUGACGAUUUAAGUAGAUAUGGUUAUGUCUACUUGAUGAAGCACAAGUCUGAAACAUUUGAAAAGUUCAAGCAAUUUCAGAGUGAAGUGGAAAAUCAUCCUAACAAGAAGAUCAAGUUCCUACGGUCUGAUCGUGGGGGUGAAUAUCUGAGUUUCGAGUUUGGUGCUCACUUAACACAAUGUGGAAUUGUUUCGCAGUAAACACCGCCUGGAACACCACAGCGUAAUGGUGUGUCCGAACGUCGUAAUCGUACUUUGUUAGAGAUGGUGCGAUCUAUGAUGUCUCUUACUGAUUUGCCGUUAUCAUUUCGGGGUUAUGCAUUAGAAACAGCUGCAUUCACUUUAAAUAGGGCACCAUCAAAAUCCGUUGAGACGACACCAUACGAACUGUGGUAUGGCAAAAGGCCAAAGUUGUCGUUUCUUAAAGUUUGGGGAUGUGAUGCUUAUGUCAAAAAGCUUCAGCCUGAAAAGCUGGAACCCAAAGCGGAAAAGUGCGUCUUCAUAGGUUACCCAAAAGAGACAGUUGGGUACACCUUCUAUCUCAAAUCCGAGGGCAAAGUGUUUGUUGCUAAAAACGGAGCUUUUCUCGAGAAGGAGUUUCUCUCGAGAGAAUUGAGUGGGAGGAAGAUAGAACUUGACGAGGUUGUCGAACCUCUCAUCCCUCUGGAUGGUGGCGCAGGGCAAGGGGAAACCUCUGUCGUUGCGACGCCGGUUGAGGAGGAAGUUAAUGAUGAUGAUCAUGAAACUCCAGUUCAAGUUUCUGUUGAACCACGCAGGUCGACGAGAUCACGCGCUGCUCCAGAGUGGUACGGUAAUCCCGUCUUAUCAAUCAUGUUGUUAGACAACAAUGAACCUGCAAAUUAUGAAGAAGCAAUGGUGGGCCCAGAUUCCAACAAAUGGCUAGAAGCCAUGAAAUCUGAGAUAGGAUCCAUGUAUGAGAACAAAGUGUGGACUUUGGAGAUACUACCUGAGGGCCGCAAGGCUAUUCAGAACAAAUGGAUCUUUAAGAAGAAGACGGACGCUGACGGUAAUGUGACCGUUUAUAAAGCUCGACUUGUGGCAAAGGGUUUUUCACAAGUUCCAGGAGUUGACUACGAUGAGACUUUCUCACCCGUAGCGAUGCUUAAGUCCGUCAGAAUCAUGUUAGCAAUAGCUGCAUUUUUCGAUUAUGAAAUCUGGCAGAUGGAUGUCAAAACGGCGUUCCUUAACGGUUUCCUUAAGGAAGGGUUGUAUAUGAUGCAACCCGAAGGUUUUGUCAAUCCUAAAAAUGCUGACAAGGUGUGCAAGCUCCAGCGAUCCAUUUAUGGACUGGUGCAAGCAUCUCGGAGUUGGAACAAACGCUUUGAUGAGGUGAUCAAAGCAUUUGGGUUUAUACAAGUGGUUGGAGAAUCUUGUAUUUACAAGAAAGUGAGUGGGAGCUCUGUGGCGUUUCUAAUAUUAUAUGUGGAUGACAUAUUAGUGAUUGGAAACAACGUAGAGCUUUUGGAGAGCAUAAAAGGUUACUUGAAUAAAAGUUUCUCUAUGAAGGACCUAGGAGAAGCUGCUUACAUUCUAGGCAUUAAGAUCUAUAGGGAUAGAUCAAAACGCCUCAUAGGACUUUCACAAAGCACAUACCUUGAUAAAGUUUUGAAGAGGUUCAAAAUGGAACAGUCCAAGAAAGGGUUCUUGCCAGUUUUACAAGGUACGAGAUUGAGUAAGACUCAGUGCCCAGCAACUGAUGAAGAUAGAGAGCAUAUGCGCUCCGUCCCCUAUGCUUCAGCCAUAGGUUCUAUCAUGUAUGCGAUGUUGUGCACUAGACCGGAUGUUAGCCUGGCCAUAAGUAUGGCAGGUAGGUUCCAGAGUAAUCCAGGAGUGGAUCACUGGACAACGGUCAAGAAUAUCCUGAAGUACCUGAAAAGGACUAAGGAGAUGUUUCUCGUGUAUGGAGGUGACGAAGAGCUCGCUGUAAAAGGUUACGUCGAUGCAAGCUUUGACACAGAUCCGGACGACUCUAAGUCGCAAACCGGAUACGUAUUUAUUCUUAAUGGGGGUGCAGUAAGCUGGUGCAGUUCCAAGCAAAGCGUCGUAGCAGAUUCUACAUGUGAAGCGGAGUACAUGGCUGCCUCGGAGGCGGCUAAGGAGGGUGUCUGGAUGAAGCAGUUCAUGACGGAUCUUGGAGUGGUGCCAAGCGCACUGAAUCCAAUAACCUUGUUCUGUGACAACACUGGUGCCAUUGCCUUAGCAAAGGAACCACGGUUUCACAAGAAAACCAGACACAUCAAACGACGCUUCAACCUCAUCCGCGACUACGUCGAGGAAGAGGACGUAAAUAUAUGCAAAGUGCACACGGAUCUGAAUGUAGCAGACCCGCUGACUAAACCUCUUCCACGGCCAAAACAUGAUCGACACCAGAACUGUAUGGGUGUUAGAUUUAUUACAAUGUAAUUCACAUGGUGAUGUGAGGGCUAGAUUAUUGACUCUAGUGCAAGUGGGAGACUGUUGGAAUUAUGCCCUAGAGGCAAUAAUAAAUAUAUAGUUAUUAUUAUAAUUCCUGUAUCAAGAUAAUAGUUUAUUAUCCAUGCUAUAAUUGUAUUGAAUGAAGACUCAUCUACAUGUGUGGAUACAUAGACAAAACACCGUCCCUAGCAUGCCUCUAGUUGGCUAGCCAGUUGAUCGAUGAUAGUCAGUGUCUUCUGAUUAUGAACAAGGUGUUGUUGCUUGAUAACUGGAUCACGUCAUUGGGAGAAUCACGUGAUGGACUAGACCCAAACUAAUAGACGUAGCAUGUUGAUCGUGUCAUUUUGUUGAUACUGUUUUCUGCGUGUCAAGUAUUUAUUCCUAUGACCAUGAGAUCAUAUAACUCACUGACACCGGAGGAAUGCUUUGUGUGUAUCAAACGUCGCAACGUAACUGGGUGACUAUAAAGAUGCUCUACAGGUAUCUCCGAAGGUGUUAGUUGAGUUAGUAUGGAUCAAGACUGGGAUUUGUCACUCCGUGUGACGGAGAGGUAUCUCGGGGCCCACUCGGUAAUACAACAUCACACACAAGUCUUGCAAGCAAUGUAACUUAGUGUAAGUUGCGGGAUCUUGUAUUACGGAACGAGUAAAGAGACUUGCCGGUAAACGAGAUUGAAAUAGGUAUGCGGAUACUGACGAUCGAAUCUCGAGCAAGUAACAUACCGAAGGACAAAGGGAAUGACAUACGGGAUUAUACGAAUCCUUGGCACUGAGGUUCAAAUGAUAAGAUCUUCGUAGAAUAUGUAGGAUCCAAUAUGGGCAUCCAGGUCCCGCUAUUGGAUAUUGACCGAGGAGUCUCUCGGGUCAUGUCUACAUAGUUCUCGAACCCGCAGGGUCUGCACACUUAAGGUUCGACGUUGUUUUAUGCGUAUUUGAGUUAUAUGGUUGGUUACCGAAUGUUGUUCGGAGUCCCAGAUGAGAUCUCGGACGUCACGAGGGUUUCCGGAAUGGUCCGGAAACGAAGAUUGAUAUAUAGGAUGACCUCAUUUGAUUACCGGAAGGUUUUCGGAGUUACCGGAAAUGUACCGGGAAUGACGAAUGGGUUCCGGGAGUUCACCGGGGGGGCAACCCACCCCGGGGAAGCCCAUAGGCCUUGGGGGAGACACACCAGCCCUUAGUGGGCUGGUGGGACAGCCCACAAGUGCCCUAUGCGCCAAGGAGAAGAAAAUCAAGAGAGAGAAAAAAAGGAGGAGGUGGGAAGGAAGGGGGACUCCCUCCCACCAAACCUAGUCCAACUCGGUUUGGGGGGGGAGAGUCCUCCCCCUUGGAUCGGCCGACCCCCUUGAGGGUCCUUGGACCCCAAGGCAAGGCCCCCUCCCUCCCACCUAUAUAUACGGAGGUUUUAGGGCUGAUUUGAUACGACUUUUCCACGGCAGCCCGACCACAUACCUCCACGGUUUUUCCUCUAGAUCGCGUUUCUGCGGAGCUCGGGCGGAGCCCUGCUGAGACAAGGUCAUCACCAACCUCCGGAGCGCCGUCACGCUGCCGGAGAACUCUUCUACCUCUCCGUCUCUCUUGCUGGAUCAAGAAGGCCGAGAUCAUCGUCGAGUUGUAUGUGUGUUGAACGCGGAGGUGCCGUCCGUUCGGUACUAGAUCGUGGGACUGAUCGCGGGAUUGUUCGCGGGGCGGAUCGAGGGACGUGAGGACGUUCCACUACAUCAACCGCGUUCUCUAACGCUUCUGCUGUACGGUCUACAAGGGUAUGUAGAUCACUCAUCCCCUCUCGUAGAUGGACAUCACCAUGAUAGGUCUUCGUGCACGUAGGAAAUUUUUUGUUUCCCAUGCGACGUUCCCCAACAAGAUUUUUAUAGUGUGCUGAAAUUUAUUGUCACUUGUCACUAUGGAAACUGUUCCUUUGAGGAGUUUGUUCGAGGUAUCUUCACCACGAACGGAAGCACGAGGAGUUGUUCCUCAUCCUGAGGUACCUACUGACUUUUGUGAAAAGAUUGUCGAGGUUUUCAUGGAUGACUUCUCCGUUUACGGGUCUUCCUUUGACGAUUGCCUCAGCAACCUUGAUCGAGUCUUACACAGAUGCAAAGAUACCAACCUCGUCUUGAAUUGGGAGAAGUGCCACUUUAUGGUUAAUGAAGGCAUCGUCUUAGGACACAAAAUUUCUGAGAGAGGCAUUGAAGUUGAUAAGGCUAAGGUUGAUGCAAUUGAGAAAAUGCCUUGCCCCACAGAUAUCAGAGGUAUACAAAGUUUCCUAGGUCAUGUUGGUUUUUAUAGAAGGUUCAUUAAAGACUGUUCUAAGAUUUCUAGGCCUCUUACCAACCUCUUGCAGAAGGAUGUUCCUUUUGUUUUUGAUCAGGAUUGUGAGGAAGCCUUUGAAAUACUUAAGAAGGCUUUGAUAACCGCACCUAUUGUUCAACCACCUGACUGGAACUUGCCCUUUGAAAUCAUGUGCGAUGCUAGUGAUUAUGUUGUUGGUGCUGUUCUAGGACAGAGAGUUGACAAGAAGUUGAAUGUUAUUCACUAUGCUAGUAAAACUCUAGACAGUGCCCAAAGAAACUAUGCCACUACGGAAAAGGAAUUUUUAGCAGUCGUGUUUGCAUGUGAAAAGUUCAGAUCUUAUAUAGUUGACUCCAAAGUCACUAUUCAUUCUGAUCAUGCUGCUAUUAAGUACCUUAUGAAGAAGAAGGACGCUAAGCCUAGGCUGAUCAGAUGGGUUCUCCUGCUACAGGAAUUUGAUUUGCACGUCGUUGACCGAAAGGGUGCUGAUAACCCUGUAGCAGAUAACUUGUCUAGGCUAGAGAAUGUCCUUGAUGACCCACUACCUAUUGAUGACAGCUUUCUUGAUGAGCAAUUAAAUGUCAUCCGCACUUCACAUAGUGCACCGUGGUAUGCUGAUUAUGCAAAUUAUAUCGUAGCCAAAUACAUACCACCCAGUUUCACCUAUCAGCAAAAGAAGAAAUUCUUCUUUGAUUUGAGACACUACUUUUGGGAUGAUCCUCACCUUUAUAAGGAAGGAGUAGAUGGUGUUAUUAGACGUUGUGUGCCUGAACAUGAACAGGGACAGAUCUUGCAGAAGUGUCAUUCCGAAGCCUACGGAGGACACCACGCUAGAGAUAGAACUGCCCAUAAGGUAUUGUAAUCAGGUUUCUAUUGGCCCACUCUCUUCAAGGAUGCCUGUAAGUUUGUCUUGUCUUGUGACGAAUGCCAAAGAAUAGGGAAUAUCAGUAAGCGUCAGGAAAUGUGUAUGAACUAUUCACUUGUCAUUGAACCAUUUGAUGUCUGGGGCUUUGAUUAUAUGGGACCCUUCCUGAGUUCCAAUGGGUACACUCACAUCUUAGUUGCUGUGGAUUACGUCACUAAGUGGGUAGAAGCUAUCCCCACUAAAAAUGCUGAUCACCACACCUCUAUUAAUAUGCUUAAAGAAGUCAUUUUCCCAAGAUUUGGAGUCCCUAGAUAUCUGAUGACUGAUGGCGGUUCACACUUCAUUCAUGGUGUUUUCCGCAAGAUGCUCGCUAAGUAUGAUGUCAAGCAUAGAGUUGCAUCUCCUUGUCAUCCUCAGUCUAGUGGUCAAGUGGAGUUGAGUAAUAGGGAGAUCAAGUUCAUCCUACAAAAGACCGCCAAUAGAUCUCGAAAGAACUGGUCUAGCAAACUUGACGAUGCACUAUGGGCUUAUAGGACUGCUUAUAAGAAUCCCAUGGGCAUGUCACCGUAUAAAAUGGUUUACGGUAAGGCCUGUCAUUUACCUCUUGAGCUGGAACACAAAGCUUAUUGGGCAAUCAAAGAGCUCAACUUCGAUUUCAAACUUUCCAGUGAGAAGCGGUUGUUUGAUAUCAGCUCGUUAGAUGAAUGGAGAGCCCAGGCAUAUGAGAAUGCCAAGUUGUUCAAGUAAAAGGUUAAGAGAUGGCACGACAAACGAAUACAAAAACGAGAGUUCAAUGUAGGUGAUUAUGUCUUGCUAUACAAUUCUCGUUUGAGAUUCUUUGCACGCAAGCUUCUCUCUAAAUGGGAAGGUCCUUACGUUAUCGAGGAAAUAUAUCGUUCCGGUGCCAUCAAAAUCAAUAACACGGAAGGAAAAUUUCCUAGAGUGGUAAAUGGGCAAAGAAUCAAGCAUUACAUCUCUCGUACUCCCAUAAAUGUUGAGACCAAUAUCAUCAAUGUCAUAACUCCAGAGGAGUACAUAAGGGAUGUUUAUCAGCCUACUUCAGACCCUGAAAACGAAAAAGUAUCUGUUUCGGUGAGAAAUUGGACUCCGACGCUUUCCCAAUAGGAAAUUUCCUCCGUUUUGGAAUUUUCGGAAAAUUUGAAAAAUAAAAAGCAGUCCUGAGAGCGCACGAGGCGGCCACAAGCUUGGACACUGCCCCCUACCCCUGGUGGCGGAGGGCAAGCUUGUGGGCACCUCGUGUGCCUCCCGGACUCCAUUUUCUUGCGGAGCACUCCUUCUGGUCCAGAAAAAAUCAAUAUAUAUUCGCCCGAAGGUUUUGAUCUCCGUAUCGCGCAGUUUUCCUAUGUUUUCGUUUCGAGCUGGUUGUCUGCUGCAGAUUUAGAGCAAAGAUGUCUCAGGAAUCUGUUGGGGAGAAUGAUCUUCACCAAGUUCAUGAGGAAGUAGAUGCUUAUCUAAAAAGAGUAGAAGUCACGAAAGCUAGGGACCAAGCUAAGGAGAAAACCCAAGCUAGGGAGGAAGUUCAACCUAUGUUCAACAUUGAAGACGUUGAAGGAGUGGAUUUUCUCCAACCCUUCCUCCACGUGUUGUCUCCAUCCUUGAUUGAACUCUUGAGGUUUUGCGAAACAACUCGUGCUUGCAAUAUUUCCCUUUCUCGUGAAGUUGUUUUGCUGGAAAACCAUGUCACUGAUCUCAAAGGUAUAAAUCAAAGAUUGAUAGCUCUCUUGGAAUCAAAGGCGACAACUCCACCACCAUCACCACCGAAGGAAGACAACUAAGCAUUGGUAUGGGCAAUCCCCUUGGCUUCUGCCAAGCUUGGGGGAGUUGCCCUGGUAUCAUAUCACCUUUAUAUCUUUUGCUUUUACCUUUGUUUUAGUUCUUUCCUUUUCAGUUUUUAUUUCUUCUCUUAGAGGAAUAAGUCUUUAGUGUUUAGUUUGAGUCUUUUGCUUUUGUCUCUCCCCCGAUGUAUUCAAGCUUACGAGCUAUAUAAUAAAGAGUAUCUUAGUCAAGGGCUUUGCUUUGUGCCAUGAUCAAUAGUAUGAAAAGAACGAUAGCAUGAAAGAUCAUGAGACGAUCUUUUGGAAAGUGAUAACUUCACAUAUGACACGUAUGAUGAUUGAAACUUGUUGAGAAUAAACUUGUUGGUUAGUGAUUGUUGCAAUUAAUAAGAAGUAAUAAGGAAAGAGAGGUUCACAUAUAAAUAUAUCAUCUUAGACACUUUUUACAAUUGUGAGCACUCACCAAACUAUUACAUGCUUAGGAGUAGAUGUUGGACAAGGAAGACAACAUAAUGAAUUGUGUUUGCUUGGUUCCAAACAAUGUUAUAUGAUUAGAGAUCCCUUAGCAUGUGACGAUUGCUUCCACCUCAUAUUAGCCAAAACUCUCGCACCAAGUAGAGAUACUACUUGUGCAUCCAUAAACCUUCAACCCAGUUUUGCCAUGAGAGUCCACCAUACCUACCUAUGGAUUGAAUAAGAUCCUUCAAGUAAGUUGUCAUCGGUGCAAGCAAUAAAAAUUGUUCUCUAAUAUGUAUGAUCUAUUAGUGUGUGGAAAAUAAGCUUUGUACGAACGUGUGAUGAGGAAGACAUAAAAGUGACGGACUGCAUAAUAAAGUUCUUUAUCAUAGGAGGCAAUAUAAAGUGACGUUCCUCCGCACUAAGAGGACACAUAUUCAAACCUCAAAAGCGCAUGACAACCUCUGCUUCCCUCUGCGAAGGGCCUAUCUUGUACCUUUACUUUUUGCCCUUGUAAGAGUCAUGGUGAUCUUCACCAAUUCCCUAUUUUGCCUUUGUCUUGGCUACCGUCACAUGCUUGGGAAAGAUCUAUAUUCAUAUAUCAACUUGGAGUUGAGUACUUAUGCUUUAUUAUUUUUGACUUUGCCCUUGAGGUAAAUCGUUGGGAGGCAAAACUAUAAGCCCCUAUCUUCCUCCGUGUCCAGCUGAAACUUUGACACCAUGAGUACCACGUGAGUUGUAACAAUUGUGGAAAACAAAAGAGAUGAUUGAGUAUGUGGAUUUACCUUACAAGCUCUUAUUUGACUCUUUCUGAUGUUGUGAUAAAUUGCAAUUGCUUCAAUGACUUUGGACUAUUGUUGGUUACUUCUCGGUAAGGUUUUUGCUUCAUGCUUUGCUUUGUGAAGGAAUUGUUACUUUCCCAUAAGAAUCUUUAUGAUGUAUUGCUGUCCUAUGUGUGAUCAUAUGAUGCCCUCAUGUCCGUAUUAUGUUUUUUCGACACCUUCGUCCCUCAACAUGUGGACAUGUUUAUGGAACUUGAUUUUCGCUUGAGGACAAGCGAGGUCUAAGCUUGGGGGAGUUGAUACGUCCAUUUUGCAUCAUGCUUUCAUGUUGAUAUUUAUUGCUUUAUGGGAUGUUUUAUUACUUUGUGGUACCAUAUUUAUGCCUUUUCUCUCUUAUUUUGUAAGGUUUAUUCGAAGAGGGAGAAUUCACGCAGCUGGAAUUCUGGACUGGAAAAGGAGCAAAUCUUAGUCCACUAUUCUGCACAUCUCCAAAUGCCCUGAAAAGUUACGUGGAUUUUUUUGGGAUUAUAUAAAAAAUACUGGGCGAAAGAAGUAUCGGAGGGGGGCUGCCAGGGCACCACAAGCCCUGCCACCGCCACCCCCUGGUGGCGGAGGGCAAGCUUGUGGGCUCCCUGACGGCCCACUAGCUCCCCUCUUUUGCUAUAUGAAGGGUUUCAUUCCAGAAAAAAUCAAUCGGGAGCUUUUUCGUGGUUUCGCCGCCGCCACGAGGCGGAACUUGAGCAGAUCCAAUCUAGAGCUCCGGCAGGACGAUCCUGCCGGGGAAACUUCCCUCCCGGAGGGGGAAAUCGUCGCAAUCGUCAUCACCAACACUCCUCUCGUUGGAGGGGAGGCAUCUUCAUCAACAUCUUCAUCAGCACCAUCUCCUCUCCAAUCCCUAGUUCAUCUCUUGUAAUCAAUCUCCGUCUCACGACUCCGAUUGGUACUUGUAAGGUUGCUAGUAGUGUUGAUUACUCCUUGUAGUUGAUGCUAGUUGGAUUACUUGGUGGAAGAGUUUAUGUUCAGAUCCUUGAUGCUAUUCAUUACACCUCUGAUCAUGAUUAUGAUUAUGCUUUGUGAGUAGUUACUUUUGUUCCUGAGGACAUGGGAUAAGUCAUGCUGAUAAUAGUCAUGUGAAUUUGAUAUUCGUUUGGUAUUUUGAUAUGUUGUAUGUUGUUUUUCCUCUAGUGGUGUUAUGUGAACGUCGACUACAUAACACUUCACCAUACUUGGGCCUAGAGGAAGGCAUUGGGGAGUAGUAAGUAGAUGAUGGGUUGCUGGAGUGACAGAAGGUUAAACCCCAGUCUAUGCGUUGCUUCGUAAGGGGCUGAUUUGGAUCCACUAGUUUAAUGCUAUGGUUAGACGUUGUCUUAAUUCUUCUUUUGUAGUUGCGGAUGCUUGCAAGAGAGGUUAACCAUAAGUGGGAUGCUUGUCCAAGUAAGGGCAGUACCCAAGCGCCGGUCCACCCACAUAUCAAACUAUCAAAGUAACGAACGUGAAUCAUAUGAACAUGAUGAAAUUAGCAUGACAGAAAUUCCCGUGUGUCCUCGGAAGCGUUUUUCCUCCUAUAAGACUUUAUUCAGGCUUGUCCCUUGCUACAAAAGGGAUUGGGCCACUUGCUGCACCGUUGCUACUACUUGUUACUUUUUGCUUGCUACGUUUCACCUCGCUACACAAUCACUUGUUACCACUACUUUCAGUGCUUGAAGUUAUUGCCUUGCUGAAUUCCGUUUAUGAGAGCCUUCUGCUCCUCAUUGGGUUCGACACUCUUACUUAUCGAAAGGACUACGCUUGAUCCCCUAUACUUGUGGAUCAUCACAGUCCCGCUACAAGCAAGGCCACCCUCAGAAAUGGAUUUCAUCGCGGAUCACCCGUUCCUCUUCCUUAUCCGGGAAGACACUUCUCGUGUCGUGCUAUUUAUCGGUCAUGUGGUCAAUCCCCUCCUAACUUCGUAAAAAAAUCUCUGAAUUUGUCUCUUGUCAUUUGCCUCAGUUGUUACAUGUAAGGGGAGGGUUUCGACAGUCAAUCAUGUUAACCAUGCAAUAAAUCCAAUAAAUGUUCUAUGUUUUUUUUAUGAAUUCUACACUAGUAUGUUGCCAUAUUAUUCUUAUGGGCAUUUUCUGUGUCGACUCGACCACUUUGACCCAAAAUACUAGCUAUGCCACCACCUAUGAGCUAGAGAGGUAGAGGGGUGGCAACACACUGAUUUUGACUUCAUUUUUGAAAGGAAUAGAAAAACACAAUUAAUUCAAAGUCAAUUGACAUGAAAUUGUAACUAAAGAUUCUUGUCAAACUUUGCGAAAAAAGAGGUCCAAAUGGAUGGUAAAGUUCCUUUUUCUUUAAAAAAGUGAGAUCAGAGGAAAUUCCCUCCACUACUUUUUAUUUGCUCAAUUCAAUGAACCAAGUAUAUUUUUUUUAGAAAAGGAGGAUGACCCCUGGCCUCUUCAUCUGGGAGAUGCAUGCGGCCAUUUUAUUGAUUAUUCUCGAGGAGCUUACAAAGUAUUACAACAAUAUGUCUGAAUCCGCCAUCUUCGCAACAUCUGUCGCUACUUCUAUCCAUAUGAUGAAGGGGUGCUAGUUGGGCCACAUACCCAGACCACUUACCUAAGCCUAACAUCAAAAGUCGAAAGCCCCAGCAGAGCCGGUCAAGCCAUCUGCCACAUACCGGGUCUAGGGCACAAAACCGAUCUGACGCACUCGUGUGCUGUCGCCGCCAUCUUCCACCGGUCCGUCUUGAGAGCAAAUAUUGAUGCUUCUACCUUGUGUAGCCACUCCGCCAUCGACGUCACCAUGAUGCCAGACAACUACCUCCUCCUGCAUGAGUCCAUCUCCACGCAUCGAACGCCGAGUCCCCACAGCGCCACGCCGCCGAUAUCCGCCGCCAUCAAUGUGUGAGAUGAAGCACCGCUCCAUCAUUCCUCCAGUCAGCACUUGCUCCAAAACGAUGCCCCCAGGAGGGAAGGCGAUAAAACACCAUCAUCGUCCGAUCCAGGAAGACCCAGAUCUAGGGUUUCCCCCGGAGCAUCCCGAGCCUGAUGACGCAAACAGCAACGCCGUUGCUCCACCAGACGAGCGCCGCCGAUGUCACAGCCUCCAAGAUGAAGCUGGCCAAAAUGCGCCGACAUCGAACCGCCGCCACCUCCACCACCGCUUGAGCAGCCCCCGAGCAACGCCUUCAAGAAGGAACACGCCACCGCGGUGUCGUCGUCGCUUGGAACAAGGGGAUCUGAGGUUUUCACCUGAGCUCCUGGGAGGGGUGGAAGGAAGGGGAUCCUCUCCGAAGCCUCCAACAAGGGGAACAACACCCAAAGGCGCUGCCUUCGGAGUGGCCGCCGCACCGGCCAAGGGACUCCCCCGGAACCCUUCCAACCACCGGAUCUGCAAGGCCACCACCCAAGAACAGCGAGAAGCCAUCUGGGGCCGGAUCUGUUGUAGAUCAGAGUAGAUCGGGGUCGAGGACAAGCAACACCAUGGCCACCAGCAUCCAGCGAGGACCGCCGCCGCAGUCGCCGCCACCCCCCGCGCCGUCCGGGUCAAAGAGGGAUCUGCCGACCGCGCACAGGGGCCACCACCGCUUGCACCCACCGGAGCACUGCCGCUAGCCCAGCGCCCGCCAACGCCUGCCGCGGGCCGCCACCGUGCGCCCCGCUCCUCGCCACCGCUCGCCGAGGCCUGCCCCCUCGCGCCCGACCGCGAUCGCCACAGGACACCGCCGUCAACCACCUAGAUCCGCCGCCCGCGGAGGAAGGGGAGCCGGGAGAGGGAGUCCCCCGCCGCCGCCGUGUGCCACGCGUGUUUCACCCGGCGGCGGCGAGGAAGGGAGGAUAAGAGGGCGGCGGCGGCGCCUAGGGCUGGAGAGCCCCCGAGUCGCCCAGGGCGGGGGCGACGCGAGGGAUGGUGAGACUGUCUUGACCACGUUUGAGUGCACCCAUGAACCAAGUACAUAAAUAGUGCUGCUAAAAUGAAAAAAAAGAAACCAUUGUCGGAGCGCGGGCCGAAGGCUCAACUACAACCGGAGCCGGAUGCCAUUCAGGCUCUGAUAUGAGUGAGAUUUGAGCCUUAGAACGGCUGCCCCAGGAGCCACGCCGACUGCUACCUGGUAGAAAAAGGCGGUGGCCGCUGCCAUGGGUUCUUUUACAACAAGGCAUUUCGGAUCUGAUCCUCGAGCCAAGCAAUCCAACAAAGUUUCAGUACUACUAGCAGCAAAGGUUCCACGUCGAAGCCUUCACACCGCAUACAACAUGGAAACAUGGAGCAUACGCACAAAGGUCAUCACCAAAUAAGUAGACGAGUGAGACCAAGAGACCAAGGAAGUACGCUGUCAAUGAAUCACGAGCUUUGCACGAGAGACAACAAGAGAAUGAAAUCGGAGGCACCAAUCAGCCAAUAGAGCCUAUGCCACUGCCUUAUUCUGUUAUUUGUGAGUCCAAGCAAGUCGCGGAGACCUAUGCCACUGCUUUGCACGAGUGAGACCAAGAGACCAAGGAGAAUAAAUAUAUAAUCAAACCAAUAAGACACAGAAAUAAUGGCAAUUCAUAUUUAAAUAACUUUAGCUUGAAAAGAUAAAACAAACUCUGGUACAAAUAGACUCUGACACUUGUGGGCCUGCAACAAGUGAUUAUAAUGGCUUAUUAUCUCGUUUAGUCCAAACCAAGUCUUUAUUACUACCUCCGUCACAGUUUAGAAGGCAAACACGUGUACCUAGGUCGUCAAUUUAACUUAUAUAAAAUCUAUUGUUUAAUAUAAAAAUUAUAUCAUUAGAAAAUAGAACAUCUAAAAUUUUUAAUGAUAUAUUUUUUAUAAUAUAUGCUUACCAUUAAGUUGAUCAAAUUAACGAUCUAGGUACACGCGCCGGACUUAUAAACUGAGAUGUAGGGAGUAUGUAUUUAUGUUAGAAGGAUCAGUAUAAAUAAGAAAUCGAUCAAAGAAUGCAACUAAUUUUAAGCCUUUAAAUGUGACAAACCCGGAUGUGAGCAGGGGCCUAGGAGUUGGUUCUAAGGCCCAUUAGGCCCACCAACCCGGAUCAGAACGCCGUGCGUGCAGCGGCUCAUCUGAGCCGUCCGCCUCCCCAGCACCCAAACCCUAUAACUACGACGCGAGAGCCCUCGCCGCCAAUCUUCCUCACGCUUCCCGCCGCCGACGCCAGCCGACCGAGCGCGCUCACCGCACCGCCGCCGCCGUCGCAGCCAUGGUUUGUCCCUCGCCUCUGCUCCCCCGUCCACCCUGUUGUUUCCUACAUAGAGUGAGAGAGAUGUGUUUCGCUGCUUCGCGACCGCGGCAGAUGUGCUCGGGUUCACCAAUUGCUGCGUCCUUUCUGCUGCUCAGUUGCGUUCGUGGGUUCUCUGCCAUGAGCAACACUGAUUAGAUGCCCGCUUCAGUCCAUUCCGUUCAACCAUGGGGAGAAAAUGAGGCAUUUGCCUCUGGUUAUGUUUUGCUCUUGCCUUGCCCUGUCAUGCUGCUGCUAUUGGAAUUCUAUAUGCGCUUGUCAUGCUGCUGCUAUUGUACUUCUCUGUGAUGAUCAAAUCCAUGAUAAAAUCCUUCUGCCCGUUCUGAAUGCCAAACCGACUGCAUGUACCAUGUUUGUUUUUGUCAACACUAGUAUAUUACUUCCUCCGUUCCUAAAUAUAGGUCCUUUUAGAGAUUCCACUAGGAGACCACAUACGGAUGAAAAUGAAUGAACCUACACUUUAAAAUAUGUCUAUAUACAUCCGUAUGUAGUUUUCUAAUGAAACCUCUAAAAAGACUUAUAUUUAGAAACAGAGGGAGUAUAUUGUAAUACAUUUAGCAAGUCUGACGUUAGUUUGGGAUAUGACGAAGGAUAAUUGCUCCAUGUUUCUGAUAAUCAUGUGAUGAUCUCCAUUGAAACACCCAAUACCUCUGAUUCUAUAAAAGCAUAGGAUUGAAUUACUCUCCAUUCCGUUUAUUUUAUCAGGCCUUGCUGUUUUCUUCUCCAUGUGCACACAACAUCUCUUGUGUACUGAUGAGUCGAUUGUUCACUUAAUUCAGUACUGCUUUAGAUUCCUAGCAUGGGAUGUGCCUUAGAUAUGUAAACUGUUGUGAUAAUGUAUAUCAGGCUGCUCCUCUUAUUUUGAGAAGACGGAAUGGAUAGCUCAUCGUGUCAGUCAAGUCUAAUUUAGUUUUCAUUCUGUGUUAGAUUGACUGUAGUUUGUAUUCAUGCAUCUUCAAAAUAUGUAAUAUUGUAAGUGAUCUUGUGAAGGAUGUGCUGCAUGCAACUUGACAUUGCAUGGUACAUCUAAAACGCAAUGGGGUUGGCCAUAUUGUGGACUAUUCAGUGAUUUCGUUUUGUGCACUUGGAAUCUCAGGUUUUUGUGUACUUCGCUGUGCUGACCUAAUCUAGAACUAGGCUUACAGGUCCAUUUGUUUUCAUCUAUUGCCCUGACCAGAUAACUAUUUGUCAUUAGUUACUUCUGGUUUUUUGCCUUAACUCAUUUUUUUAUGCAACUAGUGCUGUAAUUUCAAUGCUUAUCAUGUAAUAUUUGAUAUUUUAACUAUGUGGUCCUAUGAUGGCAUGAAAUCUUUGAGACCUGAUUAUUCUAAUGAUGACAACCAUAAGCAUGUUUCUGAGAACCUAAUUGAAGUUUGCACCAGACAUUUUUUUAGUAUUUUUUGAGCAUUUGCUGAACUUGCUUCUGGAGUUCUUUUUAGCUAUUGCAAUAUCCUCUCAACUUUUAUCCUGUUUCACGCAAGGCCUAUGUUAAUACUAGUUCUGUUGCAAAUGCUAUGUAGGUGAACGUUCCAAAGACCAAGAAGACCUACUGCAAGAACAAGGAGUGCAAGAAGCACACCCUUCACAAGGUCACUCAGUACAAGAAGGGUAAAGACAGUCUGUCUGCCCAGGGAAAGCGCCGUUAUGACAGGAAGCAGUCGGGAUAUGGUGGUCAGACCAAGCCUGUCUUCCACAAGAAGGUACAGCAACAUCUUUGUGUGUGAUUGUCUAUCGAUCUGUCAAAACAAUACAUAGUUCAAUCUUCUCCGUAAGAAGAUACAUAGUUCAAUCUUUUGCACAAUCUGCUUAUGGUGUGUCUGUUUAGUCUAAGAUCAGAUAAAGUUUAAAACCAGUUGUGCAAUGCUAAUUUUGUGACCUUUUCUUCAGGCAAAAACCACCAAGAAGAUUGUGCUGAAGCUGCAGUGCCAGAGCUGCAAGCACUACUCUCAGCGCGCCAUCAAGGUUUGUUGCUUUCAUGUUGAACCGGACAUCUACUUUCGUUCAUGUUGUGCUUUGCUCAGUCUGUCUUUAUUCCUCUGUGCAGAGGUGCAAGCAUUUUGAGAUUGGUGGAGACAAGAAGGGCAAGGGAACAUCACUCUUCUAGAUUUCUUUCACCUAUCUGUACUCGUUGUGGUCAAGAACUAUUACUGCUUGUCUUAAUGUAUCGAUGUUAUGAGUUGAACCAACCAGACAUUGUCCUGUAUCCAAACCUGUUUAUCUGGCAUUUGAGCAACGAUUGACUUUUUUGCAAAAUGAUCCUUCGUAGUUUGAAUCCUCUUCUAAUCUCAUGCAUUGCCGUACUGUCGAUAUGAAUGUCAUGUGGCCUGAUCGGUAUAAUUUGAGCUGUGCCGCAGCUGUUUAUAGUUCUCUAUAAUUCCGAUAUCCAGACAAUUCAGACAAACGGCUAAUUACAAAGCUAAAUAUUCAGAGAUCUUCUCAUGAUGUGCGACAAGCGUUCUUGAUAAAAUCCUCGCCAGCGGUGGAGCAAGCUACAUAUUCAAACAAAUGAGCAGUCAAGACGUUUAAUCCACGCGAGCGGUCAAACAUUGAUCGGUUCAGAUACCAUUGCUGCUCAUCAAGACGUUUAACUAGCCCCUCAAGCAGUCGAGCAAUGCAUGCUUUUCAUCUUGGUUUUAUUUUUUCCUGAGAAAUUCUUGUUUCUUUUUAGCAGAACCGAUCAGGCCGAGUAAUAAGUGAGGAGAAGACCCAGUUUACAGAAAACAAGACUGAAGAGAAGGCCCAUCAUCUUUCUAUGUGAGCGUGGGCCGAGGCGUUGGUUUGGAGGCCCAAUUAGGCCUACGAACCACAGCCCAACCAAAUCGGAUCAGAACGACGUUCACUGGCCGAUCCGAGCCGUCCACCCGCUAGGGUUUUCCCCUCCCCAUCACCCCAUCCCUAUAAGUACGAGGCGAGAGCCGCCGCCGCCAACAAUCUACGGAGAUCGGGUUCGUCCACACACCUCCGCCGCCGUCUCCGCCGCUGCGAACCGGAGAGCGAGGCCGACUCCGACGCCGCGAUGAGGGCCAAGGUUUGUACUGCCGCCCGUCGUCUACCUCGCCUGUUGUUUCCUGCUUCGCAACCGCGGUAGAUCUGGACAUGUGGUAGUGAUUAUCGAGUGUUCGUUCUUGCUGUUGCUGGUGCUCGCUUGCGUAAUUAGUGGUUCUCUGUGAUGAUCAACACUGAUUAGAUGUCCGAUCCAAUCCAUUCCAUUCAACCGUGGGGACAAAACUGAGGCAAAUUUGUCUGAGAGAACUUGCUAGAUUACUUUGUGCAGUUUCUGUUAGCUGAUUUGAUGUUUUUUCCUUGCAUGCUUGUUCGUGUAGUUCUCUGUGAUGAUGAAAACAGAUGACGAGUCCGAUGUAAUCCAUUCUAUAAAACCAUGUGGACAAUCGAGGCAUUUGUCUGAGAGAACAGCGUUUUAUUAGCCAGUGUUUUUCCCAGCUUUUUUUUAAGUUUAAUUGCGUCGGUUGGCAUGAUGAGGAAGACAAAUUGAUGUCCGAUCUAUUUGACGAUAAAAUCCUCCUACUCAUUCUGAAUGUCAAACCCGCUGCAGAUCUCUUUGUCUUGCUCAACUAGUUUGUAAAUAGCUAUGACAUUAGAAUAGUUUUCUUUUUGCCAUGCCGAAAUGGUAGUUUGGAACAUGAUGAAGAACAAUUGGUCCGUGUUUCUGAAAAUCACGUGAUGAUAUCCAAUGAAACACUCAAUCUUCUGAUUCCAAAACAAAGGUUACUAUCUCUUCUUUUAAAUGUGAAAUUCUUGUUAUGUCCAUCAGCAUUUCCUAGAUCAUCUAUCCAAUUUAUGCUGAUGAGGUGCAUGGUUACUAUAAUUUGCAGUGGAAGAAGAAGAGGAUGAGGAGGCUCAAGAGGAAGCGCCGAAAGAUGAGGCAGCGAUCCAAGUAGGCGCCUUGGAGCAGGGAAUGCAUCAUCUUUACAUCAGGCAGCUAGGCACCGAGGGAUGACGGCAUGAUCUAGUGAUUCCUGAUGUGUUUGCUGUUAUGGCUGUGGAAGUUGUUUAACCUGCGUUUGGUCAAAUUUAGCUGUUUAAUACUAGUCUGGUUAUGUUCCAGGACUGAGUUUUAUGUAAUGUGAGGAUUAUGCGUGGUUGUGACUGAAUUUUAUGCAGCUAUUAAUUUUGCAGUACUCUGAAAUAAGUCCCUGCAGUCGAUCUUGUUUGAUGUUUUGCUGUUCUUUCUCUUCCUCAGACUAUAGAAUUGCAGAUGAUAAAUAUUUGUGUUUGCUUUUCAAUAAUCAUAUAUAGUUGAAAAGAAAAAAUCAUACAGCCAUUGUGUAUGAGGUACGAAAGAUUGUGUGGAUUGUAGUCCCUGACAGAUUUUAAACUGUGCGUUUUCAUUUAGGGCCUGAAUCAAACAUAGCUUUAUCUAAUUGACAUGAUGCAAGAAACUUCAUUUGAUCCGGUAAACUUCAUUUGUGUUUGACAUAGCUUCCUUCUCAAAUGCAGAAGCGGUGACCCGGGGCAGUGCGGAUCGGAGCUUCCGAACGUUUCAUAGAGUAAAAAUGCAUUUCUGAAAUCUUUUAAUAAAGUGAAUCGAGCGGAAUUCCGUAGGGACCAAUUUUGCCGUUGAUUGCAGCACCAUAGUGCCGUUAUUUUGUUUGCCUUUGCGUUUCCAAAUGAAACAAGUUAGCCCUCUUCCAAACUCCUUUAUCAUACUAUAUACGUACUGUGCAAUGCUAAAAGGAAGGAAGCCUGAUGGCUGGUAACUAGCCGCUAGUUGGUGGUUUGGGGUGUGCGCGGUGGUGCUGCAGAAUGCGCUGCUGGAGUUCUUUCAGAAUGUUCAGAAUUUUUUCUCGUCCUGAUUGAAUUCAUCAGUAAAGUUCAGUUCUUCAGCCUUAUUUUUUCUGAAGAAAGUGUACGAGGCAAAGAUGUAACGUUAGUUUUCAGAAUGUUCAGACUUCCGGUGCUCCUUUUUUUUUCUGAAGAAAGUUACACGGGAAUCUCUUGUCAAUUUCGUUUGUUAUUCGUUGAGAUCGUAUCAUAUGUCAGUUUGGUGUGUGGUUGUGUACAGUACAGAGAAAUUAAAAGAAGACACUCAAAUUUAGUACUGCAUCUAAUUUGAUUUUGUAAGUCUUCCCUUGAGAUUUGGUUUUAGUAGUUGAAUUUUGGGAGGGGCUGUUGGUGGAGAAGACACUCAAAUUUAGUGUAGUUGAAUUUUGUGAGCAGUUUUUUUAUAAGACACUCGAAGAAAUCUUGCAGAGUUUAAAUUAUAGGCCAGUGCUAUGCACUGGCGCGUCGGCCGAAACUUUCGGCCGGCCGCACGAUCCGUCAACUGCCGGCGUCCGCACCUUUAGAUCUUCAUGCAAUAUUUUUUUUCCGAUGCAGCAAAAUUUCAACGCGAUGCAGCAAUUUUUUCAACGGUUGUAACAAAAAUAAAAUUUAUAGCAAAAAAAUAUCUACGUGAUCGUAGUAAAAAAAGAAGUUGAUGGUGCGGGGUAGCAAAAGUCAAAUGCCGGUUGUAACAAAUAUCUACGUGAACGUGUAUAUAACUUUUUUAGUGAACGGUUGCAACAAAAAAUGAUGUCGAUUGCAGCAAAAAUUAACACGGUUGUAGCAAAAGUAAAAAACACCGAUUGUAACGAAAAAAUCGAUGAACUUGAGUUAUAACCAAACGUAUAUACAAUUUUUUUAUUGGACAAAUGUAGAAAAAAACGUUUGUAGCAAAUAUGACGAUGGUUGCAACAAUUUAGACAAAAAAAUGUUACAUGCCUAAUCAGCGGGUCGUGUGCGGCCGGCCGAAUAAUUCGGCCAGCGCACCGGCCAGAAACGUUUCCCUAAAUUAUAUCCAUAGGUGGAGAAGAAAGAUGGAGUGCGGCUGCCCUGUUUUAGGGGAGCUGUUGGAGACGCUCACUUUCUACUGCCUUAAAGAAAAAUUUGUGCCCCAAAUUUUACUCCAAGCAAGUGUUGGUACCCUAUUAUAGGCAGCUAUUGAAGAUGCUUUCAACACAACUUAUUCCUCUGUCACAGUUUAGAAGACGUACAUUCAAAAGAUGAAAAGAUCAAAAUCGUUGGGACCAAGGUGAUAUGUAGUUGGCUCAGUUCCUUUUGCUCAUGACUAAAAAAUAGCAACGUAUUAAUACCAAGGCGUCUAAUUAGCUGAGAAUUCAAUGCACAGGUACCCCCUUCAUUAGUAAACGGGCCGUCUUCAUGCAUGCAACCGUGGUAGUACUAUGCAAGCAGCAGCUAUUAGUAGUACUAGUUGAGUACCCGUGCGUUGCCACGGGAUAUAAAAUGUGUUAUGAAAAAUAAAUAAAGUCAUAAUUCGAAUCAUGAAGAUUAUAUUUAAUCUCGACUCUCUUACUCAAACACCUUGCAGCCCACCUUAUGCAUCGGACUCAAAAUAUCUUGACUUUAUACAUCAUUUUAGAAGGGACCAAUGUUCUUACCAGCAGCAACUGAAUAGACAAAAUACUUGUAAGUUGUAACUGUAGCAUUACCUCAGUAAUAAGCUUGACUUCUUAGUUCAUUGAUCCACGACACCUAAACAGCCAGCACACAGUUAGCAAGUGAAGGAGAAAGAGAAAUAUCGUAAAAAAAUGGCACAAACAACUAUCUCAAAAACAAUAAGGAUAAGAUUAAAAUAAAAUAAAAUUCAAUGGUAGCAUAAAUAGUGUAUCAGAUGAAUAAACACACGAAAUUAUUCUACAAGCACUCCCAAGCUCCAAAAUAAUUGAGUAUUGAGCACAGGCUAUUUGAGCUCAGGUCCACAUGACGGUGAGACGGUCAGCGACAAGCACAGAAUUUCGAAACACAUCCCAAGCAAUUUUGCAACAGAUGAAUUCAUAUGUAUGUAGAUCAUAGUUUCUUGUUGGCUAAUCAAAGUGGGUAGAAGGAGUAUUGCAGUUCCUGAUGAGAGCUUGUUUCCAGCUGUCAAUUGCUCUGUACUUUAUUCGCUAUUAGAUCAUACUGAAACUUACAUAAUGUUGAAAAUUUAAAAAAAGAAUGAAGGUUCACAGUGAUCAGAGAAGUAACCAAUAUUGUGGAGGUGUAGAACAUUUGAAUGUUGGUCAUAACAUAAAACAAGGAUUAUUGUUCUUUGAAUACUGUUCUUCAUAUGUAUUAGUAAUACUUAAUAACUUGAGAUAGGAAGUUAUUUAUUUCCUAUCUCUGCAUACAAGUGGCAUCUAGCACGUUUGAAAAUGUGUCCAUGGUUGGGGUGAAGUACAGAAAUGUGUCCGUGAUUCUGUAGCUAUCAACAGUGCGGUCAAAAUUCUUCGUGUGCAACUAAUCUCUUACCAUUUACAUACAUGAAAUUAGCCACAUACUUGUAUGGUCACGCAACAAAGAGAGAAAACUAACAUCGGGGCAUGCUUAUUCUUCUUAUUCAGGUGAAGCCGGUGCUGAAGAGGGUGUAGUUCACCCUGGUGGGUCUGGCACUGUCGCUGACCCUCUGCAUCCUCCUCUACGCCAACACGGAGAAGCCGAGGGAGCCGCUGGAGAACACCGCCGACGGGAGGGCCGUCCCCGAGGUGUACAGCGCCGCCGCCGCCAGGCUUGUCGUCCCUUCGGUGAGCGCGUCCUCCGCCUGGAAUAUCUGCUUGCUGAGGUUGUCGAUGAACCUGGCCACGGACUCCUCGACGCCGGUCGCGUCGGCCGGGAACGUGGUGGGUAUCUCCGCGUCCAUCAGGGCCUGCUGCGCGGCAUCGUCGGUGACUACGCCGACCAGAGCGUCCGUGGCCACGUCGGCGGAGACGGGCAUCAGCGGCGGGUCGACCCCGGCGCGCCAUAGGGGGUCGGGCAGCUCGGCGGCGGACGCGAACCCCCGCACGAUGUCGUCCGGCGCGGUGGCGUAGGGGGAGAGGAUGGCGGAGUCGGAGAAGAGCGGGCGGUCAGGCAGGACCUGCGCGACGAGAGGGUCGGCGGCGAAGGACCUGAGCGCGCUGGCACCGACCCUCCGCAGCGCCCGCGCACCGGCCGCGGUCACCGGGCAGAGGGGGAGCAUGGGGUGGGCGCGGCAGAGCAGAAGGGCAGAGCCGAUGCGACGCCGGGAUUCGGUGAUCUGCGCGCGACAGUGGAUUGGUGCUGGGAUGGCCGGCGGCGAGGGGGUCGGCGUAGGCGGCGUGGCGUGGGUAUCGGCAGGACUGUGUUUGCCGGCGGCGAGGGGGUCGGGGUGGGUGGGGCGUCGUCUUGUCGGGAGAGAACGGGGGCGACGGGGUCGGGGGUGAUUGGAUCGUGGGUUCGUGGCUUCUGGUUGUUUCUUUUUCAUUUUUUUCUCGCUUGCCGUUUUUCUUAACGGGGGAAGGAGAAGGUCGACCGAGUGGUGGUCUGAGGUGCGAUGUAGGUUUUUUAUUGAACUAAUCGGCUGGUUUAUUGUCUGGUUUAUGGAGGGAUUGAAAAAAAUCGGUGGAACGGUGGGAAGGCCAGCGGUAGGAGGGGGAUCGCUCGAGGUCGAACCAUCACGACGGCAGAUCCCCCUUUAAUAGUAGAGGCUAUACCAAGUAAUUAAGCACCAAGUCAACAUAAUGCGCUCAUUGCAGGCAAGGCAUAACCUGAAAACUGGAAAUAGUUUCUUCUUGUAAGAAGAAAAUAAUGCCUUAUACUGGCAUUUAUAUUCAUAGUUAGCUGGGAAGCAAGAACCAUUUUCUUCAUAAGAGAAGACAAAAAUCAAAUAAAAGACAUACAGAGUGUAGCAUACAAUAUAUAUGAAAAUGUUAAUCGAAUAAAAGCUAAAAUACAUUGUGCGGAAAUCCAGAUAAAACAAUUGAUACAUUUGAGUUCAAAAAGUAGAUGUCAGAUAUCACACAAUUGCUUAUCAAAAAAUCCUAAUAGUUGGUCGGCGAUCCCACGUGUUCAGGGGUAAUCCGUGGGCUAAUUAUGAGUGCGUGAGUCAGCCCCCCCCCUCCCGCCCGAUCAAACAAGAUUAGGAAGUUGCACCUUAAUGAAUAUACAAGCUAGACUAAUAACUGGCGAUGCUGCAAUAAAUUAUUCAUAGUUCCAUUUGCAAACAAAGGAUUCUUUUGUAUGGCAACUACUAAAGAGAUCAAACUACAGACAUGGUGUAUGCUCAAAAUGGAGUCGAUAACUGUGGAUUAUGCCACAACUGGUGUUUUCAGAGUGCAAGUACAUGACGGAUGUUGGCAUUCAAGAUGAAGGAACUUGGUUAAUGGUGGGCCCUGCCUUACAAAAUUAUGAGUUCUGCAUCCUGAAUUCUAGAUGCCAAGAUUGGUGAUCUUUAGUUGAAUGAGAAAGAGAGAGAGAGGAGGGAGGGAGGGAGAGAGGGAGAGAGGGGUGGUCAAUCAUGUGUCAUAUUUCAAAUAGAACCCGAAACCGGACCUCAUGUGUGCACUUGGGGAGAGGGAUCAUGAAGGCAUGUCUGAGCCUGUGAUCGUUGACCUUGAGAACAUGGUCUUGCGGCCCAUGAGUUAAGCAAAGAGAAGAAAAAUAAAUUACUAUUAGUUGUCUUGGAAAGUUCAAGACCAUCUUCAUUUGUUUGCAAGAGUAAUUGAGUAUAUAUUAAACACAAAUCAUAAAUGAACAUUCGGUUCACAUAUUCAACAUAAGUUCACGCAAAACUGGCAAGGCUCAUUGUUCUAAGUUGUGGAAACUGAAAACUGUACUGUACUAAGAAAAAAACAUAUUCUGCUUUCCACCUAACACCCAUCCUACUACCAGGGUUCAGUACAACUUAUUGAUACAUAUGGAGACUUGUGGUGACGUAUAAUAUAUAGUACCAAAGAAACAUGUGGGUCUUACUUGAAUCUGAAUGUUAGGUGGAAAUUCUUGAAAGCAGACCUUCAUGCCCACAUUUGUGGCUUCUUGACCAUACUCUCUUGAUUAUGCUCUGCAUAUAAAUAGAUCACUGUCCCGGCUACUAUUUUCUAAAGUAUAAAUGCAUUAUCAAAAGACCGCGUCAGCUGUUCACCUUGAGGUGAUGGUACACCUCAACUCUAUCUUCAUGAGGCAACGUCAGUUGGGAGGGUCAUGAACUUCUGUACAAAAAUUAUUUGGGAGUCAUCACAUAUUAGAUAUAACAGGUUGUGACAAAUUCCAUCCAUUCUCAGCUUACAUAGCUAGCUUGUUUCCAGCGUGAAAACCUCCCUUGCAAAAUUGAAAGCAGACACAAGUAGCACCAUAGUCUUGUUUCCUACAAGAUUUGCAAUGUGCCGCAAACAUAUGACAUACUUUAGUACAUCAUCUAAUAAUUCAACUGAUAAUUUGGUGCACUUCAAUUCCACACACCUAUGAACGAGGUUCACUUCCUCGCCCUCCUCAUCACAGUUCGACAAGACAUCAACUGCCGUCGCCUUUGUCAUUGCACUGACAGCGAGAGGUAGGGGGAGACCUAUGCGACAACAACAUCUUGGUUGGCACUGGUGAAAAUGAGGGAGUGGCGUACCAGAUUAAGAUCCACAAGACCCUCGUCCACACGUCAAACCCAGCCGGUCUGAUCGUGGUGGAGAGUACUUCUCAAAAUUAAACGAACUUAAGUACAAAGAGAGAUUACCCUACAAUUAACACAUGUUAAUUAAACUCUAACAAAUACAAUUUCAAGUGUUGUCAGCCCAUAGCCGAGCAAGAGAACGGGGGGUUCCUCGUACACGAGCGCUAAGAACAUCUUGUGUAGCUUCAGAAAGGCAACAAGUAACUUCCUCGAGGUAAGCUCUAACUACCAUUAAAGUUGCAUAGCUUUUUUUAUUGAGCAAGGAUGCAUUCAAAGCUUGAAUCAUAUGCUUACCACAUUAUGCUAUGAUUUACUGUUUGAUUAGGACAUUAACGACAGUAACUCUGUAACUUCUACACCCUUCAUUCCCUGUCACUCAAAUCAAAAUAUUUCAAGACCAUGCAAGUUCUAAUGGAAACGGUGCAGUUCCCUCCACAUUUUCUCAUCCGGGCUUGGGACCGGCAAAGGCAGUGUUAAACUACAAAACUACUUACUAAACACAAAAAUUAGCAAACACCACAACCAAUUAUAUUCAACUAAGUACACAAGACACAAGAUCAACCAAAGGCAGGAUUGGCACCGCACACAAUUCACCAAAGGCAGUAAAUAUUAACACAACGUUUGCACAAGAUCACAAGGCAGGGAGAUACGGGCACAAAUAAGGAAAGCUAUGAAUUCCAGAACCUGAAUGAGAAUAUCCAGCAUGAAUGAAACUGACAUGUACAAGCUACUUGAGUUGAAAAGUAUACAAUCAGCAGUAGUCAUCAAAUUUAGCCAGACUUAUUUUACAAGUUGCCAAAUUAAAAUAGGAAGUUCCGCAGCAAACCGAGAAGAUGCACUGAAGAUUCGUAUCCAGAUCCCACUGGAGAACCACCAGAAGAACAUCACUUCUGAAAAUCAAUUCUAUACCAACAAAUCGGAAUCAUAUUCAGUGGAAAUGACACUAAUCAAAGACAUGAUGAGGAGUAGAGUGUCCAUGGCAAUUUGUUUGUUCAAGCUUCCAGUUCAGAAGCUUCAACUCUCCAUUGUUUUGGUAUAAAGCGUUAAUCCCUAACCUCUUUUUGCAUAUCAAGCCAUCCACAUUACCCAAAUAUAAGUCAGGAGAGGAUCACAAGCCAAAAAUACGACAGAUUUUGAUGGCUACCAGCAUGGCUUGGGCUAAACAAUCUGCAACCACAAGAAGGCGGAAGCAAGAAACCACAAUCAAUGCUAGCAGCUAAGACAACAGAAGCUUCUUCAACAGAUCAAAAUAGAGAGCACUGGGUUUUUUCAGUUGUAGGAUGCCCCGUCUAGAUUGAUGCUCCAGAGAAACCUUCGAACCUUGUACAUCCACCAAAUCAAUCUGAAUGUUUAAAUUUUGUCUCUGUAAGAUAAAUUAUAUGUUGAAAAAAUUAUGAUGAAUUGGAAAGGUGCAGGAUUUAGAAGAUCUUCAAACAUAUUCAGCAUCAUGUUGGACCUAAAUCGUCAGUUAGGACCUGUAGUGGACCAAGAAACCUUUGUUUCAACUUUUGCUUUGGGGAAAUGAAGCUGCCUAUAAACAGCUAAAUGAUGCAUCAAACAGUCAGGGGAUAGGAUAAGCUUGCUUGGCUAGUUAGGCAACAACGCCAAUCCCAGUCUUCCAGAUAGCGAACUAUAUUAUCUCUCAUCCAUGUCAAUGUCUGCAAGGGCACAUGGUUACCAAGGGCACAGAAAACCAUGUCCUGGAAGUACAAUGUUCAAAGCAAAUCAGGAAAGAUGAAGUCAACAGAAUAAACCCCCUGUAAACCAACAGUCAAAACAAGGCACCUUCCAGAAAGCCCCAUAAGUCCAAUAGCUCGAGAACCAACAGUCAAUAUGAGAGAUGCUGUAACCUUAAUUCGACUGUGCAAACAAAGAAGCUAAAUUGAGGAUCAAUUAUCCAAACGUAGUUCCCAAAUUCUCUGAUCCCCAUCCCAUGGUUAACGAUCCAAUCCAUGUCAAAUCAACCCCCACGGCCCCACCGUAGUCCCCGCCUGCAGCGGCGGACAACAUGCCCAUGGCAGAGUCGAUCCCAUACCCCUUCCGCUCAGGUCUCUCUCCAUUCCCGCGGUUGCCUAUACACCAAAGGGUGUUGGCAUGUUGCAGCCUCGGACACUUCGUGGAUGCUAAACCGCAAGACAGCCUGCUCCGCCUCCAAUCGCGCACCACGCUCCCACUCUCUUCCUGCAUCCUAGCGGUCGAGCUUCCACCGACGACAGGCUACAGCUACCUGCUCCUCCCACGAUCCCCAGCGCCUCCCGCCGUCCGAUGCCAGCAACCAAUCUCCCGCUGUCCGUUGCGCCGCCACCCACCAGUCAGUGUCCCGCCGUCCGUUGGGCCACCAGCCGGUCUACCGCCACCCGUUGCCACUCGCCGGUCCAUGCCAUAUGGGAGAGGAGAACGUGUGGAUGCGCCAGUACAGGCUACAGGGAGAAGAUGGGUUGGAGAGAGGGUAGGGAGAUAGGGUUACCUGGGCCUCCUUCAUCGCUGCCGGAGGACACGACGCUCCUACUCGUCUCCCUUCGCGCGUCGAGAUCCUCCUGGACUCGGUGAAGAACGAUGAGAUGGAAGGGCUUGGAUCCAUCGAUCCAGUCUAAUUUGGCUUCAGUAUGUAACCGCGAGGAGAGAGACGUGAUCUGGAGGCUGGAGCGACCGGGUCGGGGAGAUAGGUGCGCAGAAGUGGGACGUGCGUUCAUGGGUGGUGAGAUUUUCCCCCUUUCUAUUGGUUUUUUAUGGGCGUGGAUAGAAGGACCGGACAAAGGUUUUUUUUUUAAUUUAAUCGCCUGGUUUACGAAGGGAUGAUAAAAAUCGGUGAAAGUGGUAGCAGGAGGAAGUGGGGAGGUGGGAUCAAGAGGUCGAACCAUCGCUCUGGUCGAACCAUCACGACGGCACAUCCCCUUUAAUAGUAGAGAUUAAUUAACAAAGUAGUAAGUGUCACGUGUCUUAAACUUUUUUAUUUUGGAAAUGCAUGUACUCCCUCCGUCCGUGAAAGACUGUACAUAUAAAGAUGUACACAUAAAUCAAGAGAAACCUUCAUGACAUAAUUAAUGUUCAAAAAUAACGACUUAUGUGUACAUGCAACCAUUGAAAGAAAGGGAUUAAAUACCGGUUGCUGCAUACAGUAUUUAAGGUUAGGCAUGCAGCCAAUGAAUAGAGCACAAGUUGAUACAUUACUUAUUUAAUACCAGUAAAAUUAAAGGCUAAGUGCAUUGGGGGUGUAGAUGUACACUCUUUGUGGGAACAAAUUCUAGCACUAUCUCCAUCACAGUUUAGAAGGCACACACGUGUAUCUAUGUCGUCAAUUUGAUUUAUAUAAAAAUUAUUGUUUAAUAUAAAAAAUAUAUCAUUAAAAAUAAGAACGUCUAAUUUUUUAAUUGAUAUAUUUUUUAUAGUAUAUGUUUAUCAUUAAGUUGGUCAAUUUGAUGACUUAGGUACACGUGUCGGACUUAUAAACUGAGAUGGAGGGAGUACUAGAUGUACAGUUUUUGACGAACGAAGGGAGUAAUAUAGAGGGUGCUUGGAUCCAAGAGACUAAAACUAGUCUGACUAAAACUAGUCUCUUUAAGAGGCUAACGUUCCAAACACCACUGACUAAAGAGAGGCUAAAACUAGUCUUGAGGCUAAAAUCUUUUAGUCAGGGGUACCCCUACUAAAUGUGCAUUAGUCAUCUCUCUCCUCAUUUAAUUCCUCAUGCAAGUUCUGGAUGGAGGGUUUGGAGGAUAAUAAAUGCUCAUUAACUUGAUUUUAGUCUCUUUAGUAUUUGGAUCCAAGCAUGAGUGAGGCUAGCAAGUUUUAGUCUCAUUACUUUUAGUCAUUGGGACUAAAAGUAUCAAGCAUCCUCAUAGUAGACUCGUUGUAUGCUUAAAUCUUUGUGAAUGGAUAUAGUUGGGACUUGGGAGGUGUGGAACCGGUGAGAGUCUAUUACAUGGCAAAUAUGUGGAUUGCCACACAUAAAUGUGAUGAUACCCAAAUUGAGCUCAUUUAUAGGUGCUGAAAUAUUAUAGGCCAACACAAACCAUGCAAUGUGGUGGGCAGCGGGGCACCUUUCAUGUCAUUAAUUCUCAACCGAUAAAUAUCAAUCUCUUCCGUGUCUCUCAAUUUCAAAUACAUUUCCUCUUGAAUAAAUGAGACAAUCCAUACAUCAAGAGAGUAGAGAGUGUGAUCCAUACGAGUUGCAUAGGAUUGGAAGGCACCGGAAAUUAUUUUAUGAGCCGCACUAGGCGUUUGCCGGUUGAAGCAAUGGAAAAGGUCGUCCACCUCCAUAGCCGUCGGAUUAGGACAAAAAGAGCCGGUAGAUAUCCCUCAGGUGAGCAAACAGAAUUGUAACAAGCAAGUUGUUGCGCACGUCUCUCUACAACACCGAUCUUGUUGCAAAAAGCCUCGAACAGCGGACCAUUUUCUCCGUCCUUCAUUGUUCGUUCUGUGCAAUAGGAGUCUUGUUGCGCUUGGCCUUCUGCAACAAGAGACCGGUUGCAAAUCAUUUUCGGAUCAUUUCAUUUUCUUUUUCUCGGUUGCCCAUCAUUGUAACAGAAGUCAUGUUGUAGUUUUUUUAGCAAGUGUCAUCUUGCCUAAUCCUUUUGCAAAAAUAUAGAGGGCGUGUGCAUAAACUUUUCCGUUGCAGUUUUUUUUUCAACAGAGUCGACCAUGGACGGUAAUAAUAAGAAAAAAAAUAGAACGGUGCAGAAGGUCCAAAUAGGACAUGCGUCACACGCUAGAUGCGGCGGACGCCUCGCGCUGGAUCGGCCGGGUAAAGGGAAUCAUUUCCCUUAUUUUAUCGCGAGGUAGAAAGUUAAAACUAUGCAUAUUGUCAUGUGUGUUGGGGAACGUCGCAUGGGAAACAAAAAAUUUCCUACGCGCACGAAGACCUAUCAUGGUGAUGUCCAUCUACGAGAGGGGAUGAGUGAUCUACGUACCCUUGUAGACCGUACAACAGAAGCGUUAGUGAACGCGGUUGAUGUAGUGGAACGUCCUCACGUCCCUCGAUCCGCCCCGCGAACAAUCCCGCGAUCAGUCCCACGAUCUAGUGCCGAACGGACGGCACCUCCGCGUCCAGCACACGUACAGCUCGACGAUGAUCUCGGCCUUCUUGAUCCAGCAAGAGAGACGGAGAGGUAGAAGAGUUCUCCGGCAGCGUGUCGGCGCUCCGGAGGUUGGUGAUGAUCUCGUCUCAGCAGGGCUCCGCCCGAGCUCCGCAGAAACGCGAUCUAGAAGAAAACCCGUGGAGGUAUGUGGUCGGGCUGCCGUGGAGAAAUCGUCUCAAAUCAGCCCGAAAACCUCUGUAUAUAUAGGUGGGAGAGGGGGGACCUUGCCUUGGGGCUCAAGGAGCCCCAAGGGGGUCGGCCGAGCCAAAGGGGGGAAGGACUCCCCCCCCAAACCGAGUCCUACUUGGUUUGGUGGGUGGAGUCCUUCUUUCCUUUCCCACCUCCUCCUUUUUUUCUUUUCUCUUUGAUUUUUCUUCCAAUGCGCAUAGGGCCCUUUUGGGCUGUCCCACUAGCCCACUAAGGGCUGGUGCGCCACCCUCAAAGCCUAUGGGCUUCCCCGGGGUGGGUUCGCCCCCCCCCCCCGGUGAACUCCCGGAACCCAUUCGUCAUUCCCGGUACAUUCCCGGUAACUCCGAAAACCUUCCGGUAAUAAAAUGAGGUCAUCCUAUAUAUCAAUCUUCAUUUCUGGAUCAUUCCGGAAACCCUCGUGACGUCCGUGAUCUCAUCCGGGACUCCGAACAACAUUCGGUAACCAACCAUAUAACUCAAAUACGCAUAAAACAACGUCGAACCUUAAGUGUGCAGACCCUGCGGGUUCGAGAACUAUGUAGACAUGACCCGAGAGACUCCUCGGUCAAUAUCCAAUAGCGGGACUUGGAUGCCCAUAUUGGAUCCUACAUAUUCUACGAAGAUCUUAUCGUUUUAACCUCAGUGCCAAGGAUUCAUACAAUCCCGUAUGUCAUUCCCUUUGUCCUUCGGUAUGUUACUUGCCCGAGAUCCGAUCGUCACUAUCCGCUUACCUAUUUCAAUCUCGUUUACCGGCAAGUCUCUUUACUCGUUCCGUAAUACAAGAUCCCGCAACUUACACUAAGUUACAUUGCUUGCAAGGCUUGUGUGUGAUGUUGUAUUACCGUGUGGGCCCCGGGAUACCUCUCCGUCACACGGAGUGACAAAUCCUAGUCUUGAUCCAUACUAACUCAACGAACACCUUCGGAGAUACUUGUAGAGCAUCUUUAUAGUCACCCAGUUACGUUGCGACGUUUGAUACACACAAAGUAUUCCUCCAGUGUUAGUGAGUUAUAUGAUCUCAUGGUCAUAGGAACAAAUACUUGACACGCAGAAAACAGUAGCAACAAAAUGACACGAUCAACAUGCUACGUCUAUUAGUUUGGGUCUAGUCCAUCACGUGAUUCUCCUAAUGACGUGAUCCAGUUAUCAAGCAACAACACCUUGUUCAUAAUGAGAAGACACUGACUAUCUUUGAUCAACUGGCUAGCCAACUAGAGGCUUGCUAGGGACAGUGUUUUGUCUAUGUAUCCACACAUGUAAAUGAGUCUUCAUUCAAUACAAUUAUAGCAUGGAUAAUAAACGAUUAUCUUGAUACAGGAAUUAUAAUAAUAACUAUAUUUAUUAUUGCCUCUAGGGCAUAAUUCCUACAGAGACACGGCGUGCGACUUGGGCUACAGACCUGCUAGAGAGAGUCUGACGUGGGUUGGAUUGAUGGGCCCUGUGGCACAACAGCUGGCUGACCCUGAUGCCUCGUGAUUUAUGCAUGAUAAUUAGUACUAAAAAAUUACUUUAGACCCUGUAGCGCGUGCUGCAGGUUUGGACCAUAGGGCUCGACCAUGAUUGCAUGUAUAAUUAUCCUCACUGUAUUAUGCAGAAUGAAGAUUCUCGAAUUCAAAAGAGGACAAAUCUAUGACAUUGGGUUCAUUGACCCAAAUAACAUACAUGAUUAUACGUAAAAAACAACGCCAAGGAAAGAACAGAUAACUUGCUAAGGGCGUUAAGGAAACAACCAACCAAAAGGGAAAUACUAUUUCCUUACAGCUACAUGUGAGUGUUACUGGCUUGUACACAUUCUGUUUCGCUUACUUGAUGUUAAGUGUAAUUGAUGAGUUAUGCAUGCACAAGUUCCAUUUUAUUCUCCUAGUCAUUGAGGUUGUCGAAUGAGUAGUACUUGUCAUGGACUCGAAAUGUAAAAACGCCAAGACGUGGGCAGACCUGAGUGAAAUGCUCCAGAGGUAAUUACAAUUAUUAUUCCUUUUGAUUCAAAGAGGCGGCGGUGAAAAACCAUUCUUUGACUUUGGAGUUCCAAAUAGAAAAACAGUUCUCAUUUCUUCUUGUAGUCGAUUGGUCGUCCGUUCAUCUGCUUCAGUAUAUUUGCCCUAUUUUGCCUCUCUUUUUGUGCGGCGAAUGGCGAAAGACCCGAUGAGUAUUUUCGUACCACCUUCCAAUCUUCUUAGUCAGUUGUGCUUUCCGUCCGUAUUGAGCAACUCAAAUUCAUAGAAAGUCGUUGGUGCACCCACCCAGUGAGUAACUACUAAUGCAAUGAGUAACUACUAAUGUUACGAACAAAGAAACUUUCUAGAAGUGGACCCAACAAGCAAAGCAACGGAUUGAGCCGCACUGUAUUUAUUUUCUUUGUCGGGUAGGAUUUGGAAAUGGUUCACCAAGAAGGUUAGGGGUGAAUGAAAAGAGAAGUUGCAAUAUUGACAACUCAAUGUAAGUAAUAUUAGUUAGGUCCGUGUAUCUCUUUGAUUAUAGUUUCAGUACCAUUAUCAUGCUUGAUUAUUAUUUCGAUUGAACACUAUGUUGGGGAACGUCGCAUGGGAAACAAAAAAUUUCCUACGCGCACGAAGACCUAUCAUGGUGAUGUCCAUCUACGAGAGGGGAUGAGUGAUCUACGUAUCCUUGUAGACCGUACAGUAGAAGCGUUAGUGAACGCGGUUGAUGUAGUGGAACGUCCUCACGUCCCUCGAUCCGCCCCGCGAACUAUCCCGCGAUCAGUCCCACGAUCUAGUGCCGAACGGACGGCACCUCCGCGUUCAGCACACGUACAGCUCGACGAUGAUCUCGGACUUCUUGAUCCAGCAAGAGAGACGGAGAGGUAGAAGAGUUCUCCGGCAGCGUGACGGCGCUCCGGAGGUUGGUGAUGAUCUCGUCUCAGCAGGGCUCCGCCCGAGCUCCGCAGAAACGCGAUCUAGAGGAAAAACCGUGGAGGUAUGUGGUUGGGCUGCCGUGGAAAAAUCGUCUCAAAUCAGCCCUAAAACCUCCGUAUAUAUAGGUGGGAGAGGGGGGACCUUGCCUUGGGGCUCAAGGAGCCCCAAGGGGGUCGGCCGAGCCAAAGGGGGGAAGGACUCCCCCCCCCCAAACCGAGUCCUACUUGGUUUGGUGGGUGGAGUCCUUCUUUCCUUUCCCACCUCCUCCUUUUUUGUUCUUUUCUCUUUGAUUUUUCUUCCAAUGCGCAUAGGGCCCUUUUGGGCUGUCCCACCAGCCCUUAGGGCUGGUGCGCCACCCUCAAGGCCUAUGGGCUUCCCCGGGGUGGGUUGCCCCCCCGGUGAACUCCCGGAACCCAUUCGUCAUUCCUGGUACAUUCCCGGUAACUCCGAAAACCUUCCGGUAAUCAAAUGAGGUCAUCCUAUAUAUCAAUCUUCGUUUCCGGACCAUUCCGGAAACCCUCGUGACGUCCGUGAUCUCAUCCGGGACUCCUAACAACAUUCGGUAACCAACCAUAUAACUCAAAUACGCAUAAAACAACGUCAAACCUUAAGUGUGCAGACCCUGCGGGUUCGAGAACUAUGUAGACAUGACCCGAGAGACUCCUCGGUCAAUAUCCAAUAGCGGGACCUGGAUUCCCAUAUUGUAUCCUACAUAUUCUACGAAGAUCUUAUCGUUUGAACCUUAGUGCCAAGGAUUCAUAUAAUCCCGUAUGUCAUUCCCUUUGUCCUUCGGUAUGUUACUUGCUCGAGAUUCGAUCGUCAGUAUCCGCAUACCUAUUUCAAUCUCGUUUACCGGCAAGUCUCUUUACUCGUUCCGUAAUACAAGAUCCCGCAACUUACACUAAGUUAUAUUGCUUGCAAGGCUUGUGUGUGAUGUUGUAUUACCGAGUGGGCCCCGAGAUACCUCUCCGUCACACGGAGUGACAAAUCCCAGUCUUGAUCCAUACUAACUCAACAAACACCUUCGGAGAUACCUGUAGAGCAUCUUUAUAGUCACCCAGUUACGUUGCGAUGUUUGAUACACACAAAGUAUUCCUCCGGUGUUAGUGAGUUAUAUGAUCUCAUGGUCAUAGGAACAAAUACUUGACACGCAGAAAAUAGUAACAACAAAAUGACACGAUCAACAUGCUACGUCUAUUAGUUUGGGUCUAGUCCAUCACGUGAUUCUCCUAAUGACGUGAUCCAGUUAUCAAGCAACAACACCUUGUUCAUAAUCAGAAGACACUGACUAUCUUUGAUCAACUGGCUAGCCAACUAGAGGCAUGCUAGGGACAGUGUUUUGUCUAUGUAUCCACACAUGUAAAUGAGUCUUCAUUCAAUACAAUUAUAGCAUGGAUAAUAAACGAUUAUCUUGAUACAGGAAUUAUAAUAAUAACUAUAUUUAUUAUUGCCUCUAGGGCAUAAUUCCAACAGUCUCCCACUUGCACUAGAGUCAAUAAUCUAGCCCUCACAUCAUCAUGCGAAUUACAUUGUAAUAAAUCUAACACCCAUACAGUUCUGGUGUUGAUCAUGCUUUGCCCGUGGAAGAGGUUUAGUCAGCGGGUCUGCUACAUUCACAUCCGUGUGCACUUUGCAUAUAUUUACGUCCUCUCCUUCGACGUAGUCGCGGAUGAGGUUGAAGCGUCGUUUGAUGUGUGUGGACUUCUUGUGAAACCGUGGUUCCUUUGCUAAGGCAAUGGCACCCGUGUUGUCACAGAACAAGGUUAUUGGAUUCAGUGCGCUUGGCACCACUCCAAGAUUCGUCAUGAACUGCUUCAUCCAGACACCCUCCUUAGUCGCCUCCGAGGCAGCCAUGUACUCCGCUUCACAUGUAGAAUCUGCUACGACGCUUUGCUUGGAACUGCACCAGCUUACCGCACCCCCAUUAAGAAUAAAUACGUAUCCGGUUUGCGACUUAGAGUCGUCCGGAUCUGUGUCAAAGCUUGCAUCGAAGUAACCUUUUACGGCGAGCUCUUCGUCACCUCCAUACACGAGAAACAUCUCCUUAGUCCUUUUCAGGUACUUCAGGAUAUUCUUGACCGAUGUCCAGUGAUCCACUCCUGGAUUACUCUGGAACCUACCUGCCAUACUUAUGGCCAGGCUAACGUCCGGUCUAGUGCGCAGCAUUGCAUACAUGAUAGAACCUAUGGCUGAAGCAUAGGGGACGGAGCGCAUAUGCUCUCUAUCUUCAUCAGUUGCUGGGCACUGAGUCUUAUUCAAUCUCGUACCUUGUAAAACUGGCAAGAACCCCUUCUUGGACUGUUCCAUUUUGAACCUCUUCAAAACUUUAUCAAGGUAUGUGCUUUGUGAAAGUCCUAUCAGGCGUUUUGAUCUAUCCCUAUAGAUCUUAAUGCCUAGAAUGUAAGCAACUUCUCCUAGGUCCUUCAUAGAGAAACUUUUAUUCAAGUAAUCCUUUAUGCUCUCCAAAAACUCUACGUUGUUUCCAAUCAGCAAUAUGUCAUCCACAUAUAAUAUUAGAAACGCCACAGAGCUCCCACUCACUUUCUUGUAAAUACAAGAUUCUCCAACCACUUGUAUAAACCCAAAUGCUUUGAUCACCUCAUCAAAGCGUUUGUUCCAACUCCGAGAUGCUUGCACCAGUCCAUAAAUGGAUCGCUGGAGCUUGCACACCUUGUUAGCAUUCUUAGGAUCGACAAAACCUUCGGGUUGCAUCAUAUACAAUUCUUCCUUAAGGAAACCGUUAAGGAACGCCGUUUUGACAUCCAUCUGCCAGAUUUCAUAAUCGAAAAAUGCAGCUAUUGCUAACAUGAUUCUGACGGACUUAAGCAUCGCUACGGGUGAGAAUGCCUCAUCGUAGUCAACUCCUUGAACUUGUGAAAAACCCUUUGCCACAAGUCGAGCUUUAUAAACGGUCACAUUGCCGUCAGCGUCCGUCUUCCUCUUAAAGAUCCAUUUGUUCUGAAUAGCCUUGCGGCCCUCAGGCAGUACCUCCAAAGUCCACACUUUGUUCUCAUACAUGGAUCCUAUCUCAGACUUCAUGGCUUCUAGCCAUUUGUUGGAAUCUGGGCCCACCAUUGCUUCUUCAUAAUUUGCAGGUUCAUUGUUGUCCAACAACAUGAUUGAUAAGACGGGAUUACCGUACCACUCUGGAGCAGCACGUGGUCUCGUCGACCUGCGUGGUUCGACAGAAACUUGAACCGGAGUUUCAUGAUCAUCAUCAUUAACUUCCUCCUCAACCGGCGUCGCAACGACAGAGGUUUCCCCUUGCCCUGCGCCACCAUCCAGAGGGAUGAGAGGUUCGACAACCUCGUCAAGUUCUAUCUUCCUCCCACUCAAUUCUCUCGAGAGAAACUCCUUCUCGAGAAAAGCUCCGUUUUUAGCAACAAACACUUUGCCCUCAGAUUUGAGAUAGAAGGUGUACCCAACUGUCUCUUUUGGGUAACCUAUGAAGAUGCACUUUUCCGCUUUGGGUUCCAGCUUUUCAGGCUGAAGCUUUUUGACAUAAGCAUCACAUCCCCAAACUUUACGAAAUGACAACUUUGGCCUUUUGCCAUACCACAGUUCGUAUGGUGUCGUCUCAACGGAUUUUGAUGGUGCCCUAUUUAAAGUGAAUGCAGCUGUUUCUAAUGCAUAACCCCAAAACGAUAACGGCAAAUCGGUAAGAGACAUCAUAGAUCGCACCAUAUCUAAUAAAGUACGAUUACGACGUUCGGACACACCAUUAUGCUGUGGUGUUCCAGGCGGUGUCAACUAUGAAACAAUUCCACAUUGUCUUAAGUGAGCACCAAACUCGAAACUCAGAUAUUCACCCCCACGAUCAGACCGUAGGAACUCGAUCUUCUUGUUACGAUGAUUUUCAACUUCACUCUGAAAUUGCUUGAACUUUUCAAAUGUUUCAGACUUGUGCUUCAUUAAGUAGACAUAACCAUAUCUACUCAAAUCGUCAGUGAAGGUGAGAAAAUAACGAUAUCUGCCGCGUGCCUCUACGCUCAUCGGACCACACACAUCGGUAUGUAUGAUUUCUAACAAGUCAUUUGCACGCUCCGUUGUUCUGGAGAACGGAGUUUUAGUCAUCUUGCCCAUGAGGCAUGGUUCGCACGUGUCAAGUAAAUCAAAGUCAAGUGACUCCAAAAGUCCAUCGGCAUGGAGUUUCUUCAUGCGCUUUACACCAAUAUGACCUAAGCGGCAGUGCCACAAAAAUAUGGCGCUAUCAUUAUUAACUCUAACUCUUUUGGUCUCAAUGUUAUGUAUGUGUGUAUCGCUAUCAAGAUUCAAUAUGAACAAUCCUCUCACAUUGGGUGCAUGACCAUAAAAGAUGUUACUCAUAGAAAUAGAACAACCAUUAUUCUCUGACUUAAAAGAGUAACCGUCUCGCAAUAAACAAGAUCCAGAUAUAAUGUUCAUGCUCAACGCAGGCACUAAAUAACAAUGAUUCAAGUUCAUAACUAAUCCUGAUGGUAACUGAAAUGAAACUAUGCCGACGGCGAUUGCAUCAACCUUGGAACCAUUUCCUACGCGCAUCGUCACUUCAUCUUUCGCCAGCCUUCGUCUAUUCCGCGGUUCCUGUUUCGAGUUGCAAAUAUGAGCAACAGAACCGGUAUCGAAUACCCACGCACUACUACGAGAGCCGGUUAAGUACACAUCAAUAACAUGUAUAUCAAAUAUACCUAAUUUUUCUUUGGCCGCCUUCUUAUCUGCCAGAUACUUGGGGCAAUUGCGCUUCCAGUGACCCAUACCCUUGCAAUAGUAACACUUUGUUUCAGGCUUAGGUCCAGCUUUGGGUUUCUUCGUCGGAUUGGCAACAGGCUUGCCGCUCUUAUUUGAAUUACCCUUCUUGCCUUUGUCGUUUCUCUUGAAACUAGUGGUCUUAUUCACCAUCAACACUUGAUGCUCUUUACGGAGUUCGGACUCUGCGACUUUCAGCAUCGCAAACAACUCGUCGGGUGACUUGUUCAUCCCUUGCAUGUUGUAGUUCAACACAAAGCCUUUAUAGCUUGGCGGCAGUGAUUGAAGGAUUCUGUCAGUGAUAGCCUCUUGCGGGAGUUCAAUCCCCAGCUCAGCUAGACGGUUUGAGUACCCAGACAUUUUGAGCACAUGUUCAGUGACAGACGAGUUCUCCUCCAUCUUGCAAGCAUAGAAUUUAUCGGAGGUCUCAUACCUCUCGAUCCGGGCGUUCUUUUGAAAGAUAAACUUCAACUCCUGGAACAUCUCAAAUGCUCCAUGAAGCUCAAAGCGACGUUGAAGUCCCGGUUCUAAGCCAUACAAGACUGCACAUUGAACUACUGAGUAGUCCUUCUUACGUGCUAACCAAGCGUUCUUAACAUCCUGAUCAGCCGUAGCGGGUGGUUCAUCUCCUAGCGCAGCAUUAAGGACAUAAUCCUUCUUCCCAGCUUGUAAGAUUAGCUUAAGAUUACGAGCCCAGUCUACAAAGUUGCUUCCAUCAUCUUUCAACUUAGCUUUCUUUAGGAACGUAUUAAAAUUCAGGGUGACUGUCGCGUGAGCCAUGAUCUACAACAUAAAUAUAUUCAAAGUGGACUUAGACUAUGUUCAAGAUAAUUAGAGUUUAACUUAAUCAAAUUAUUCGCUAAACUCCCACUCAAAAAGUACAUCUCUCUAGUCAUUUGAGUGGUUCAUGAUCCACUUACACUAGCUCAAGUCCGAUCAUCACGUGAGUUGAGUAUAGUUUCAGUGGUAAGCAUCCCUAUGCUAAUCAUAUCAUCUAUAUGAUUCAUGAUCGACCUUUCGGUCUCAUGUGUUCCGAGGCCAUGUCUGCACAUGCUAGGCUCGUCAAGCUUAACCCGAGUGUUCCGCGUGCGCAACUGUUUUGCACCCAUUGUAUGUGAACGUUGAGUCUAUCACACCCGAUCAUCACGUGGUGUCUCGAAACGACGAACUGUAGCAACGGUGCACAGUCGGGGAGAACACAAUUUCGUCUUGAAAUUUUAGUGAGAGAUCACCUCAUAAUGCUACCGUCGUUCUAAGAAAAAUAAGGUGCAUAAAAGGAUUAACAUCACAUGCAAUUCAUAAGUGACAUGAUAUGGCCAUCAUCACGUGCUUCUCGAUCUCCAUCACCAAAGCACCGACACGAUCUUCUUGUCACCGGCGCCACACCAUGAUCUCCAUCAACGUGUCGCCAUCGGGGUUGUCGUGCUACUCAUGCUAUUACUACUAAAGCUACAUCCUAGCAAAAUAGUAAAUGCAUCCGCAAGCACAAACAUUAGUAUAAAGACAACCCAAUGGCUCCUGCCGGUUGCCGUACCAUCGACGUGCAAGUCGAUAUUAUCUAUUACAACAUGAUCAUCUCAUACAUCCAAUAUAUCACAUCACAUCGUUGCCCAUAUCACAUCACAAGCAUACCCUGCAAAAACAAGUUAGACGUCCUCUAAUUUUGUUGUUGCAUGUUUUACGUGGUGACCAUGGGUAUCUAGUAGGAUCGCAUCUUACUUACGCAAACACCACAACGGAGAUAUAUGAGUUGCUAUUUAACCUCAUCCAAGGACCUCCUCGGUCAAAUUCGAUUCAACUAAAGUUGGAGAAACCGACACUUGCCAGUCAUCUUUGAGCAACGGGGUUACUCGUAGCGAUGAAACCAGUCUCUCGUAAGCGUACGAGUAAUGUCGGUCCAAGCCGCUUCAAUCCAACAAUACCACGGAAUCAAGAAAAGACUAAGGAGGGCAGCAAAACGCACAUCACCGCCCACAAAAACUUUUGUGUUCUACUCGAGAAGACAUCUACGCAUGAACCUAGCUCAUGAUGCCACUGUUGGUGAACGUCGCAUGGGAAACAAAAAAUUUCCUACACGCACGAAGACCUUUCAUGGUGAUGUCCAUCUACGAGAGGGGAUGAGUGAUCUACGUGCCCUUGUAGACCGUACAGCAGAAGCGUUAGUGAACGCGGUUGAUGUAGUAGAACGUCCUCACGUCCCUCGAUCCGCCCCGCGAACUAUCCCGCGAUUAGUCCCACGAUCUAGUGCCGAACGGAUGGCACCUCCGCGUUCAGCACACGUACAGCUCGACGAUGAUCUCGACGACGAUCUAGUGCCGAACAGACGGAGUGACAAAUCACGGUCUUGAUCCAUACUAACUCAACGAAGACCUUCGGAGAUACCUGUAGAGCAUCUUUAUAGUCACCCAGUUACGUUGCGACGUUUGAUACACACAAAGCAUUCCUCCGGUGUCCGUGAGUUAUAUGAUCUCAUGGUCAUAGGAACAAAUACUUGACACGCAGAAAACAGUAGCAACAAAAUGACACGAUCAACAUGCUACGUCUAUUAGUUUGGGUCUAGUCCAUCACGUGAUUCUCCUAAUGACGUGAUCCAGUUAUCAAGCAACAACACCUUGUUCAUAAUCAGAAGACACUGACUAUCUUUGAUCAACUGGCUAGCCAACUAGAGGCUUGCUAGGGACAGUGUUUUGUCUAUGUAUCCACACAUGUAAAUGAGUCUUCAUUCAAUACAAUUAUAGCAUGGAUAAUAAACGAUUAUCUUGAUACAGGAAUUAUAAUAAUAACUAUAUUUAUUAUUGCCUCUAGGGCAUAAUUCCAACACACUAUUCUCGUAAAGUGUUUGAGGUAGGAAGAUGGAAAUAAUUUAUGUGGAUACUACAUUUGCGAUUCCAUUCGCAAGACGACCUGUGAGAAGGAAGAAUUUAGAACAACUUUGAGUACGUAAACAAUAUUCACAAUCUUAUUUUAUUACCAUCAAUUGUGUUGAGUUUCAUUCAUAUAUAUUGACUACCUUAUUUAAAUUAGAUCAAACAGAUGCAGGACGAUCUCCUACAAAAAGAUCGCAUAGGAGCAAUUCAAGAGGAAUUAAUGGGAUUCUUACUUGAAAAGGUCAUAACUAAAAACGGAGAAAAUCAUCGGAAAUUGGUAAGGAAUUGGUAAUUAGAUAUUACGGAUCGUAAGAGAUAUUAUAUUCUAUAUAUGCAUGAAAGUGUACUAUAUGUAUUACUGUUGUAUAUAUAUAUAUAUAUAUAUAUAUAUAUAUAUAUACUCCUACUGAAUGCUGGUAGGAAUCUAGAAUCUUAGUAUAUAUUGAUAUGAAAUAUCAAUUAUAUGGGCAGGGAAGACCCCCCCUCAAAAAAAAUGCAGCAUGUAUGCGUACACAUAUCAAUAGCCAAUGCACACACAUGUGCAUGUUUCCAGCCAAGUAUGCCCGUAUACACAUAUCAGCAGGCAGUGUACGGGCACAUGCAUAUCCAAAGAUUGUAAUAUUCCUGAAGAUUAAAGUCCAAGACAAAAUCAUGACGAGGAAGAAAAUCAAAAAAGAAGACAAUGCCACCUCCAUUGGCAGCCAAGACACGGUGUGCAAACCUCUCCAACAUGCACUCAAUACCCUAGAAAGAAGGGCUAUAAUGGCUACAAAGCCUAUAAAGCCUAGAAGGCCUAAAAACUAGGUGCAUGAUGGACAAGGAGAAAGAAGGAGGAAAUAAUAGAGGAGCCUUCUCCCGGAAGCCAUCCAAGAGGUGCUCUCUUGCCUAUAAAAGGAGGAGCCUUGCUGCGAAGAGGGACACCAGACGGAGAAGAACCAGCCACAGAUAGAGCACAGAGUUGCAACUCAGCUAGCAAGCUCUUUGCUCAAGUAGUAGUAGUAGUAGUACUUCCUCAUCGUGUAAUAAAGAGCUACAAUAUUUAGAGCAUUUGUAAGCUCGCGAAGGUGGUUAGAAGGUAAUUUCUUUAUCCUUGUGUAAACCCUUCGGGGGUUCCCGAAAGGGAAAACCAUAUAUAAAUUAUGUUGUGGAAAUGAUGUAGUGUCGUGUUUUCACUUGGUAUUUUAUUUUUGAAUUUAUGGAACGAGUUCGUAUGCUAGGGAUCCUAUAGGAGAAAACUCUGUCGGUAGUUCUGUGUGUAGCCUUUUAUGGCAUUUGAAUGAGAACCUUAUGGCCGUAGAGAAGUGUUCCCUUCGGGUGGAACUGCCUGGGAAGACGAUAGGAAUUUACUCCAUAAAUUCGCAACUAAAACAUCCAGUGAACGAACUUAGCUACAUCUGAAACAACAUAAUGAUAAAUAUGGUGAGUACUGAGUAGGAUAUUACACCACUGCGUACACCUCAGUCGUCUUGUUGGCCUCGACAACCCCUCAAAGAUCCUGCAAUAUAAGCGAAAUAAUUUAAAAACAUUUCGUAUUAAAAAUAAUAUAAAAUAAAUAAAUAAGUUUGUAUUUACUCGUAUACGUAAUCACGUAUAUCAACAUUAAAACCUGAAUUUAUAACUUAAUAUAUUUAGAUUUAUUAUAAAUAUUUUAAUUAUUCUGUAUAUUUGGUAUCAGGUCCAGCAUUUUAAACAUUGAUAGGUUAAAGUAUUUAAAUUUAGAAGUUAGCGCAGGUAAGGUAAUAAAUACUAAAGAUAAUAUUAAUAUAAGGUGCAGAAUAAAUCCUUCUGAAGAGCAUACCUGGCAUACAUCUCAUUGCGAGCUAAAUACAAUUGUCGAUGUGAUAUAUAACUUUUACAUAUCUUGGGGGAAAAGACAAGAUAAUUUAGACCAAAAAUUUGAGAGUUUAUCCAAAGAAUACCAAAAAGCUUGCGGAUAAAUAUUCUGGUCUGAACAAUAAAAUUGAUCUCGCCUUACAUAAGCUAGAAGGAGCAAAGGCCAGGCAUAACGUACUUUGCAAGAAUAACGAUUGUAUUAAAGAAGAAGUGUUGUCAAUUGGCCGUUACCUAAGUAAAGGCAAAGACUCACUCCCUCGCACAAAAGCAAGACAAGAUAUACUCGAUAUAAAGAAGUUGCUGCAAGAAGUUAAAACUUUAAUUGUCUUAUAAUUAUAUGACUGAAUAUAGCCAAGCAUUAAACGAAGUAGCCAAAUACUUGUCACCUCCUGUAGGAUUUUAGGAUUUUUUGAUCACGACUCACCAAAAGAAGACUCUAAAAUUAUAAUAAGACAAAAUAAUACAAUUCUUCAGCUAUUAAUCCAGGUUUUAGACAAGCUAAAAAGUGUCCAAAACAACCAAGAAAUUGUGCUAUCGUCAUCUGGAAUCGUAACAUCAUCAAGAAAUAUUAAUUCAGAAAAAUGGACAUAUCUAAAGGCUUCCUUAGAAGAGAUAAAACCCUCCAGUUAGUAAGGCAAGACUCAAGACCACUCGCAAUGAAGCAUAGAUUAUCAUGUAAAGCCGAUGAUAUUGAUAGUAUUGAAGAAGUUAUAGAUAUUCAGAGAGACCUCGAAAGAUAUCAAAAGGAUACCCUAAGAAAAAUAAAACCGCAACAGGUAUAUCACAUGGGUAUGUUUGAGAGUAAGAGCGGGUUAUACCGAAUAUCAAGAGAAGUAGAACUAAGUGUGUUAACACACCCAGUUGAUUUAAGAAUAGUAUGCAAAAAUAUUGAAAAUAAACUAAAAUAUUGUGGUUACAAAUAUAUUCAUCAAGGUAUGUAUAUUAUAGGAGUUAAAGGUAUGACAAGAAAGAAAUUAGGAGCAAAGGUGCUUAUAACUCUAUUAGACCGAAGGUGGGAAUCAGUAGAUAAAGCAGCAUUAGGAUUUUUAGAAGGAGACAUGAAUGAAAAUAGGUUAAUAACCUAUAUAGCUCCAGACCUAAUGAUGCCUGUAAAAGAAUUUAUUGAAAAAAUGAGUUUUGGUUUCCAAACCAAGGGAUAUGAAGAUUUUAAAGGAACAAAUUUGUUAGUAAGCAUAGAAUUUAUAGGAAGGCUCACUAACAGAAGUAACUCUAGAUAUAGAGUUAAAGUGAGCGAUGUAAUUGAUAGUAUGCAAUCAAAGGGUAUUAAAUUUAUGAAUCCACUUAAAAUUGGUUCUGAAGAAAGAGCGGGAGAAGAGUGGAAGAUUGGUGAAUUAAUAGAGAAAAAAGAAUUAAAGCAACCUGAAAACUAUAUAAGUUAUCAAAAUUGUGAAGGAAGUAGUAGCAUUAGAUUUAUGAACUAUAAAUCGGCAUCAAUAGAAGACGCAGAAUCCUUUAUGUCAGAAACAGAAUCUAUUGACGAGAAGAAUACAGGUGUGACCGAAUGCAUGGAAAAGGAUAAUUUAGAUGAUGAAAUAAUUCACUGGGAAAAUAAGCUAAAGCAUAUAGAUUGGGAAUAUAAAAAUUCUAUGACAAAAGAUUGGCCUAAGAUAAGAGAAAGAGAAUUGUUUAUAAUUAGAGAAAUUGCAAGGUUAAAAAAACUAAAAAAUGAGAAAAAGUUGGUAACUAGUGGUUCAAUUAUGCCAAAUACAUCAUCAAUUGAAAGGGGAGAACAUGCUGGUAGUAAUAAUGAUGCUAUCACUAAUAGAGAUAAGAAUAUUGCUCAGGAAGAAGAAGUUGUUAGUGAAGAAGAGCAAUGGGAUAUAAAUAAUAAGUUAUUACUAGAAAGUUAUGAAGAGGAAGAGGAAUUAGUAAAAGAUAUGUGGUUAGAAGAUGAAAAUUAUAAUGAUUCGGAGCAGAAUAGUGAUUUUUAUAACUCACUAGAUGAUGUGGGACUACAAAAUUUAGACAUUGCAAUGGAAGCUAUGGAAGUAGAAAGUAGUAAUAAAAGAAGAAAGGGAUAUGGCGAGUCUUCGGUAAAAAGAGAAGGAGAGAGAGAGAGACCUACCAGAUCAGCUGGACAAUGGCCUGCAGAAAAGGAUGAUUAUCAACCUACAUAUAUCCCUGGACAAUAUAGAUAUAUGGGUGCUAAAAGAAGAGAUUUUGAAAAGCCAGUGCAAUUUCAAAAUUAUAAGAAUGAUGGCGCUAUUUUAAACCUAGCAGCUCGUGACCCGAUAGAUUGGCCGAAUAUAAUCAGCAUAUGGAAAGGUUUAAUAGUUCAAAAAUAUAUACAAAACCAGUAUAAUAUAGGAACUAAGGUAGAAGAUAUGUUAACAUAUCUUGAAACAUUUUUAGGAGAAUCUGUAAAAGUUCUAUGGGAACAAUGGGUAGAGACGUAUCCUAAUCAGUAUGAAGAAUUAAAAAGGGCCGGAAGUAACCCUAAUAACUUUGCAAAUGUUAUUUCAAAUAUGAUCAUCGCAGAAGACCCGGAAUUAGGAUAUACCUCACUACAAAACGAAAGGUUGAGAGAAAUAGAAAACUAACAUUAACUAGCUGGAAAGGAAUAAAAUAAUUCUCUCAACAUUAUUUAUAUAAUGCUACCACUGCGAAGCAAGGGUUUAAUGUAUGUGUUGUAGAAAUAUAUUUUAAUAAGUUGCCAGACCCUCUAGGAUCCAUAAUAUUUGAAGAAUAUAAAAAAGAAACAGGCGGAAAUGUGGUAAAUAUAUCUCAAGCCAUAACAUUUGUUUUUAAACAAUUAAGAAAUGUAUGUACAGGCAUACAAGCCCAAAGGUCUAUGAAGAAGUCAGAUUACAAUUUCUGGAAUAACAUUGUCCAAAUACCGCUUACGUAUGUAGAAGAAAGGCAUCGGAAAAACAAAUAUUAUAAACCACAAAGGAGAGAUAAUAGAAAUUUUAGAACAAAGAAAAGAUAUUUCUUAAGAAGGUCCGAUAAUAGAGCCCCAUUCUUGCAUAAAAGAAAUGUAAGAAGAUAUAAUCCUAAGAAAUCAUAUGAUAAAACAUGCAGGUGUUUCAUAUGUAACUCUCCCGAUCACUUAAGUAGAACUUGCCCUAAUAAAGACCAGAAAAGGUACUCUAGCAAAUAUGAGGAGCAAGAGAGAGUAUUAAUAGUAGAUAUUGUUAAUGAGAAUAUAUUGGUAUGUGAUGAUGAAAUAAAAGACGACGAGUCAAUAUAUUCAAUCAUAGAGAUAGAUGAAGUAGAAAAUGAGACUCCAGAAUAUGAAUCAAGCGAUGAUGAAAUAGACCUAAUUGAUGAAUUAGCCGGUUUAAAGAUCGAAAUGAUGAAUCAAGUAGAUUGUGAACAUGACUGGAUUAAAGGAAAAGGGGAUUAUAACAUAAAAUGUGCUUUCUGUAUAUAUUAUCAUAGCCAAGAUAAUAGAUUCACAUGUAGUUUAUGCUUAAAGCAAGCAUGUACCUCCUGUCUAAAAGUCAGUAAUGAAAAGAUUCUCUCAAGAGUUCGUCGCAAGGUCUCAGAUGUUAUGAAUGAGAUGUUCAUGGCUCCAUACCUUAUCGACCCUGCGAAUAGGCAAUGAGAUGAAGAGCUUCUUCAAUACAUCAUGUCUCCUCCGGGUGUUUAUUGAAUCCUUCAAAUACCCUCGAAUGUAAUCGGGUUUUAACAAUUUCACCACAUAACAUGGUUUGAAGACCGGGUGUUUCUCAAUCUAAUCAUAAGAUGGAUGGACUUGGGAAGUUAAAUAAAACUAUGCUCCUUUCAUCAAUCAUAUCCGCAUAAUGACUACCAUAAGCGCUCUUGGAACCAAUAUUGACCGCAUAGACGAACGCGUUGCUGCGGCCUGAUGCAGUUGCUACUUGUUUCUUUGCAGUGUGCUAAAAAAGAAAAAAUGUUCACCAUCGAGUAAUCUUAAAAGCUGUGAGCUACAAGAUGUUCAACUAUAUAGCUCAUCUAGUUUUUUUUUCCAUAAAUACAGUAUAUGGGUUGAAAAUUCCUUCCUGGUUUUAAAGCAAGGCUUGGCUAUGACCGUACGAUUAGUUUCGCACUCAUGAUCUAACAAGUUCACGACGUAUCGAUCCCAAAAAAAAAGCUCACAAUGUACCACGCUCAGCUAUGACUGACUUGUGCUGCACGAACGGUCGAACUUUUGAGCAGAACCGAUCGAGUUUCUUUUCUCUCUCUCUACUUUAUUUGAGAAGAAAUUUCUCUCUCUACUUGUUUUUGAGGGGUUCUCUCUCUAUUUUUUUUUGAGGAAAGUUCUCUCUCUAUAUAUACUAGGAAAUCAAAUCAAGUACAGUCAAAUGGGACUGUGGGCCUAAUCGUUAUUAGGAGGCCCAACAAGCCCAGACAACAAGAGAGUACUAAUCGGAUCUGAACACCGUUCACUGGCUGAUCCGAGCCGUCCACCCGUCCAACCCAUCUAGGGUUCCCCCCCCCCCCCAUUCUAGCCAGUAUAAGUACGAGGUGAGAGCCCCCGCCGCCAACAAUCCACGGAGAUCGGGUUCGUCCACACAUUUCCGCCGCCGCCGCCGCCGCCGCGAACCGGAGAGCGAGGCCGACACCGCCGCCGCGAUGAGGGCCAAGGUUCGUACUGCCCUUCGUCUACCUCGCCUGUUGUUUGCUGCUUCGCGACCGCGGUAGAUCUGGACAUGUGCUAGUGUUUACCGGGCGUUCGUUCCUGCUGUUGCUGUUGCUCGCUUGCGUAAUUAUUGGUUCUCUGUGAUGAUCAACACUGAUUAGAUGUCCGAUCCAAUCCAUUCCAUUCAACCGUGGGGACAAUAUGAGGCAUUUGUCUGAGAGAACCGCUGCUACUUCGACCAGAUCUGCUUCUCUAUGAGAUUUAAUUACGGCCUGUAGUUGUUUUAGCCGGAUUUAUGUUUUUUUUGCGGUUCUCGUUUGUUUAUAGUUCUCUGUGAUGAUGAAAACAGAUGACGAGUCCGAUGUAAUCCAUUCAGUUACACCAUGUGGACAAUCGAGGCAUUUGUCUGAGAGAACAUUGAUUGCUUAGCCAUUUCCGUUGCCCAUUUCUUUCCAUUUUUUUGUAUGAUUGCGUCGGUGGCAUGAUGAGGAAGACAAUUCUUGUCCGAUCUAUUUGAUGAUAAAAUCCUCCUACUCAUUCUGAAUGUCAAACCGACUGCAGAUCUGCUUUGCUUUGUUCAACGAGUUUGUAGACAGUACACCCUUCUUAGAUAGUUCUUCUUUUUGCCAUGCUAAAUUGUCAGUUUGGAAGAUGAUGAAGAAGAAUUGGUCCGUGUUUCUGAAAAUCACGUGAUGAUAUCCAAUGAAACACUCAAUAUUCUGAUUCCAAAACUAAUUUUACGAUUUUUUAUUUUAAACGUGAAAUUCUUGUGAUGUCCAUGAGCAGUUCCUAGAUCCUCUGUUCAAUUUAUGCUGAUGAGCCGCAUGGUUGCCUAUAAUUCGCAGUGGAAGAAGAAGAGGAUGAGGAGGCUCAAGAGGAAGCGCCGAAAGAUGAGGCAGCGAUCCAAGUAGGCGCCUUGGAGGAUGGAGGCGUAGCAUCAUCUUACAUCCAGGCAUCGAAACACCGAGGGAUGAUGGCAUAGGCUUGUGAUUCCUGAUGUGUUCUGCCGCUGUGGUUGUGGAAGUCGUUUUACCUUUGUCUUGUCAAAUUUAGCUGUUUAAUACUUGUCUGGUUAUGUUCCAGGACUGAGUUUUAUGUAAUGUGAGGAUUAUAUGUGUUUAUGACUGAAUUUUAUGCACCUAUUAUCUUUAAGCUACUCUGAAUAGUUACUUUUGACCUUGCAUUUGUUCUGUCUGCAUCUUUUUGCGUUGCGAAAUGCCGUACCUCAUUGUUAGCUGCCAGUGAAUGGUUCAUCAAAUGAACUUCCGAAUGUGUUUGUUUUUUGGGCAAGCACCAUGUGGUAAUUUGAACUGAGACAUAAACAUCAUGGCUGCAAUUGGAAGUUUAGACUCGUUUGGUUUAUGCAUGCUGUAAUUAUGUACUAAUUCCGGACGGAGAAUAUGGUACUUCGUAGGCACAGAGAAGUCUGAUUAUAUUUCUGUAGUUACUGUCAUUUUCAACCUCUGUGUUCAGCCUGUUCUAUUUCACUGAUGAUAGUCCGAUUUCAUCCAUUCUAUUACACCCAUGUGAACGAUCGAAGAAUUUAGAACAUGCUUAGUCUUUCAACUUUGCUAUUCCAUUUUAGGUUUAAUGACUCUAAUUCUUGAUUGUCUAAUGCGUAUGUAAGUACCCCCUUUUGUUGCAAGAUUUAUCACAUUGUUACAAUCUUGUCACUUUAUUCCCACUUUUUUGUGCAUGGAAUUUGGAGUAAUCCGUUUGCCUCCUGUUAAAUAAAGGAGGAGAAGUGGGCGAAAAGCACACGGCUGUUCGUGUCAAAUAAUUAUACCACUAGAUUAUUAACGCCUUUGCCGAACUUUGGCACUCUAUUCCUCUUCAGAUACUUGUAACGUGAAUGAAUUUAUGUCCCCGCGCCGCAGGUAUUAAUUUGCAUGUAGAUGAAUGGUUUAGUAGUAAGAAGAAGUUACUGAUUAACUUUAUCUCUGCUUCCUCUGCUGCUGCCCUGUUGCUGUGGGAGAUGCGUAGUGCAGCUAGUGACGUUGGCUUUGGCAUUGGCAAAAUGUCUGGCCACGUAAGGAAAGCCUUUAGGCAUGGCGAGGCCAGUUUUGCUGAAUUUUUGUCUAAAAGGACCCCUUGCCGAGUGCAUUUGUCGGAAACGACCACCUGUAGACGAAAGUGGCAGAAAAGACCCCCACCCACCGUGGCGGCAGGCGUGUCAGGCGACGCGUGUCACCUGCCGCCACAGCCUGAGGCGGCCGGCGCGGAUUUCCGUUCCAGCGUAGCCGCGACGGAACGGUGAGAGAGUGGUGGGACAUGCCGCCACGAAAGGAGGCGGCCAGGCGGGCCCUGCCGCCUCGGCAGCCGGCGGCCGGUAUUGUGGAUGACGGCGCUGAUUCCCACCCGACAGCGUUGAUUCCCACGCUGUCGGCUGAUUCCCAUGCUGUCUGCACCGACGAAACAGUGUGAAUUUUUCCUGCUCUCCACUGACAAAACAAUGCCAAAAUUAUCUGUACUAGCAAAAGGGCCCGUGCGUUGCAACGGGAGAAAAAAAACCACACGCUUUUAAUCUUUUUAUAAUCAUUUAAAUUUAUUAAAAUAAUAAGCUAACUAACUAAUGUAGUCAGUCCUAUCCUAUUUUGUUGAGAAAUCAACCCAUCCAUUAUUAAUUACACCAUGAUGAGAAAUUGAGCGGGACAAGCAAAACAAAACAAAGAGGCUACGUGAAUUGAUCAAUGGACUGUUAUCUUAUUUCACUCAUGGGGUAGAGAAUGUGGGAUCAAAUGACAAACUGAAGGUGGUGUUUCAUUCUCUGUCUCUACAACAAUACAAUCUUACAUUCAAUACACUCAUUCAUCAGCAAACAAAUCUCCACAAAACAAAAUUUCUUGCCGGUGCUUGGCACCCGGUUGGAGGCAUGGGGAGGGGAUCUCACCAGAUGAUGAGUUCCUGCCGGAGGAGGGGAUACGAUGAGGGGAGCAAGCGUUAGGCGCCUCUAUCUGGCCAUAAGGAGUCGUCGUUGCCGCGCCAUAACCUCGGAGUUCCCCGUGUGAGCCAUGGAGGCCCGCCUCCACCUGUAAGUACUUCGCUCCGUCGCGCCGCCGUCGUUCUACAUCGAGCAGACGCAUCAUCCCCUGUCACUAUAGCUGUCGCGUUGAUUUGAUCGAGAAGCUGUGUCCGAGCGCCGAAACGGGGGCAGAAGCGGGCAGAGGUACGGCCGCGGAGGCGGGUGGGUUGAGAUCGACAGCUGUGGUGGUUGAGGUCGGCCGCGGCGGCGAGUGAUGUGACAGCGGCCUGGGCACAGGUCAGGGUGGACCAGGAUCGACGCGAUGUGCUUGAGCGCCGCAACGGGGGCAGUGAGCGGGGAGAGUUACGGCAGCGGAGGCGGGUGGGUUGAGAUCGGCAGCGGUGGCGGUUGAGGUCGGCCGCGGCGGCCUGGGCAAAGGCUACGGUGGCCCAGGGUCGACGGGAGGAGGCGAUGCGUACGGGUAUAAUUUUUGCAGCUAAUCGUUUUUUCCUUUUGCGUUGUAGAUAAAUGAUGGAGCACGGGUUGAAUACAAAAACUACAAGGGCUCUUUUAUAAAAAUGCCGCGGUGGGUUUUCCGACGGAAGCAAUAGCCGCUUUAUUAUUAUCGCACAAAUGCCCGUGCGUUACAACGGGAAGAACAAUAUUUGUUUUUUAUGCGCAAAAUACAAUUAUUUUAUAGGCAAGACUCUUCGCAUUUUAGUAUGGAUUUUGAAUAAACAACUUCAAAUUUGAACAUUAAACUGUGCAACUAAAGCAUGUGGCCGAAACACCCACCUCUCACAUGUGAUGAUCUUGGGUCAAGGUAUAAUGGUAUCUUAAUGGAUCCGCCCAUGCAUAACCUUUCUGUCCAACACCUAUGAAAAAUAGUAGGCAUGAUAGAAAAAACAUAUUAAAAGAGAAGAUGAGAAAAAUUGAUGGUGCAAAAGCGAGAUCAAGAAAAGAAUGGAGAUAAGGAUCAUAAAAUCACAAGCUUAAUCACUUGUAUCCAGAAAUCCAUCUCCACAUGACUAAUCAUGUGACAAACAAGCAGUAGGCCAGUAGCCACAAAUCCAUGAGACAUGCGUAAUCAUUAGGAGGCACCAAAUCUACUUGUGCAUGCAAAAAUCUCACCUUAAAAUGAACCAUAUAUUGUAUACGCAUGAGAAAGAAUAUAAUAGGAAAUCUAGAGCAUAUCACGUAGUCAAUUGUGCUACACACCGCACGCCCCUUCGUGUGAUCCAUAUUUGUUUUGGUUUGAUGCUAAGAUGGAUAGGCUAUCGACGGUUGGUUGUCUGUCAUUAUUCUCUUUCCAGCGAUUUUGUCCAUGCAUCGUCUCUCUAAGUUUUCAUCUCUCUCUUUCCACGCAAAGUCCCUUCAUACCUUAGAUCUGUGUCGCUUGGAGGCACUCGAGGUAACUGCGCAAGUGCGGCGGCCGGCGGCCGGCGACCGGCAACCGACGCAGCCAAGGUAGCGAGGCAAGCUCCUGCCUCUACAGGAGCUCGAUUUCGAUGAGACUCACUGGCGAGGGAGCGGAGGAGAUAUCGAUUCUCCGCGGGCGAGCUCGGUGGCGUGGAGUCACACCAAUGAUCUUUUUUAAGAUUUCAGGACUGUCUGACCUAUAGCCGAUGGGGAGGAAGAUGAGCGUGGCUGAACACGCAGUUGCCUGGGGAGCGACAGGUGAUUUCGGUAGCGAGGAGUUUCGAGGCUUGAUAUAUUGACUGGUGUUAAUUUAUAUAGUCAUGGAUCGGGUCGUGAUGCUUCGAGGCUCCUGCAGAGUCCUUGUUCGAAACUGACCAAGCGAGGCGAGAUCAUGCGGAGAACGACGUUCGUUUUUUAUUAUUAUUAGGUGUGCUUGGGUCGUUCAUGAACAAAACGGUUUUGAACUACGGGUUGAAUAACAAAAAUUACAAGGGCUUUUUAAUAAAAAUGUCGUGGUGGGUUUUCCGACGGAAACAAUAGCCUCUUUAUUAUUAGGUAUAGAUAAAGGAGCUGCGUCGCUGCCUCCUCUCUCACUCGUUUCUCUUCUUUGCUUGAACCCACACUGCUUCUCUUUCUCACUCUCUUCUCUUUCUCUCAAAAACUACUCCAUAUGACGGUUUAAGUGGCGAUUUAGGACAGUUUAAAGUUAGAUUUUGAAGACGUUGUAGUUGAAGAAAAGAUAGAUCAAGGUAAGAGUUUUCCAUUUCUGUUGGUCGUGUUUGCAUGCAUGAUGUUUUUAUUUUGUUUGAUUAGUUUCUAAGUAGUAUGUGUUUAUCUUUUGUCUUAGGGAGUGUAUUAUCACUUUUGCGGAACUAUUUUGUCAUGCGAUAUGAACUACUAAGUUGAAGAUCAAGGUAUGAGACUUUGUUCAUAUUUGUGUUCAUGUGAUAAUAGGUCGACUAUGUUCAUAUAUUACCGAUGAUUUGUUCGUGUUUGCAUGCAACUGGUAUUUAGAAAGGAGCCGGAAAAAUGUGUAUGUAACUAGCAUUUUUGUUAAAAACAUGUAAUAAUAUGUUAGCUCCAUUAGUAUUAUUGCAUGCAAGACGCGUGUGUAAUAUAUUUGUUUAUGUGAUAAUUUGUCAACCCCGUAAAAAUAUGACUCGUGAUAUAUAUAUAUAUAUAUAUAUAUAUAUAUAUAUAUGNNNNNNNNNNNNNNNNNNNNNNNNNNNNNNNNNNNNNNNNNNNNNNNNNNNNNNNNNNNNNNNNNNNNNNNNNNNNNNNNNNNNNNNNNNNNNNNNNNNNCACUGACUAUCAUCGAUCAACUGGCUAGCCAACUAGAGGCAUGCUAGGGACGGUGUUUUGUCUAUGUAUCCACACAUGUAGAUGAGUCUUCAUUCAAUACAAUUAUAGCAUGGAUAAUAAACUAUUAUCUUGAUACAGGAAUUAUAAUAAUAACUAUAUAUUUAUUAUUGCCUCUAGGGCAUAAUUCCAACAAAUCUUUCCUUACCAAUUUCCACUUACCAAAGGCGCUUCAGUCCCCGACAAUGGCGCCAGAAAAAGAGUCUUGAUGCCCCACAAGUAUAGGGGAUCACUCAUAGUCCUUUCGAUAAGUAAGAGUGUCGAACCCAACGAGGAGCAGAAGGCUCUGAUAAACGGAAUUCAGCAAGGCAAUAACUGCAAGCACUGAAAGUAGCGGUAACAAGUGAUUGUGUAGCGAGGUGAAACGUAGCAAGCAAAAAGUAACAAGUAACAAGUAGUAGCAACUGUGCAGCAAGUGGCCCAAUCCCUUUUGUAGCAAGGGACAAGCCUGAACAAAGUCUUAUAGGAGGAAAAACGCUCCCGAGGACACACGGGAAUUUCUUUCAUGCUAGUUUCAUCAUGUUCAUAUGAUUCACGUUCGUUACUUUGAUAGUUUGAUAUGUGGGUGGACCGGCGCUUGGGUACUUCCCUUACUUCGACAAGCAUCCCACUUAUGAUUAACCUCUCUCGCAAGCAUCCACAACUACAAAAGAAGAAUUAAGACAACGUCUAACCAUAGCAUUAAACUAGUGGAUCCAAAUCAGCCCCUAACGAAGCAACGGAUAGACUGGGGUUUAAGCUUCUGUCACUCCAGGAACCCAUCAUCUACUUACUACUCCCCAAUGCCUUCCUCUAGGCCCAAGUAUGGUGAAGUGUUAUGUAGUCGACGUUCACAUAACAUCACUAGAGGAAAAACAACAUACAACAUAUCAAAAUACUGAACGAAUAUCAAAUUCACAUGACUAUUAUCAGCAUGACUUAUCCCAUGUCCUCAGGAACAAAAGUAACUACUCACAAAGCAUAAUCAUAAUCAUGAUCAGAGGNNNNNNNNNNNNNNNNNNNNNNNNNNNNNNNNNNNNNNNNNNNNNNNNNNNNNNNNNNNNNNNNNNNNNNNNNNNNNNNNNNNNNNNNNNNNNNNNNNNNGUCUUGCAAGCAAUGUAACUUAGUGUAAGUUGCGGGAUCUUGUAUUACGGAACGAGUAAAGAGACUUGCCGGUAAACGAGAUUGAAAUAGGUAUGCGGAUACUGACGAUCGAAUCUCGAGACAAGUAACAUACCGAAGGACAAAGGGAAUGACAUACGGGAUUAUACGAAUCCUUGGCACUGAGGUUCAAACGAUAAGAUCUUCGUAGAAUAUGUAGGAUCCAAUAUGGGCAUCCAGGUCCCACUAUUGGAUAUUGACCGAGGAGUCUCUCGGGUCAUGUCUACAUAGUUCUCGAACCCGCAGGGUCUGCACACUUAAGGUUCGACGUUGUUUUAUGCGUAUUUGAGUUAUAUGGUUGGUUACCGAAUGUUGUUCGGAGUCCCGGAUGAGAUCUCGGACGUCACGAGGGUUUCCGGAAUGGUCCGGAAACGAAGAUUGAUAUAUAGGAUGACCUCAUUUGAUUACCGGAAGGUUUUCGGAGUUACCGGAAAUGUACCGGGAAUGACGAAUGGGUUCCGGGAGUUCACCGGGGGGGGCAACCCACCCCGGGGAAGCCCAUAGGCCUUGGGGGAGACACACCAGCCCUUAGUGGGCUGGUGGGACAGCCCACAAGUGCCCUAUGCGCCAACGAGAAGAAAAUCAAGAGAGAAAGAAAAAAAAAAG
rnacentral:lncRNA from 1 species